rnacentral:lncRNA from 1 species
UUGUUCAAAUCCAAAAAGAAGGCAAUUUCCCUCACGGAGUAUCAGAUCGUGUCCCUUUACGGAACUUAACCUUUAAAAAUUAUGAACCUUUUGAAUCGAGAGCAUCGAUUUUGAACAAAAUAAUGGAUAUAUUCGGAGAUGAUGAGAUCAAGAUGAUUGGAGUAUGGGGGAUGGGCGGCGUGGGCAAAACCACACUGGUUAAACAAGUAGCCGAACAAGCUAAGCAAGGGAAGCUGUUCACAACAGAAGUCUACAUAGAUGUAUCCUGGACUCGAGACCUGGAAAAACCUCAACAAGGAAUUGCUAAAAUUCAACAAAAAAUUGCAGAGAUGUUACAUUUGGAGUUUACGGGGAAGGAUGAAUCCACAAGAGCAGUUGAACUGAAGCACAGACUGAAGAAGGAGAAGAUCCUAAUUAUAUUAGAUGAUAUUUGGAAGGAGAUUGAUCUGGAGGAAGUUGGAAUUCCUUGUAAAGAUGAUCCGACAGAAUGCAAAGUAGUGUUGACGUCUAGAGAUCUACACCUAAUAAGACAAUACAUGGACGCAGAAACAUGUUUCCUAAUUCAACAAUUGCCUCGGAAAGAAGCUUGGAGUUUAUUUAACAAGACAUCAGGUGGUUCCUUGGAGAAGAAUCUUGAGCUGCGACCUAUAGCCACCGAUGUAGUUGAAGAAUGCGAGGGUCUACCAAUUGCAAUUGUAACAAUUGCAAAGGCAUUAAAAGGUAAGAACGUGGCUGUAUGGAAGAAUGCCUUGAAAGAACUGAGAACAUCUGCACCAACAAACAUCCAAGGAGUGGAGGAAAAGGUAUACUCAUGUCUGGAGCUGAGCUACAACCAUUUGGAAAGUGAUGAAGUCAAGUCAUUGUUCUUACUCUGUGGUUUGCUGGGCGAUGGCGAUAUUUCAUUGGAUGACUUGUUAAAAUAUGGCAUGGAUUUGGAUUUGUUUGAUUACAUCGAUGCAUUGGAGCAAGCAAGAAAUAAACUACUUACCCUGGUGGAAAUCCUUAAAGCCUCGAGCCUGUUGCUUGAAGUUGAAGAUGGAAGCUAUCGUGAAGCUCCAAGUUUGGUUUUUGUGGAGGAAGGUAACGGGUUUGUCAGAAUGCAUGACGUGGUUCGUGAUGUUGCCAAAGCAAUUGCAUCGAAAGAUCCUCAUCAUCGAUUUGUGGUGAAAGAAGAUGUUAGAUUACAAGAAUGGGAAAAGAGGGAUGGUGAAUUGAGAAAUUGUACUGGCAUAUCUUUGAAAUGCACACAUGUCCAUGAGCUUCCAGAAGGGUUGGUAUGUCCCAAACUUGGAUUCUUUUUGUUGAAUGGUAAUGAUAAUUUCUUGAAAAUUCCAGACACCUUUUUCAAAGAAAUGAAAGAAGUCAGAGUUUUAAGCUUGUUUCGAAUUGAUCUUACACAACUGCCUUCAUCACUUCACUUUCUUUCAAAUCUUCGAACAUUGUGCCUACACCGAUGUAGGACGUUGAAAGACAUAACAAUACUUGGAGAACUGAAGAAACUACAAAUUCUUAGCCUUGUAGACUGGGAUUCUAGUGUUUCCCAAAGAAAUGAUGCAAUUGACUGAUCUAAGGAUGUUGAAUUUGGUGGAUUCCAGAAUUCUCGGUCCAAGAAAUAUGAUAUCAAGUCUAUCUCGGUUAGAGUAUUUGUGUAUGAGGAUUAUUUUAUGGGGGAGCGAAGGAGUUGACGGUGGAAGGAGGAAUGCUUGCCUUUCUCAGUUGAAACACUUGUCCUGUUUGAGGGCCUUGCAAUUGCAAUUAUCACAUUCAUGUUUGCCUUCGGAAGAUGUAUCCUUUGAGAACCUCACUAGAUAUGAUAUAUCUGUAGGCUCUCGACCGGGCCACUAUGGAGGGAAGAAGACCUCAAGAAGGUUGAAACUAUAUAAGAUCAAAGGCCCAGAUAUGGUGAAGUGCUUCUCCAAGCUGUUAAAGACAACUGAAGUUCUAGCAUUGGGCAGAUUGCGUGAUACCAAACAUUUUGUUUAUGAGUUAGACUGCGACGGUUUUCCUCAACUCAAGUAUCUGUAUAUCUCUAGGAGUGAUGGGAUGCAAUACAUCAUGAAUACAAUGGAAAUGGAAUGGGUCGACCCACCACAUAGUGCCUUUCCUCUCUUGGAGGGAUUAAAGCUUAGAUGUCUCAAGCAAUUGGAAGCAGUAUGCCAUGGCCCAAUUCCGAUGGGGUGUUUUGCCAACUUGAGAGAUCUGAUAAUAGAGGAAUGUAACAGCUUGAAAUAUAUCAUAUGGGUUCCUACAACACAAGCAAGGGAAUCAGUACUAGUGUUUCCUCAACUGGGAUCCUUGAAACUGGAACGUCUGCCAAAUCUCAUUAACUUCUACUCCACAGGAACCAGUGGCAGCCAGGAGCCAUGCAGCUCUUUUUUCAAUCAGGUAUGUUCAAUUUUCAUUUUCAAUUUCUGCCAUUCAGCUCUUUUUAAUUUUCAACUUCUCUUGCAAACAAAUUAAUCACAUACAUUAAUUAAAUCAGUAGUUUCCCAAUGGUAGUAUGUACUACUAAGAAAGCCAAGUAGCCAAUCACAACAUUUGUCCCUCAUCAUUUUCUCUCGUAAAAUUACAUAACUAACCUUAUUUUGCUCAUGUAUCCUAAUUUAAGAAAAAUAGAUUAAUUUUGUCCAUGAAUAAUCUCUUAUUAAGAAAGUGGAUUGUGAGAUCCCUCUAUCUUUCCUUAUACCAUUUCAAUCUUUUAUAUUAUUUUUUUUUUUCAAGCUUAUAAACAUAUUUAUAUUAUUUAGCCCACAAAUAUGUAUAUUUUCUAUUUCAAAUUUUUAACUUGAAAAGUAUUUAUAUUGUUUCAUCCACAAAUGUUCUUGAUAUAACAAAUGGUAGUGAUAUUAUAUUACCCAUAUUACCCAAACUGCAUUUAGCUACUAUAACUAUUCAAAGUAUUUAUAUAAAUUGUCAUAUUCAUCUUAUGAUCAUGUGUUCAAUAAUACUAGUAACCACAUUAUAAAAUUAGCUUACUAGAGAACUUAUAACGAUAAUAAAUUAAUUGGAAGCCUUUUUAUAUAUAGACCUUGUUUAUUUACUAAAGUUUUGUUAGCAUAAUAAAAUAUUAAUGUUAUUUAUUUGAUUUGUCAGAACACAUUUCUUAAUGUGGAGGAAUUGAAGUUAAGCUUAGAGGAACCCAAUUUAAGCAAUGUUAUUCACCAUUCAAAUGAUUUUGAUUUCAUUUUAGAUUUUAUAAAAUAGAAAGGAUAAAAUUUGCAAAAAUGAGAAAAUUGCAUUUUGUUGGAAGAAUAAAAAAGAAUUAUUUUUUUUAAAAAAAAUUAUUAGGGCAAAAUCAAGAAUAAAUAAAGAUGGAUGAACAUAGAGUAUGACUCACCUCAACUGAAAAUUAGGGCUUAAAAAUUAAAAUAAUAUGAAAGAGUCACAUUAUUUACUUGUUUUAUGAUAUUAUAAGUUAAUAAAAAUUAUAGUGGAGAGUGUAUGACUGAAAAAUAAUAAAAUAAAGGCAUUAAACAAUGAGAAUCUUAAUAGUUUCAAUCAAUUCAUAAUGAUUGAGUACCAUAUCAAUAUUGAAUAAUUAAUUUCAAUACUUUUUCAAAUUUUAAAAAGUAAAUAAUAAAAUAAAAUAAGUUGUACAAAAUAUACAAAUAAAAAUAGUGAAAAAAUAGAGAUAUGAAAAUUGCAUCUCUUAUUUUUCUUAUUUAAAAAGAGAAUUUAGUGGCAAAAUCUUAGUUAAUUUUGUGCUUUGUCACAUUGACAUAUUGACAUUCAAUUAUAUAUGUCUAGUUAUUGGCAAUAUAUGUGAACAACUACAUUAAUUAUUAAUCCUAUGUGAUAAAUUGGACAGGUUGCACUCCCCGGGUUGGAGUUGUUAUAUUUGGUUUCAAUGGAUGAUGUCAAAACAGUGUGGGACUACCAAGAUCCUGUAUGUUCCUCUAGCAAAUUGAAGGAUUUGUAUAUCAAGGGUUGUAAAAAUUUACUAAUUGUUUCUCCAUCUAAUUUCUUAGAAGGGAUACAAAGUCUACAAACUCUGAAUAUAGAAAAUUGCUGUUCUUUAAAAGAGAUUUUUGAAGUGGGAGAAAUAUAUAAAGUAGAAUCCAAUGGUAUUGCAGUCCCUCCAUUGAGAGAAAUGUGUUUACAUGGUCAAAAUAUGGAGAGUGUGAGGAAGGAUUCUCGAGGAUAUCUUGCCUUUCAAAGUCUAAAUUCAUUGAAAGUUGGUAACUGUGCUUCCCUGAAAUAUCUUUUUCCAACUUCGGUUGCGAAGGGCCUUGUGCAACUUGAGGUCUUAGAGAUAUUUGAUUGUGGGGUGGAGGAACUUGUUGCAAACGAAAAUGGACUUGAAGAAGUGCCAAUUUUUUUAUUCCCUAGACUAACCUCUCUCAAACUUACUAAAUUAUACCAGCUCAAGAGAUUCUAUCGGGAUAAGUAUUCUUUGGGAUGUCCACUCUUGGAAACAUUGGCGGUGUGCAAUUGUGACGAAGUGGAGCUACUGCUGCAAGAAAAAAGUCUUGAAAGUGAAGUUGAUAAACAACCUCUCUUCUUGAUCGAAAAGGUAUGACUUCUUUUGCACAUCUAGGUUACUACAUUUAUAGCUAAAUUAAUCAAAUUAGAUAAAAGGACUUGAGAACAUGGAGAAAGAGGCACAAAUAAUUUUAAGUGAUGAGAGUUUUGCAGGUGUAAUGAGCAUUAUGUUUUAUUAUAUCCAAUAAUUAAUCAUUGAUAUAACAAGUGCUACGAAUGCUAUAACUGCAUUUAGCUACUAUAACCAUUCAAGGUAUUUAUAUAAAUUGUCAUAUUCAUCUUAUGAUCAUGUGUUCAAUAAUACUAGUAAUCAGAUUAUAAAAUUAGCUUACUAGAGAACCUAUAACGAUGAUAAAUUACUUGGAAGCUGUUUUAUAUAUAGACCUUGUUUAUUUACUAAAGUUUUGUUAGCAUAAUAAAAUAUUAACGUUAUUUAUUUGAUUUGUCAGAACACAUUUCCUAAUGUGGAGGAACUGAAAUUGGGCUUUAAGGGCCCAUGGAGAUAUUGUUGAGCCAAUUUUCAAGGGAGUCAUUUGGCAAACUAAGAGUUUUGGAGAUAAAAGCGUGUCACGAUGUUUUGGUUGUGAUCCCCUCUAGUAAGCUGCAAGUAUUACAUAACCUAAAGCAACUCAUCGUGAGAAAUUGUAGUUCAGUGAAAGAGGUAAUCCAAGUGGAAGGUCGUGUGGGUGAGACACUUCCACAGUUAACUAUAAUGUACUUGGAAAAUCUACCUAUGCUUACACAUCUAUCUGGGUUCGGGCCAUUUCUUCAAAAUCUUCAUUCUCUACAAGUAUCUAAAUGUGGAAAGUUGAUAAAUUUAGUAUCACCCUCCAUGGCUAAGACUUUGGUGCAACUAGAAGAGCUUACUGUGAGCUAUUGUGAUGAGGUGAAAGAAAUAGUUGAAAAUGAAGGAGGUGAAGCAACGGAUGAUAAGAUUGUUUUCACUAAAUUAAAAAAGCUAAAACUUCAUUUUUUGCCAAAUCUGAAAAGCUUUUGCUCAGCAAGAUACACCUUCAUAUUCCCAUGCUUGACAGAAAUGCAGGUGAAAAGAUGCCCUGAGAUGGAAAUUUUUUGCAAGGGAGACUCAAUCACACAAAGGUUAGAGAAAGUACUGAUGAGUGAUCAUAGACCAUGUUGGGAGAUUGACCUGAAUACUACCAUACAGAAGAUGUUUAUGGAGACGGUACAUUAUUAUUCCCCUGACUUCCUCCUACCCUUAACAACAUCUUUUCCCUUCACUAUUCUCUAUAUAUUGUGAAUUCUAAUUCUAGUUCUGUUUGUUUACCAUUCUCUCAAUUUCUGUUGCUAUGAGAAGAAGACAUAGAGCAAGCCAUAGAAUUUUCAUGUUUUUCAAGUCUAUAAGCAUGUUUAAUCUCUUAAAAUAAGGAAUCUACAUUGAUGGAGGCAGAAUUUUCCAUGAUUAGUGUGGAUCAAUCCUUUUUUUAUCGUAUACUUAGGCUGCUUCAUUUAUUGUUUGUUUGGGCUAAGUUUGUCUUAUUAUCUGUUUUUGGCUGCUCAAGGAUUUAAUGCUUCACUUUUUAAAAUAUGACCGGACUGCACAAACAAAUUUAAGAUCCAUAGGAAAAGGUUGUAGAAAAUUUAAAACAUAGAGAGAUAGCUUAUGCUGUGGCUGAAACUAGAAGUUAUAAUGUACAUAAGAAUUAAUUUUGUGUCUAACUUGGUCCAGUAGUCAAGUUAGAAUAGAUUGAGAUGGAAACUUGAUAAUUGUGUUGAUUAUUUAAAAAAUGACAGACUUCUCAUGUACAAUGUUGUUUUAAGAUUGGGGUUGUUAUGAACCCUAAGUUAUUAUCAUUUGUUUGGAGGUAAAUCAUUUCAAAAAUUGUUUGAGGCUUGAUGCUAGAUUGAGGAUAAUAUGGGACAAUAGAUUGAAGGUAUUUACCCAUUAGAGCUACAUGGAGGGUCUCAUUUUAUGGAUAGAGGAACUUGGUGAGACUUAAUUAGGUCAUUUACUAAUAGUUAUCAAUGUUGACAAAGAACUACAAGGCUACCAUGUAGCAGCAGUUUGAUUUGGUCAUUCUGUGAUUCUCUUUUCAUAUUGAGUACGUUUAAGUUUUGUUAUUGUAAUUUUUCCUCUUUCCGCUCAAUAUGAUGCUCUACAUGUGUUGAAUGCCCAGCAUCCCAAGGAAGAGGAUUCUAAGGAAGAAAUUCCUGAUGAAGAAAAUGCUGAGGAAUGGAAUUCUAAAGAGCAACAUCCCAGGGUACAGGAUUCUGUGGAAGAAGACACCAAGGAAGAGGAUUCUGAAAGAGGAGAAAGUGGAUCCUUAGAACAAAGAUCCUCAUGAGGAAGACUAAGUUCAACUUUUCACAUACAAAACAAAGAAAGGUUUUUCCUUCACAUCUGCAUGGUAUAUGUGAGUAAGAAACUGCUACAAUUUUUUUUUCCCUUUAUAUAUCUUCAAAUGUCAAAAGUGCUUUUGUUCUUAUUGCUUUUGGCUUUUGUUCUUCCUGUCUUCAUUUUUUUAGGUAUGCAGAACUUGGCUUCAUUUGAGGACAUGUAUUGAUACCAUCCCAGUUAGAGAGAUGCUUGUAAUGAAUUUUCCAUUAGUCUUUUUGGUAUGUUUUGCUUUAUGAUUCCUUAUCUGUAAGUUGCUAAUGCUCCUUUAGCACUUAAGAGACCAUUCAACUGCUUGUGGUUCAAAAUAUGUAUGUGAUAUUAGGCUUUUGUGCACAUUUUACUUUAUUUGCAUUAUUCUUAUGUGUGUGUAUUAAUAUUAUAUAACCAAGCUUGUGAGGAUCUUUCAUAUUCAUUCAAAUUCAAAAUUAGUUUUUUGAAUAAUUUUUUAGUAUCAAAUACCCUUUAGAAAAUAUAUAUUUCAAUCAUGUCCCAUAUACUAAUGUAGGGAUUCAGAAUUAUCUUUUGAUGGAGUUGACCAGCCCUUGAGAAAUGCAUUAACUGGCUUACAAAAUCAUUAGUCAACUCCCAACAAGGCUUGUUUGGUUGUGAUCUUGUUGUUGGUAAACAAUUUCCGAAAGAUGAUGAUAUUUGCCUUGUACUAUGUAACAUUCAAGAAUGAUUGGAAUGAAAAAUCCAUGCCUUGUUACAUAAUUGGGUUUUUUUUGGAACCUUAAAUCUUAAAGUAAAUUCUUUUAAGAUUAAAAAAAAUGACUGAAGUCUUAUAAAUUAGCACUUAAUUAGAGAGAACCAGAAGGAUGUAAGGUAGCAUAAUGAAUUUUCCUACUGAUUAUGUUCAGCUUACCUUAUUGUAAAUUUUUCCUCUUUCCUCCCUGCUAUGGUCGAUGCUCUGAAUGUGCUUCUGCCCAGUAUUCUGAGGGAAGAGAUUUUAAAGCUGAAGUCAAAGAGCUUGGGAGGAUAACUCAUGUAAGUGAGACAUUGCUCACACUUGUAUUAUUAUUAUUUUUUAUUUUUUUGUGGGGGGAAUAUACAUUAAAAUGUCAAGAGGAUCUUUUCAGCUGACUGUUAAACUUCCCUUCAUUUCAGGAGAUGAAUUGAUACGUGGCCACUGAACUUUUCUUCAUCUAAAACCGACUUUGGGUGGGUGGCUCUCUUUCUUCUUCAAUGUGUGAUACGUGUACCGUGGCACCCAAAAGACAAAUGUUCAACAUGUGUGUGUAAAAUUAAGCAUUUGUGUACAUUUCAUUUUCUUGGCAUUAUUGGUGUGUAAUGUGUCCAUCUUAUAUAAUGAAUGUCUUGUUUAGGAUCUUUCACAUAUAUAUUAUUAGGAGUUGUUUUCUAUUACCAUAUAUUUUUUUUGAAAUUGUUUCAGUGAUUAUAUAUGAUAUUCAUUUCUUAAUUGUGCAUGCUGAAAAUCUACAUCAAUCUGGGCUUAUGACAAGCUCUCAGUUGUAAUUAAUCUUGUUUAAGGAUGAAUUAGGCCCAUUUGGUCAUGUUUUUUAAAACUUGUUUUUUAAAAAAUUGUCUUUUAAGUUAAAAAAUUCUAUUAUUUUAUAAAAAUAAGGGUGUUUGACAAAUUAUUUUUAAAAACAGUUUUUUUAAAAAAUUGUUUACAUAAGUUGUUUUAAUUUUUUUAGAAGAAAAACAUUACAAAUUUAAUUUAAUUUAAAUCUUAUUGAAAACAAAAUUAGGUUUGUAAUUAAAAAUAAAUUUUUUUAAGAUAGUUUUUAGUAAAACAUGAAUAAUAAUAUUAUAAUGAAAUUAUAAAUGAUUUUUUUUUAUCUUAUUUAACAAUAUUUAAAAUAAUAAUUUUUAAUAAUAUUUUAUUUAAAAUGAAUAAUGAAUCAAGUUUUACUUUUUAACAUGUAAAGGAACCAGGUUUUUCAUUUCAUGUAUACAUUUAGUAUUGAAUUACAAGUAUCAUAUUUUCAAAUGUUUUUAUUUAAUCUAUAAUUAAUUAUAUUGGUUUUUUGAAUUCAAAAUUAUUCUUAAAAAUUAAAAAAUUCAUUAAAGAAUUUAAAUUUUUAAUUAUGUCUUAUUUAAUUUAUAAUUUGUUUAUCUAAAUUCAAAAAAUAUACUUGUAUGUAAAGGAGAAAUAAUAAAGUCUUAACUCAUAAUAUAUCUAUUUUAAUUUAUUAUGUUUUUUUAAUGAUUCGAUCUAUUUUUGUAGUUCCAAAUUAAUUUUAAAAAUCUUUAAAUCCAUUAAUAAAUUUAAAACAAAGUGUCAUUUAAUUUGAAGUUUAUUUUUAUAGUAAAAAAUUUAUAAAAAUAUAAUUAUGCAUAGAAAAAAAUGACAAAGCCAUUAUAAAUAAAUUUUUAUCCAUAAAUUCCUAGUGUUAAUAAGUUUAUUAUUUGAGUUUCAAAUUAUUUAAAAAUAUAUAUAAAUUGGCUAAUGAAUUCAAUACAAAUUAAUUUUAAAAACCAUUAAAUCCAUUAAUCAAUUCAAUAUAAAGUGUCAUUUGAUUUUAACUUUAUUUUUAUAGUGAAAAAAUUUAUAAAAAUAUAAUUUUCGUAGAAAUAAAUAACAAAACCAUUAUAAAUAAAUUUUUAUCUAUAAAUUCCUAGUGUUAAUGAGUUUAUUAUUUGAGUUUCAAAUUAUUUUUAAAAAAUACUAAACUUGCUAAUGAAUUCAAUACAUUAAAUCUUGUUUACUUUAGAAUUUAUUUGUCUGGUUAAAAGAAUUAGAAAAUAAUGUUGUUAUAUAAAAGAGAAACGAUAGUCAUUUUAUACCAAUUUUUGUCCAUAAAUUUAUGAUAUUAAUUGGAUCAUUAUUUGAGAAAAAUUCAAUGCAUUAACUCUUGUUCAAUUUUGAGUUUAUUUGCCUAGUAUAAAAAAAAUGGAAACUAAUGAUUUUAUAUAAAAGUGAAACAAUUAAUAAAGAUGUUCUAGACUAAUUUUUGUUAAUAAAUUUUUUAUAUUAAUUAGUUCAUUAUUUGAGUUUAAAUUAUUUUUUAAAAUUACAAGACUUGUUAAUUAAUCUAGCAUAUUAAGUUUUGUCUAAUUUGAAGUCUAUUUGCCUAGUUAAAAAAAAUUAUAAAAUAAUGAUUUUAUGUAAACCAGAAACAAUAAAGUCGUUCUAGACUAAUUUUUGUUCAUAAAUUUUUAAUAUUAAUUGGUUUACUAUUUGAGUUUUAAAUUAUAUUUAAAAAUUACUAAACUUAUUAAUGAAUCAGACAUAUUAAGUUUUAAUUAAUUUGAAAUUCAUUUAUUUAUUAAAAAAAAUUGGAAAAUAAUGAUUUUAUAUAGAAGAGAAAAAAUAAAAUCAUCCUAAACCAACACAUUAAGUUUUGUUUAAUUUGGAAUUCAUUUGCCUAAUAAAAUAUUUGUAAAAAUAUGACUCACUAAUUUUAUUGAGUUCCAUGACAUUUUUGUAUUAAUUAGAUCGGUUUUUAAGUUUAGAAUUAAUAAAUUUUAUGUAUUAAGUACAAUUUGAUUUGAAAUUUAUUUCUUUAAUGUAAAAUUUUCAAGAAGUUAAAAAUACUUUAAAAGUAUAUAUAAUUUAAAGGAAUAUCACAUUUUAAGAUUUUUUUAUAUUAGCAUUAAAUUGUGGAGAGAGAAAGGAAAAUGAUAUCAUGUUCAAUUUUAUUUGUUUUUUUUUUAUGAUUUUUUUUUUAAAAUUUCUAUGUUUUCCUUUUAUUUUUAAAAACCAGUAAAAUCAACUUUUAUUUAUUUUCUAAAAAUUAUUCUUUAUUUCACUUUAUUUUUAAACACCCUUUCCAUAAAACAAUGGCCAAACAGUAUUAAAAGUUUUUAAAUCACAAGAUUAAAUUGGCUCUUAAUAGUAUAGAAUUUAGGAAUUCCAAACUUGUUAUAUAUUAAUGGUUGAAGUAAAGUGGGUAGAAGAUCAAUGCAUCUUACCUGUUACAACGGUGCCAUUUUUUUAUUUUUUAUUUUUUAAAAAAGGAAGUUUGGCUUUGUUAAAAAUUAUAACUGGUUAUCUAAAUAUUGUACACAAAAACAUAGUUAUUCUGAAGAAUAAAAUGUACUAGCUUGUUGAUCCUUCAUGGAAAACACUUCACAUGCUGCUAGCCCAUAUCCAUUGGGAUGCAAGAAUAAAAUGGUGAAACAAGACCUUGACAUGUUCAAGGGAAAAUUGACAUGACAUACAUCAUUAGCUUGCUACCUAAAAAUAUAAGCUUAAAGGUCAAUUGGCAUGGAUGAUACACACUGAUGAAAUUCUCAAUAUUUGUAAUCAAAUCAGUGCAUUCCAAUGCCAUCAAUUGUUACUACAAUUGGGUCAAUUCAUCAUUCUUGAAAACAGAUUGUACCCAGUAUAGACUAAGUAAUCUCUAACCUUUUCCCUUUGGGGUAUUUCAAUCAUCUGUGGUUCCUAUAGACAGCAUGUAUAUUGUUAACCUAGUUUCGGUAUUUACAAUGCCCUGGAACUCUGGUGUGAUGAAUGGGAGACAACCCUUACUAGAUGGUGGCAUGUGAAGCAGAUGUUUGAGCUAUGUUGACUGCACUGGGUUUAAUAUCUCUGCUUCUCAUGUAAGUCAGGAACUGCCCAGGUAGCUCUUGUAAUAGAGCUUGGACUACAGAAGUUUGCCCACCUGCUUCAAGAUUUAAAAUAAGAAAUUACUCUUAAGGAAAAACACUUUCAAAUUGAUUUGCCAAGAAAAAGUACAUCUUUCUUGUCUAUGGGAUAUAAAAGGGAAAUAAAUAUUUCAAAUUUAUAGACCCAGGAUUCAAGAGAGAAAAGAAAAUAGAAUGGUAUGUACAAAAACAAGUUAUAUGCAAACUGCCCAAACUCUGGAGUUUACGACCUAUUCAAGUAGGUCUAAUUAGCCUCUAACAGGAUGAUGUGAGAUAGGUGUUUGAGCUGAAAACUCAAGUUUUUCAAAACCUAUGCUGGACAAGCUAAUGAAAAAUAUGUACUCACCACGCACUUCCCUCAUGGGAACGAACUGUACAAUAUCUCGAGUUGCUACACGUCCUGUAGAACUCUCUAACGGACAACCGUUAUCAGCAUCAAGGAUCUGCCAAACAAUAAGAAUCAGAACAAAUUCAAACAUUGUUGAGACAUGAAACCCAUAGUACCCAUUAAAGCAUUAUGUACUGAAAUGCCACAAAAGCAUAAAUUAAUUGAAGUAUUGAAUGCUAAAUUAUGAAAACAAGGGUACACCUCCAUUUGUUUAAAAUCUGCUCCUCCCACUCCAACUAUCAGAAUUGAUAAGGGCAAAUCAGAUGCCCUGACCAAAGCAUCUUUUGUUUCUUGGAGAUCUGUAAGUACUCCAUCCUAAAAAGAUGAUAAAUGUUCUGAGUCCCCAAAAAAAAAUAAAGAAAAGAAAAAGGAAAAAAGAAUACGAAGAUAAAUGUAACUUUGAAGUUACAUUUUCUCUACAAAGAAGUAGAAUAAAAUAAAAAUAAAUGCAAUUAUAAGUCAUUCUUCUCUCUACCGUUAUGAUAAGCAAAACAAAAUAUUUGCAGCUGUUAUAGGAGAGGGACUGGCCAGCAAUUUCAGCUGCAUUGUUGAUCACUUGUCCAAAUAAAGUCGGUCCUGCUAGAGCAACAUGGUUCAGUGCACUUGCAUAGGCAGCCAUGAUCCCUUGGACCCCUUCAACCUGUGAAAUAAUAGAAAUUUAAUAGUGUUCUAACUGCCUAUUAUGAGGUCCUCAUAGAUCAGAACAUAGUCCAGGCAGGAGGCAUCAAUAGGCAAUCCAGUACAACGAGCAACACUAUGCUACAACUAAAGUGUAGCUCAUCUAAAACAAUAUUUGGGAUGCCACAAUCAUAACAACUACGAACAAUUCAAACAAACAUGUGUCUUUGCUUGAUAGGUUACACUAUUUCUCUCUUUUUUCCCCCUGCCCUGUUGGAACAAGCAUCAUUAGUAAAUGCCAUGAAGAACUAGAUAAUUUUGAGCAUAUCAGGACAGUUCUUCCACAGACUAGUUAAACUCUCUCAUUUCACCAAACAAUAUAGAGGGUUAUUUUUAAUUGAAGAGCAAACAUAACAAACCAAAGAGGCAAACUCAGCCAAAAAAAAAAAAAAAAAUUGUUGUUUAAUCUUGGGUUUCAAGUGUUAGUUUUAUGGCCAAAUACAAGUAAAAAUGUUUUGCUUCCCUUCUUUUUUUUUCUUUUUCUUUUUUUUUUUUGAUAGGGAAAGGCAAACUCCGCCAAACAAAAAAAAAAAUUGUUGUUUAAUAUAGGGUUUUAAGUGUUGGUUUUAUGCGCUAAUAGAAGUAAAAAUGUUUUGCUUCCCUUCUUGUCUACACAUAUGCCAUGACAUGGAAUUCAGUCCAAAACACAACAAUGAAAAUCUAAUUGCAAAUGAUCAGAAUAAUAUAAUCCCAUUUUAAAGGAUCUUACUUGUAGACAUUUCAAUUGAUAGUCAUAUUUUCUGUCUUUAAUAGUAAAGUCAAGUCUUCAAUAAAAAAAAUUAUUUUCAUUUUGAGUUAAAAAAAUUUAGUAAUACUAAAAUCUAGCAAAAAGAGUAAGGUGAUGAAUGUGGAGUUAAAUCCAUUUCCUUGAAUUAACAAGAAUUAGCACUUUCACAACUUGGAAGAAAAUCAAGGCUUUCAUUAUGAUAAAUUGCAAAGAUAAUGUAAUAUAUCUUCUUUAUUGGUAGUUGUGUAGAAGACAAAUUGGAAAAACCUUGAGUCUUCUUACCUCAACGCCACUAGCACUUCCAUUCAAGUUAAAACAAUGUGAUAUGGUACCAUCAAUUGUCCUUCCCCCAAAUCCCCACGCAGGAAAGCGCCUAUCAGUAUCAUAAAAUUGUAUUACCUCUCCGACCUCCAUUAUAGCCUGAAAGGAAUUCAGUCAAGAAAUUAUAUUACCCACUACAUCAAUAAAGAUUGAUUUAUUUUGUGAGCUAACUUUCAAGCUGUAAACAUGGAAUUUAGUGUAUAAGAUUGAUUUAUUUUGUGAGAGGCUUAUGCUAAGCCAAUGUUAGGUUAACCCCUCCUCCUCAACAUCCUUCUUUUGGCUUGCACAUGAGAUAAAUUAAUGGGGGAAAUACAGAUGCUGCAUGCUUUCAACCCAUCACCUCAUGAUAACCAAGUUGAUGCUAUGUUAAGCUACCAAGUUGUCCCAAAAAUUUAAGCUAUUAGAUAAUGGUGGAUCAACUAUGUAUACAAGGCUGGUGUUAGGUUCAUAAAAUCUACCACACUCGAUCAUAUCCACAGGUUGGUAUCAAAAAAACCAAAUAAUCCUUUUCCAUCAACAGAACUCCACCAAGUAUACCACUGGAUGGUGGGAACACAAUUUAAAUGAGCAUCUCAUCUGAGCUCUAAUGGUAGAUGGGAAGCCUCACCUGUUGGUAAGCAUUGAACUGGCCAGAAGGAUCAAUGUAGUGCAAAGAAUCUGGAGUUCGCGGAUUUCCAUUUGAUGCUGGACAAAAUAAAACAGCUGCUCAUGAAACAGAAAAAUUAUAAAAACGCAAAAAGAUAGCAAUCCUGCAAAGCUGAAGAGUAUUUACCGGUAAAAUCGACAGCAACCAUAAAAUUAAGUUCAAAUCCACUAGAAACAUAAUCAAUAAAACUGUGUAGCUGCUUCUCACAAAACUGAUCAACAAAUAGCUGGCCCUUCAGAACCUAUACAUUAAUAGUUAUAAGAAAUGUAAGGGUUAAAAAUCACCAACUAAUGCAAUAUGUGGUUCCUUUUUCCAAGUAUCAAACAAAUACCUUCUCAUGACCAUGCUGAGCAGAAGAGGGUAAGAUGAAACUGGCACCAGUUUUUUGUUUAUGAAGUUUUUCCAGGUCUGCCACUGAUUUCUGAAGUUUACUGAUGAAGGAAUUUUCAAAGUUAACAUUUAUAUCUCAAGAAACAAAGGACGAUGACAUAAAAUUUGGUAAACCAAAGUACAAAAAAAAAAAAAAAAAAAAAAAAAAAAACUAAAAGGAUGAUAAUAAAAAACUAAUAAGAGAAAUAGAUUCGUAUAAUUACCCAAUCAGUACAUGAUUCCCACUACUAUUGAAAUCAAAGCACUCGAUAACUAAUGGGUUAUCCUGCAAAGCAAAUGAGAAACAGAAAGUUUAGUAACCUGUCGGCGGGGGUAGACCCACCAAGACAUCGAAUUGGUUCCAAAAAAUGUGGAUUUGACACCCACUAUCUUUGUAAAAAAAUAUGAAAAAAACCAAGCACUCAAUGGUUCCUUAAGCAAUGUAGUAAACAAUAACACAAUUUUUGUAAACUGAAAGACACUGUACUCAGGUAGCUCACAAAUUAUUUGUGUCUCUUUUCUUCCAGAGUAAUCACAAAUAUCUACAUUUAGUUUUACUGUAGACCACCAUCUAACUAGAAUUGUAAGAAGGUGAAAAACUUGCCUUGCUAACAAAUUGCUGCAUUGUCAGACAUAGAGGCCUCCAGAUUGGAUUCAAGUUGUUAUCAACCACUUCUGUCUUGCAAAUUGGAACAGAACCUCCAUUUUCAACAAUCCUAGAUAUUCUUAAAAAAGGGUCCUAAUAAAGAAAAACAAAAAAAUGAGAAAAAUUUAAGACCCAAACACAAAUCAAUACACCUAUAAGUAACAAAAUGCUCUAAGUCAUGGGUUCUAAGUACAUACACUUUUAGAAAACAAGUCCUUGUUUUCCAAGCAUGAACAAUGGAAUAUAACCUCAAUAGCAUUCCUUGAAGACACUGUUUCCUCUGCAUGGACAGUGAGUUUCCCUAGGUUUUUCAAACCCCUGUUCCCAUUUCUGUUAUGAAGAUCUAGGGUUAAGCUCUGGCCUUGUUUAGUCACUAUCUGCCAUGAGUUAGCAAAACACAUACAAUAAAGUGUAAGUUCAAUAAUGACCAAAUGAUUGUAAUAAAUGAUGUCCCAUGGACUUCCUAAUACAGAUGACUACAUUUUUGCAUGUGUCUUGCCAUGUGUUACACAAACACAACUGCACAAGCUUUAAAAUCAGACAAUACCACAACUGUAUAAAGAAAAGUGCUCUUUCUAGAGAUGGACGGCUGCUUUCAACAGCCAUUUUUAUGCAGAAAAUUAAUUCUCACUCGAAACAUCAUAGAAACAGCCAAAUAGCUUUUCUGCUACUCAAAAAUCUUCACAGGAACAUUGCAUAAUAUACUGGUUAUGUAAUUUCUAAUCAACUUUAUUGCUAUUGUGAACAUAGGAAACAUGCAGAACUGUGCAGCAUUAUUAAGUUGGGACAAACGAAGGCAACUUACCUCUGACAGAACACAACCGCCUUCCCCAAGGAAUUCUUGAUCAUUCAACUUCAGCAUCUGCAAGGUCAUAAAGUAAUAAAGUUUAACUCUGAAAUUCACCUUCUGAAAGACUUUGAAGUUUAAGUCUGAAUGUAAAAGUUUAAUCCUAAAAUUAUUUAUGGAAAAGGAAACAAUGAUUUCAAUUUUGAAUAAAAUCUGCUUAAAGCACAUGAAUAAAAUCUCUUCCUUAAAAUGUGCUUUACAAAAUUCUUCUACAAAUGUCUGAUGUAUGGCUACAAGCCUAUGUUUCUCAGAUGAAAUUUUUUUAAUCAAAGGUCAUAACUUAAGCUGAAAAAAUAAAAAUAUAGAAGGAACAAAAAGCACUUUCCUUCACAAAGGCAAUUCACAAAAUAAACAUGGCAAAUGGAAAUUGUUUAGGAACAUUACACCCAGGCACAUUGCAAAUAGAGAGGGAAUAAAAGUGCUGUCCUCAUAAGGACUUGCAUAUUAAGGAUGAAUUUUCAUGGUAAGAUUUCUAGAUUGCACUACUUUUUGUUUGCACUGGAAUAUGAAGAAAUUAAAAACAGUAUCAAUUUUUGAAAAUUUUGAGAAAACUAGACUUGUUGAGAAUAUUUGAGGUAAAUAUUAAUCAUAUCAUAGAACUAAAAAGAGAAAGAUUUGCUACAUUUUCUUACAAUGCUGAAACCAUGAAUGAACAAGGUAAGUGUAAAACCAAGUGAAAUUCAAAAAGCAGAUCCACUUAAAUGUCAUGUGAGAUAUUUAAAACAUGAGAUAUUAGCAUUCUUUUUAUUUCACCGUUCCUAAUGAGAAAUUUGUGGCUAUCUAACUUCCAGGUUUGCAUACAUAUAACUAAAAGUAAAUUAUUUUUUCACACGCCUCAUGACUAAUCAGAUCAAUCACCAGGAUAAAGUGGGAGGGUAGGCACCAAGCAAGUGCUUAGGUUUUUCACUGUCAUUGAAUGCUUAACAUUCUCAAGUAUUUGCAUAUAUAUUAAAUUAAAGCAGAAAAUUGGCCUUAGUUUACUAUCAUGUUGUACUUCGAAAAAUUGAUUGACAUUUUAGAACAUGAAGAAAACCAUUUGUCAUCCUAAAAAAGAGUAUGAAGUAGAGAGACCUAACCACCUUAUCAUUUAUUUUUCAUUAGAAACACUAAAAUCAACGUCCUGAACUCCCUUUUUCCCUAGUUGACCCAAAACCAACAUCCAAAACAUAGAAAACAGAACCACAUGGUACUCAGGAAUUUGUAGUGAUACGAUCACCAUGGUAUAUCUAAAUUUGUCCAUUUAUUUAUGCAAAUCUUAAUCUCCACUAAAUUUUGUUAUUUGUCCAUCAAAUUAUUGACAGACAGAUAUUGAACCAAUCCCAUCAAAAGUGUAGUUUAUUGAAGUCAGAUUUAUAUUAUAGAGGAACUAAGAAGCAGAUGUCAAAUUACCUUCACAGGUAAAUUGUAAUAUUUUGUAUCAACAUCAUACACAUGAAAUCUGGAAAAACACCAAUGAACAAACACAUGAUUGAACCAAUGACACUAAAGAGAGGUCUACCAGAUGUAGUAAACAGAAUAAAUCUACAUAAUGAAGAAAUGUACAUCGAUAUAUAACAUGCUUACAUCAAUGGCUGAACAAUCUCAAAGUGAUAGGCAACAGUAAUUUUUUUAAUCCAAGCUGGAUCCAAGCUGUUCAUUAUCACUUCUGUGCGCCCAAGUUCCUCAAGUGUUCCAUCUCUUUUCUUAGUAUAUACUACUACCAUAGGAUCACUCUGCAAUAGAAGGGAAAAAAGGAACUUUUUCAGUUUAAACCAUAACAGGACAAGCCUCAGCACCAUAUCCCAGCACAUGUCAUAGAAAUAUUUACCAUAUGGAGGCUACUAAAAUUAAAAGCUAUGCCAGUACAUUGAUAGAACAAGUCCAGGUAUCACAGAACAACUCUCUACAUAUGCAAGGGGCAUGCCACCCUAACAGUAUAAUUUUUUUGACAUGUGAAAUAAGUGAAAGAUAAUGUAGGCAUAUAAAUACCUUAUGAAUAGCAGUAGGUUUUGAGUCUUUGACUUGUUUCUUUAGACCACCACUGCUACUUAUUUGGUUAUAUUGCCAUACAAAGUGCUGCCUAAAACUCAUAUUACAGCUUUAUGUUGAGAUGCAAAAUAUCAAAAACUAUGUAUGCAAGGACACUUACAUGGUUGGAUAAAUUAAAUUUUAAAGUAGAUAGAUGGUAUGUGGUUCGGCACAUUAUGUAUAUACACAUCACCCAUGAUCCUUCCGAUCUUAGGAUUAGUUCCCAUGAAUGGUGGAGGUUAGUAACAAUUCACAAUUCAUGGUAAAAACUUUAUCAUAUAAUGCAAGUACCAAAUAGGAAAUAAAUUAAUCAGAGUCUAGGGGAUAGAUGUUUUUGAUCAAGUUUGCAGGGUUGUCAAAUUCUAGCCUCUGCAACGAGGCCAUUUUCAGAGGGAGUGGCAGGAGAAGGGGAAGUCCCUCUUCUGUAAUGAAUGUUAUGAUAUUGCUCUUGAUAGCAAUUCAUCACAGUCAAGUAACAAUGCAAAUAGGACUAUAGAACAAAUCAUAAAGCGUUUCGUUAGUUCCUGAUGAAAAUUUCCUCCUCAUGCAGUGUAUACUAUGCACAAUGUGUUAUAAAUCACAUGCACUCCAGUACUAAUGAGCCUGGAUUUUUCCCCACCAUCACCCACAGCUACAUGUUUUUGGUUGCCUUCUUUUCUAGGUUUUCCUGUAGCAACAUUUCUUGUCCUUUUAUUCUUCAUAAUUACUCUCUAAGUAUUUUUAAUAAGUUUUCACUCACAAUGGGACACCCAGGUAAGAAUUCCAUAUCCACGUGGACAAAUGAACAGCAACAAGCAAGAAAUAGUAGCCAAAGUCUUACAAAGCAUUGAAAAAUAAAGAGGAAAAAGAAAAAUCAAACAACCACAAACAAACUGAUAUUUAAUACAACAAAGGAAGGUAGGCCCAAUAAGACAGCAAAAGAAUAUUGCCCUAUGAAAACACGUGUGAAAAUACAUGCCUUAGAGAUGAUGUCACGAUCACGUAACCCGGAACCAGAUAAAGAUAGCUGCAGAAAUCAAUGAAAAGAUAUUAGCACAAGUUGAAGAACAAAAUCAAACAGGCAGACAGUGAAGAGGAAUCGUCACACUGUGAACAACAGGCCCAUCCAUGUUUCUAGAAUCACUACUGCCUAUGGUUAAAGUUAAAUGUUGAAUCUCCAAUUUCCAUGCGGUCUUCUUACUCUUGGAGGUGGGAACAUUUCUAACCUUUAUUUUGUAAAGAGCUGGAUCCAAGGUCUACAAAAUAUAUCUCCCUUGGGAAUCAAAACAGUGGGAUACAAAAUGUUACGAUCCAAAAAGCAUUAAAAAAAUCUCACUCUCCAGUAUACAAAAAACACAUAAUUUUCAUAAUUAUUCAUGAAAUUGAUCUCAGAAAAUCAUGGAUUAUUUCAUAAGUGAGAUAUUCUUCACAGCACAUUUUAAGAGCUCUGUUUUCACUUAAGAAAACAUUUGCAAUUACUAUUAUAAAAAUAACGAUGACAAUUUUUUUGGCCAGUUCCUAAUGAUAAAAGGAAUAACAAUUUCCAGGGCAAAUCGGUUGACCGUGUCCUUAUAUUGACAAUGCAAUCCAUUUUGGUUGCCUUUGCCAAGAAAUAGGAAUAGAAAAUUUCAAUUGACAACGAUUUCCUUACUCCACUUUCUCAUCAACCAAACACAACAUUAGGGAUUCAUAUAUGUGAUGAAAACAAAAGUUUUAAAAAUAAUAAGAGGAAAAGAAAAGAAACAAAGAUCAUCCACAGAAAAAAAUUUGCAAAAUGGAAUAAAACAACCCAAAAAAUAAAAUAAAAUCACAAAAGUUAGGGUUUGACCCAGUGUGUGGCCGAAAAAAAAACCAUUCAAUAUCGAAAAGAAAAGAAGAAUUAGGGUUUGGCUACAGAAAAAAACAACGAAGUGUACGGGAGGCACCACCUCGAGAUGCGUGAAUAGUUGAUGAAGGCCUCGAGCUCGAAAGAAGUGGUCAACGGCAUCGUUGAGGGCAGCGUCGGUGGUGGGCAUGGGAGGCAUGCUGGGCCCCGUCAGGCCCACUCCUACAGCCUGUUUCCCUCCUCUCACAUCUGAAAAACAACCUCCCAUCUUGCUCUCUAAAAAACCCUGGGAUUUCUUCUCUCUCUAGAAUUUCAACUCCUUUGAUUACUCUAUCUGUGUAACAGAAGGCAAAGACAGCAUAAAUGAUAUUUACAUGUAUAUAUAUGAAGGCCGCUUACUUUUCUGUGUGGUUCUCGAGAACGUUCAAGGAGAAUUUUGGAGAAAAAAGAGGGAAACGCGCAGGAAUCAGGAUCAAAUCAAAAACUUGUUGCACUAAAACUAUGUGUUUGGUCAUCUAACAAUAAUAUAUACUCCAUGUGGAUACGAAAGAGCAUUUGAGGGGUAUAUUGAAUUAAAAAUAUUAUAAAAUUAAGUCUGCAAAUAAUUUAUAGGAAAAAAAAUAAUGAGAACCAACCGCAAAGAGAAGAAUCUUAGUUUGGGUGGGAUGCAAAAUUACCCAAAACAGAUAAAUAAACAGAGAGAGAGAGAGGGGGGUGGGUGGGGGCUAUAUAUGUAACACUAUGCCUUAGGUAACAUCUAUAACUAAUUUUUAGGAGUUGUUAACGUUGCUAUAUACGUCCUAACAAUAUUCUACCUAAACCAUUUUAUGGUCUUCUUUGAUAACCAACCAACCUACCUUUCCGCGCUUUGGAUUUUAGUAGAUUAUUUUGAUUGGAUCAAUUAAACUUUGAAUUAUAAGAGGGAUUUUAUUUCCAUUAAAAUUAUUUUUUAUUUCAUUCUAACAAUCUACCAAAAAUCCCUCAUUGCUUCCUCCUUUCUGCCCUUUGUUUUUAAAUGUUGACGGACAUUGGAAGUCGUAACUUUCCGUCCAAUGAAAAGUUCCAACUUUUAGUUUGAGAUCAUGCAUGAGAAAGUGACGUCCACCUUACUUCCAUUGAUACAAAACUAUUAAAUUUAUGAGAAAUUGCACACGACUUAAAGUAAUUGACUUUUCGUCUCCAAUCACAUGAUAAGGAAAGGAAGAGAGAGAAGAAAAAUAAAAUAAAAAAUACAUUUAAAAUUAAUAAAUUUAUUUUAUAUUUUUUUAAAAUUCAUUUUAUUUAUGUAAUUUUUAUUUAAAAAAUAAAUAAUUUAAAAGUAUAUAAAUUUCUUAUUAACUUUUAUUUGGAAUGGUUUUCUAUUUUUACUAUUUUUAGUUUUAGUUGAAAGCAAACAUAAAAUUAAUAUUAUAAAAAUUUUAUUAAAAAUGAAUAAAUUUUUUUGUAUAGGUCAAAUUAGAGUGCGUUUAACCGUGAUUCUAAAAAAUAUUUCUAACUUUUUUAACAUUUUAAAAUUUUAUCUUUCAAGUAUUAAAAAUAUUUUUUAUAAUCAUUAUCAAACACAUUCUUAAUACAAUAUUAGCUUUAUAAAAUUGACAUAAGUUUAGAAUUUCUACAAAAAAUAAUAUUUUUCGAUCUAUUUGUUUAACUCUUUUUAAUUUGUAAGUGUUUUUAAAAAAGAAAAAUUGGCCAAAUAGACAUGUUGAUAUUGAUCUUAAAAAUGAGUUUUAAACUUCUCAUAUACAACCAAGCUUAAUAUAGAUUAUAAAAACUAGCAACCCCUUACUAUGUAACUAUUUCAACAAAUAUAUCUUAUUUUAGAUUUCCAAACCCUAAGGCUUUGUUUGGGUUUUGAGAAACUUGGAAUGUUUUCAUCCUAUUUUUUAAGUUUUAAAUUUUUUUAAAAUAAAUUUUCUAUAUAGUUGUGGACCCUGCAUUUCGGCUCAUGCGUUUCCCACUCGAUGGCGAGCUCGAUUUUUAUUUUGAAAAAUUGAUUUUUAUUUGAUUAAGAAAAUUGACUUGGAGUCGCCACUUAUUUUUGUUUUAUUUUUAAAAGGGUAAACAAAAUAAGAAAGAAAAACCCUAAGUGUGACUCCUUGUUUCGGAAAAGGUGGUCUGUGAAAAACCGGAUCGGGUUCAGGGGUCAGGUUACUUAUCGGGAAGGUACGGUAGAGACCGUAGCACCCCUCUAAGUCCCUAAAAAUGGGUCUCUACUAAUAAAAUGAAGCAAUCAUGACAAUCGAUGAAUAAAUCAAUGAAUACCUAGAAUGACCAUGUUCAUGUGAAAAUCAAAAUACUAAAUAAGAACGAAGUGGGAGCGGAGCGUACCUGGGCAUCAAACGAUCAGCGCACUAUCAAGAAAAGGGGGUUAGCGCACAAUUAAGAAAUAAUAUCAUGCAUGUAUGUUAGAGAGUAGGGUAAAUCAAUCAUGUAUAGCAAUCGAUAAAAUAUUGGAAAUUAGAAAAUGAACAAACUGAAUGAAUAAACGUGAGGAUUGGAGAUUAAAUUUAAAAAUUGAAAUUUUGAUGAAUUUUAAAGAUGGAAUUUUACAUAAGAGAACAAGUGGGCAAUCAAACAAAUCGAAUAACGGCAAUGACAAAAAUAAAAAUGAUUAAGUAAAAGAUCGUGGAAAUUUAGAAAUUUAGGGAAUUGUAAAUUGAAUUUAGAAAUAGGAAAUUUGGAGGAUUGAUUAAGGAAGGAAUUUUUGAAUAAAUAAAUAAGUGGGCAUAUAGAUAAUUGAAUGAUGAUUAUAACGGAUAUGGUAACAAUUAAGUAAAUAAAUGCGAAAAUUUAGAAAUCGAAUUAAUGAAUUAGGCAAUUUGAAAAAUCAAUUAAGGAUUGAAUUUGAAAUAAAUGAAAUAAUGGCCAAAUAAACAAAUUGGAUGAUAAUUAUAACGGAAAUAAUAAUAAUUAAGAGAAUAAAUGUGGGAAUUUGGAGAUUGAAUUUGUGAAUUUAGCAAUUUGAAAAAUCAAUUAAGGAUUGAACUUUAAAUAAAUGAAUAAAUAAGCAAGUAAGCAAAUUGGAUGAUAAUCAUAAUGGAAAUAAUAAUAAUUAAGUGAAUAAAUGCGGGAAUUUAGAGAUUUGGAAAAUUAUUGGGUAAUGGAAUUUAGGACCUAAAACUUUUUAAGGAUGGAGAAUAGUGGAAUUAAAUUAACUUGGGAGUUAGAUUUCUUUUUUUUUAGGAUAAACAAUUCUUUAAACUUGUGGGCUUUUAAAAAGGGGUCAAGGAUGGCAACCUGACAGCAUAAAGAAAAAAACUCCCACAUGUGCACGCAUGAAAAUGGGCAACUAAAAGAAACUAAAAAAAAAAGAGUAAGUGGGCUUUGGAAAUGGGCUCGGGAUGCCGAACAUGCAAACUGGAACUGUUCACACGGGCUCGAUUGCACUCAACCUCUUUCAAAUGACACCCCCUCCAUUGGAUGGCAUAAGGGUUAGAUAGGCGUCCUCCGCGUAAGCCAAAGGACCCAUUUUCUGAUUAGAAUAACCCAACAAAAUGAAUUUUCCGAACUCUAUCGGGCCUUCGUUCAUGGCCUUUAAUGACACCACCAUGCAUGGACAUGUACUCCUCAAGCUUCUAGGCUGGAGGUCGACGAACUCCAUAUCCUAUGCUCCAAACUGUACCUCAACGAACCUGGCCGUGCCCGCGGGAGCUCGCCAACUGAUCUGCAUGCGUGGCGUCCUAAUGACUCUGAAGACCUAUCAUUGAUGACGCCGCUUCAAGAUCUUGUUCGUCCUCGUCAAAACUGCAACCGGAAACGACAUGGGAGCUUCUGAAGGCAGAAACGGCGGAGGUGUCGACGGCUUGACGGGGCAUUGACUGUCACCAAGUGUGCCUUCACGCUCGGCUCUUGGAGGACCAUGGAGCGGCAGCCAUGGAGUGGUCAUCACCAGAGACCAGGUCAGCGUCGGUUAGAGCUUUGGCUUGAGGAAAUGGGCAGAAUGUGGGGGGAGGGGGGGACGCUUGGCAAGGGAUUUGAAAAUGGUGGGAAGUGGAUUUUAUAGGAAGGCUUGGGGAGAGUGCUAGCAGGCCGUGUGCAUGAACCGCAUGCACAUGGGAGGAUAUGGGAUGGAUGAAUGGGGGAUAAGUGGGAAAGGUGGUGGAUGCGGUAGUGAGGGAGAAUGGAUAUGGCUGCGGUGUAGAGAGAGAAGUGGUGCGUGGGGGGUAUUUCGAGUGGGAGUAUGAAGUAUGUGAAUGAUGGCCAGGUUUGCAUGGUUCCCAUGCAUGCGAAUGAGUGCAGUUGGGACCUUAAUGAAGGCUAGGGAUGAAUUUUGUGGGCCAUGCGUGGUGCAAGAAAUGGGCUAUGGGUUGGUGGAACGAGUGGUGAAGGCUUAUGAGAGAAAAUGGGUGGUAACGGGUGUGAUGAGUGGUGACUAUGUGCAUGGGAUUGGUGGAAUAGGUCUCAUGGGUAUUUAAAGAGCGGGUAUGUGGUGUAGAGAGAUAAGUGAGCAUGGAGGGCAUGAAACGAGUGGAUUAGUGAGAAGUGAGGGUGGCCGUGUGCAUGGGCAUGAGGAAAAUGGGUAUGGAAUGGAGGUGGCCAUGCGUUGGGGCUUCACGCGUGCAUGUAUGAAAUGGACGAGGGGGGUAAGGAGAGAAAUGAACACUGUAAUGGACAUCAUGACGGGUUUUGACAGGUAUGAAGUAAUGAAGGUAGAGUAGUGAGGAAUAGAAAUGGCCAUGCAUAGGUGAGAAUGAAUACAUCAAAUGCAACUAUUGGCAUGACUGUGGAAUAUUUCACAGUAGAAACAUGGCAUAGUAAGAUUAACAACCUCAAAAACAUGAGUUUAGGAUCACAUCUUCAACAAACAACAGGUGGCCUUCAUUAUCCACCCUAAGCAAACGAAUAUCCAAACAUCAAUAAGAGAUAUGGAAGAGAGGUAACAGCUAAAAACAUCAAUAAGCCUGCAGUAACCAUACCUGAGGAAGUAUUUUUUUCUCCAGCAAAAACCAACAGGACUCCAAGCUUCUUCCUCUAACUCCCAGAACCUCCCUGGACCCUUCUCCACAGCAGUCUAAAAAAAAACCCCCCGACCCUCUCUUCAACCUCUCUUCUUGCUUUUUAAACCUCCUCUCCCCCUGUCUUCCUUAGCAAGCCACUGAAAUAUCUCCCUUGUCCCCCUGCAGCCCCCCUGCUCCUUUCACCUCAAACUCUUUCGGCUGCUCAAGAACAGCUCACCCAUCAUCAUCUUUGGCUGCCAGCCUCCUUUUGCUGCCCGAGAAACGGCUCCUUCUCCUCAGCCGCUUUCUUUCACUUCCCAUCCCCCAUUUAGCUGCCCGAGAAUCCCCUCUUCCAAGUGGCUAGGUGAGAUAAUCAAAUAAUAAUAAUAAUAAAAAAACGAACACCCUUUGAGGGGGUCUACAAAUAUGCCCCUCUUCGGUAGAGUUCACGAGUGUAAGGAAUGUGAACAUUGGAGUGAAAAGCAAGUGUGAGUAAUGAGUGUAACGAAGUGAACUCUAUCGAAGAAAAAGAGAGACCCCUAAAGGUAUACACGUAGAAUAGAAACUCAUCCGAACCAUCAGAGGUACAGAAAGUGUCCUAAAAUCCUAAAAGGAGAGUGGAUCUCUCAAAAUGCCUCUGAAACCGCACCAAAGACCCAGACUCCCUCUAAGACGUCUCUACAGGUGACUCAAGAGAUCAAUGUCAAAGAUGAGUAAUGGUCGAACCACCUUGGAGUACGAGCAAGAAAGCGCCCAAAGGGGACUACCCUAUGUGGACUACGAGAUGAAUAGGCGAUAAGCACAGGAUAACGGAGUGAGGAAAAACCGAGGGAGAAUGUAAAACCAUGAAGGCAAGAUGCGCAAAGCCAGUGGAUAUGAACGCGAGGAGUUGUGACUCUGGAUGACAAGGCCGACUCUAAGCACUAAACUGAGAAAAUAAAAGCUCUGGAAGCCAAACCAAAAAGCUAACUCUAAACACUAAACCAAGAAAAUAAAAGCUCUGGAAGCCAAACCAAAAGACUAACCCUAAAAGCUAAACUAAGAAAUAACAGCUCUGGAAGCCAAACCAAAAACUAACUCUAAAAGCUGAAUUAGGAAAUAACAGCUCUAGAAGCCUAAACAAGACGACAAUGAUGGCUCUGGAAGCCUAAACAAGACGAUAGUGAUGGCUCUGGAAGCCUAAACGAGACGACAGUGAUGGCUCUGGAAGCCUAAACGAGAUGAUAGUGAUGGCUCUGGAAGCCUAAAUAAGACGACGGUAAUGGCUCUGAAAGCCUAAACAAGAUGACGGAAAUGGCUCUGGAAGCCUAAACAAGAUGAUAGUAAUGGCUCUGGAAGCCUAAGCAAGAUGAUGGUAAUGGCUUUGGAAGCCUAAACAAGAUGACAGUAAUGGCUCUGGAAGCCUAAACAAGAUGACAAUGAUGGCUCUGGAAGCUUAAAUCGAAAAUAAUGAUGGCUAUGAAUGCCAAAACUGAGAAGCAAUGAUGGCUCUGAACGCCGAAACUGAGGAUGCGACUCUGAAUGUCGAUCUGAAAACCGAUGAUGGCUCUGAACGCCAAACUGAAAACACGGUGAUGGCUCUGAACGCCGAAACCUAAAAGUGAUGAUGACUCUGGACGCCGGAGCUCAGAAAUGAUGAUGAUGACUCUGAAUGUUGAUUUGAAAACCAAUAAUGGCUUUGAACGCCGAAACUGAAAACACGGUGAUGGCUCUGAACGCCGAAACUGAAAAGUGAUGAUGGUGACUCUGAAUGUCAAACUGAAAAAAUAAUAGCUCUGGAAGCCUAAUCAAAAAGCUAACUCUAAACACUAAAUUAGAAGAAUAAUGGCUCUGGAAGCCAAACAAAAAAAACUAACUCUAAAUGAUAAACUGAGAAAAUAAUAGCUCUGAAAGUCAAACCAAAAAGCUAACUCUAAACACUAAACGAUAAGGCCCAUAGGUGAAGACCUACGGUGGUGAUAAAUCUGAAACAAAGGGAGAUGCCCUAAGCGAACUGACGGUAGGGGAAUGCCCUAAACAAACUGAAAAUAGGGGGAUGCCCUAAACAGACCAAAAAUAGGAGGAUGCCUUAAACAAGAUGACGGUAGGGGGAUGCCCUAAACGAAAUGAUAGUAGAGGAAUGCCCCAAACGUAAAUAACAGUGGGGAGAUGCCCCAAACGUAAAUGACAGUGGGGGGAUGCCCCAAACGAAAUGACAGUGGGGGGAUGCCCCAAACGUAAAUGACAGUGGGGGGAUGCCCCAAACGUAAAUGACAGUGAGGGGAUGCCCCAAACGAAAUGACAGUGGGGGGAUGCCCCAAACGUAAAUGACAGUGGGGGGGUGCCCCAAACGAAAUGAUAGUGGGGGGAUGCCUCAAACGUAAAUGACAGUGGGGGAAUGCCCCAAACGUAAAUGACAGUGGGGGGAUGCCCCAAACGUAAAUGACAGUGAGGGGAUGCCCCAAACGUAAAUAACAAUGGGGGGAUGCCCCAAACGAAAUGAUAGUGGGGGGAUGCCCCAAACGUAAAUGACAGUGGGGGGAUGCCCCAAACGUAAAUGACAGUGGGGGGAUGCCCCAAACGUAAAUGACAGUGAGGGGAUGCCUCAAACGUAAAUGACAGUGGGGGGAUGCCCCAAACGAAAUGACAGUGGGGGGAUGCCCCAAACGUAAAUGACAGUGGGGGGAUGCCCCAAACGUAAAUGACAGUGGGGGGAUGCCCCAAACGUAAAUGACAGUGGGGGAUGCCCCAAACGUAAAUGACAGUGAGGGGAUGCCCCAAACGUAAAUAACAGUGGGGGGAUGCCCCAAACGAAAUGACAGUGGGGGGAUGCCCCAAACGUAAAUGAUAGUGGGGGGAUGCCCCAAACGUAAAUGACAGUGGGGGGAUGCCCCAAACGUAAAUGACAGUGGGAGGAUGCCCCAAAUGUAAAUGACAGUGGGGGGAUGCCCCUAACGAAAUGACAAUGGGGGGAUGCCCCAAACGAAAAUGACAGUGGGGGGAUGCCCCAAAUGAAAAGACAGUGGCAAUAGGGGGAUGCCCUAAACGAAAUGACAGUGGGGGGAUGCCCCAAACGUAAAUGACAGUGGGGGGAUGCCCCAAACGUAAAUGACAGUGGGGGGAUGCCCCAAACGUAAAUGACAGUGGGGGGAUGCCCCAAACGAAAAUGACAGUGGGGGGAUGCCCCAAACGUAAAUGACAGUGGGGGGAUGCCCCAAACGUAAAUAACAAUAGGGGAAUGCCCCAAAUGAAAAGACAGUGGCAAUAGGGGGAUGCCCUAAACGAAAUGACAGUGGGGGGAUGCCCCAAACGUAAAUGACAGUGGGGGGAUGCCCCAAACGUAAAUGACAGUGGGGGGAUGCCCCAAACGAAAAUGACAGUGGGGGAUGCCCCAAACGAAAAAACAAUGGGGGGAUGCCCCUAACGAAAUGACAAUGGGGGGAUGCCCCAAACGAAAAGACAGUGGCAAUAGGGGGAUGCCCUAUGUGAUAACUCAUAAAGAUCGACAAAUGGGUCCGACAACCAUGAAAUCAACAAGAGACACGGUAAACCCAAAGAGAGGGGGUAUGCCCUAGUAGAAAAGCGCUAGAGGGGAUAUGCCCCAGUAUGAUGACUCGCAAAGAUCAAGAAAUGGAUUGAGUAGUGAGGAAGUACACAAAAGGCCUGAUAAACUCAAGGAUGGGGGUAUGCCCCAGUGUGACAUGCCGCUGCAAAUCUCAAUCCGCUGGAAAUGGCUGAAAGGGACUCUACGAGUCUCGAACGAUGCUCCGCUGAGAGCUUAUAUCGAUGAAAAGCUCAGGAAUAAUGGUCAGUGAGGCGAAUACAAUAUAUUUCGAUCGAGUGAUGGAAACUGUAACGGAUAUGUGAGAGAACGAUCGCCUCCAAGGCUAAAUGAAGGCAAUAUGCCCCAGUAUGACAUCAGAUGUACCCGAUCUGUCUUGAUGACCCGAGAAUAACACCAAUGGGACGCAUAACAGAUCUGAUAUGUACCCCUCUGGAAUGAUGACGCGGGAAAUCCAGGCACCAGAGACAACUCCAUCUAGGAAUCACGACCAUAUCAAAGGGUAUGAACCUGGCUGAAUGACUCAAGAGAGGCUCCUCGGAGUAUCCGGACAAAAUGAAAUCAAACAUCGACCUGGCAUGUAUCUCAUAACCGUGGAUGAUCAUGUAAACCAGUGGGGAUCUAUAAAUCUCGAUCAAGAUGGGGAAUAUGCCCCAAUGUGGCAUCGAGAAUGCAAUACGUCGAAAAAUCAGAUGAGCUCAGGUCAUCCAUGCCUGGCUAGAUGGCUCUCGAUAGGCUCCACUAAGGAAUCAUCGUGAGGAUAGCGAAUAUAUCAUCAUCUCUGCAUACAUCUCGCCAAAUAAGGAUAAGCACGCGACUCGCUCAUGAUCUAUAAAUCUCAUCCGAAUCGAAAUAUGCCCCUGUAUGGCAUCGAAAUGUAUGAUAGGUCGGAGAUCAGAUAGCAUGGAAUCAUCUAUCCUCGAACCUAUGACCUCUGCGAAGAUCCAUAAAGAUCAUCCGAAACAAAAUAUGCCCCAGUAUGGCAUCAGGUGCGCGACAGGUCCGAAGAACAAAUGUCAUGAAAACAUCCAUCAUCGCACAUGUGACCUCUAUGAAAGUCCGUAAAUCUCAUCCGAAACGGAAAAUAUGCCCUAGUAUGGGCAUCAGAUGCACGACAGGUCAGAAAUCAAGCGACAAGAAAUCAUCUGUCAUCGAACAUGUAACAAUGGUCGUCCGAAUCCAUAACUGAAUCAUGCACACAUAUCCAAAAUGUAUCUCCCAGAUAGAGAGGCAUGAUGGCAUCCAAGUGUCGAGAAGCGCGGACCUGGCUGGGUGGAUCUCAGAGGCUCUGUAAGGUAACGAUCAUGUCCACGUCUCGAUGAGCAUCCAGUAAGUGAUGAUCGCGCAAGUCCGUGAGGAUCCAUGAACCUCCAAAAUGAAAUGGGAUAUGCCCCAGUGUGGCACCAGAGGUAUGAUAGGUCAAAAAAUCAGGUGACACCAAAUCAAUCAUCAUCAAACUCACGAUCCUGGUAAUCCGAACACAACUGAAUCAGACCUACACAUCAAAGAGGCGACUCCCAGAAGAAGAAGCAUGGCGAUAUCUAAACAUCAACCAGACCUCAAUCACCUGUCCAAGUAUAGGCUGCCGAAGACGACAUCUGAUCCCAUGGCCUCAGGGUGGUCUUAAGACACGGGACGUAACGUAGGCCAAGGUGAUAGGGUGAUAGAAAUGAAAGGAAACUAGGCUCAAAUACCCAAUGAUCAAAACUCAUGCCCUCAUAUAUGAAAUGCAACAUGUAUAGUGAACCCCAUGAGCCAUGGACUUGAGAAUGCCUAACGUGAAUAUGAUAUCGAUAAGGAGACAAAUGAAGCAAAAUGAACUGGUAGUGAUAUGUGUAAUGAUGAUGCGAAGUAUCGAACCCGAGAUGGGUCGCUGUAAGGGGAGAAUAAGAUGUGAAGGGAAUGAGAUGAAUCACAAGCAACGAUAAAAAUGACAGCGAAACAAUGGAUAUGUGAAGAAAGGUAGUGAUCGACUCAGAUCAAACAUGAAGUGAAGUCACAUCAAUAAUGAAUAUAAUGAUGGGAAGGACAAUGACUCGGAGUCCUUAGGAGAAGGUCACUCAUCUCUCUCACAAAUAGAUAUGACGAAGCAAUACAAAUAACAUGGGAUCUCAGAGAGCUCACAUACGAACUCCCAAUAACGAACAUACUCGAUAAAAAUGACCUCCAGACAUCAAUAUACAUACCCAAUGAUCGAGAACACUAUGCACAUAUACACAUGUGCUAAUAAUAAUAAUAAUGAUUUUUUUCUUUCUUUUCUUUUUUCUUUUUUGGUUGAUUUUUUUUUUUUUUUUUUUUUUUUUUUUUUUUUUUUUUUUUUACAUAUAUACAAAUACACAUACCCUGAACAUGAACAAAUGAACCCCAAAGGUGAUGUCGAUAAUGGACAGACACCGACCCAAGUGCUAAGGCAACCCAAAACUCUCUCUAACGAGAUGACCUUCUCAAACUAAGGAUCUCUAAACCAAUGUCCGUGAGAUAGAUGGUGGAAAUGAUGUGACUAUCCUCCAUGUGAUGAACUGAGGAGGCUCACCACUCAGGGUGGAGAGAAUAUGAGACAAACAAAUAGUAGAUAGGAUAAGGAAGAAGAGAUGAAUAGCAUAACCAAUAAGAUGAGAUGAAAAUGCAGAGGUGUGGUGAUAGGAAAAGAUAAUGAGAAAAACAUGCCCCUAGGUCCAAAGCUCAUGAAACUACCAAACAACGCAUGCAUACAUUAAAGGGCCCCUAUCCCGGUGUGAAAAUGUGAGCAAGACGAUAAGAAAGAAAGGUUAUAAUGCGCAUGCGAGGCUCAAUGGGCUAGCAACGGACUAUAUAUCACAAAUGAAUAACAAGGUAAUGGCUAACCGAAAUGAUGGCCACCCAUCCUGCGACCAUGGUCUCAAACAUAGUACCUCUUUAGCUGAUCCACAUUGGUUGGCUCUGAGAAUCGGUUUCCGUCUAAAUCCAUCAGCCAUGCAGCGCCCUCUGGGGUCAACUCCCUGAUGAAAUAAGGUCCGCUCCAGUUGGGUCUGAACUUCCCUCUAGGAUCUCUGAUCAAUCCCCUGAUGACUUUCAAGACUAAGUCACUUACAUGCAGUGGUCUGGGCUUGACCCGCUUUUUGAAAGCGCGGGCCAUCUUCCUCUGAUAUGCACGAACAUGGUCUGCUGCUCUCAAUCUCCUCUCAUCUAGGAGAUUGAGCUGAUCAAAUCGAGUCUGAGCCCAAUAUGUCUCGGGAAUCUGCUGCUCUAGUGCUACCCUCAACGAACCCAUCUCAAUCUCAACGGGUAGCACCGCCUCCAUGCCAUAUACCAAUGAGUAGGGUGUGGCGCCUGUAGAGAUGCGAAAAGAGGUCCGAUAAGCCCACAAUGCAAAUGGGAGCUUCUCUGACCAAUCCCGAGAAGUCUCGACCAUCCUCCGUAAUAUCCUCUUGAUAUUCUUAUUCGCGGCUUCUACUGCCCCGUUCGUCUGCGGCCUGUACGCAAACGACCUAUGAUGUUGGAUGCUAUAUUGCUGCACCAAGGUGUCAACCUCUGCCCUGAAAUGUACCCCUCUAUCCGAAAUCAGCUCAUGAGGGACUCCGUAGCGACAAAUAAUGUGCGAUCUGAUGAAACUAGCAACUCCAGACGAUGUCAAUCUCGCAUACGAAGCGGCCUCCACCCACUUGGUGAAGUAGUUGAUGGCGACCAAGAUGAACUCAUGACCAUUGGAAAAUUUCGGCGAAAUUUUCCCGAUGAUGUUGAUACCCUAUACUGAAAACGGCCAAGGUGAAGUCAGUGCGUGCAACUCUGAAAGUGGCACAUGAAUGAGGUUCCCAUGUAUCUGACACUCGGGACAUCUCUGAACAAACUGGCAGCAAUCCGUCUCCAUGGUCAACCAGAAGUAACCGGUCCUCAUGAUCUUACGGGCCAACAUAUGUCCUCCCAUAUGUGGUCCGUAGACUCCCGCAUGAACCUCUCUCAUCACUCGAUCGGCGAAGGCACGGUCCAAGCACAAUAAUAGCAUCCCAUCAGCUGAUCGUCUAUAUAAUGUCUCACCACAAAUCACGAAUCGGGCGGCUAACUGUCUCAAUGCCCUCCUAUCCUUGGCCGUGGCUGCCUCAGGGUACACGCCAAGUCUCAAGAAGUGAUAUAUGUCAUGGUACCAGGGCAGACCAUCAUCUGGCUCCACAUCAUCGAUCAGGCAACAGUAGGCAGGAGCAGAUCUCGACUCGAUCAACAAAGGUCGAACAGUGGCGUCAACGGGAAUAUCGAUCAUGGAAGCUAGAGUAGCUAAAGCAUCAACAAACUGGUUCUGUGCUCUAGGCAGAUGGGUAUAUCUCAAAUCAUCAAAUCUCCCAACCAGUAGCUCCAAAUAUGCAUGAUAAGGCCUAAGCUUCACAUCUCUAGUCUUCCACUCGCCCUGAAUAUGUCUCAACACCAGAUUGGAGUCACCAAACACCUCCAUCUGUCUAAUCCCGAGCUCGAGGGCUGUCUCUAAUCCCAAUAUACAAGCCUCAUACUCAACAAUGUUGUUCGUGGCAGGAUGUCGAUCCGAGAAUGCCAACCGAACAGAUCUGGGAAUGUGAUCACCAUGAGGGGAUAUCAACAGGACGCCUAUCCCGUAUCCAGAAUGGUUGGCUGCACCAUCAAAGUACAUGCACCAACCUGACAGACUAGUCACAGCAGCGACAUCCUCGUCUGGAAAAUCAUCGUCAAUAGCUUUGGCAUCAGAAACUGGUAAUGAGGCUAGAUGAUCUGCUACAAUGCUCCCUCUGAUGGACUUUUGAGUGACAUAAUGGAUGUCAAACUCAGUCAAAAGUACCAACCAUCUCAUGAGGCGACCAACCAGAGCGGGUCUAUCAAACAAAUAUCUCAGAGGAUCCAAGCGAGAUAUCAAAUGCACGGAAUACUCGGUCAUGUAAUGUCUCAACCGACGAGUGGCCCAAACCAAUGCCAAACAAUAACGCUCAAUCAUGACAUACCUCAUCUCGUAGUCUAACAUCCUCUUACUCAAAUAGUAAAUGGCUCGAUCCUUGCCCGAAUCAUCGAGCUGAGCUAACAUGCAACCCAAAGCCACGUCUGAUACGGACAAGUAUAAGAGUAGAGGACGACUUGGUGUAGGAGGCGCCAAAACAGGAGGUGACAAUAAGUACUCUCUGAUCCUCUCGAAGGGACGUUGGCACUAGUCACCCAAACAGUAGGUUAACUCUUCCUUAAGAGUCGAAAUAUGGGCUCGCAGAUGUCUGUCAACCUAGCUAUGAAUCUACUGAUGUACUGAAGUCUGCCCAGGAAGCCUCUGACCUCUCUCUCUGUCCUCGGCGUAGGCAUGUCAAGAAUGGCUCUAAUCUUGUCCGGAUCUACCUCUAUGCCUCGCUCACUGACCAUGUAUCCCAAGAGUUUCCUAGAAGUCACUCCGAAAGUGCACUUCUUGGGAUUCAGUCUCAACCUGAACUGUCGGAUCCUCUCAAAGAAUCUCUCCAGAGCUCCUAAAUGAUCUGAUCUACCUCGGGAUUUCACUAUCAUGUCGUCUACAUAAACCUCGACAUCCCGAUGCAUCAUGUCAUGGAAGAGGGUGGUCGCUGCUCUCUGAUAGGUGGCUCCUGCGUUCUUCAAUCCGAAUGGCAUGACUCUAUAGCAAUAAGUACCCCACUCGGUAAUGAAGGACGUCUUCUCCAUGUCCUCUAGAGCCAUCAAGAUCUGACUGUACCCGGAAAAUCCGUCCAUAAAGGACAACAUCGAAUGACUUGUCGUACUGUCAACUAGCAUGUCGAUGUGUGGAAGAGGAAAAUCAUCCUUAGGACUGGCCUUGUUGAGAUCUCGGAAAUCAACAUAGACUCUCACCUUGCCGUCCUUCUUGGGAACAGGGACGACAUUGGCCAGCCACUCCGGGUACUCAACCACUGAUAAGAAUCCUACACUGAGCUGCUUCUGGAUCUCCUAUUUCACCUGCAAGCUCCAACGAGGGUGCAAUCGUCUCAACUUCUGCUUAACCGGUCUGGCAUGGGGCAGAAGUGGCAAACGAUGUUGGACGAUAGAUGAAUCAAGGCCUGGCAUGUCCUCAUAGGACCAUGCGCAAACGUCCAAGUAGGAUCUGAGUAGCUGGAUGAGGCUAUCUCUCUCAUCUGUAGACAAAUCCGAUCUGAUCCUCAACUCCCUAAGCUGAUCUGCCGUGCCAAAGUCAACAAUCUCGGUGUCCCCUACAGUAGGUGAAACUCUCUGAUCAACGGGGUCUGAAUCGGAAGCAGAAGACGAGUCAUCGUCUGAGUCGUGCUGCGCAAUCUCAUCAUCAAUGUCAAAUAUCUGUGAUGUGGGUGAAGAUGGUACAAGUAAAGCAAUAUCACGAGACGCAGGCGAAUACUCAAACAUGCUCAAAUCCAUAGAUGAAUCAUCGAAAACAAUAUCAGAACGGGAGACGAACCCUGACAGAAUGUCAAAUGAAAGAGGUGGGUCCACAAAGUCGGACGCUCCUUCAACAAUGCCAACAUGGAUAUCAAUCAAAUCAUCAAAAGUUAUAAGGUCCUCAGCAGACUCCAGAGCAGGGGUAGUCAGGCUCUCCUCGGCAAGCUCGAUGACGAAUACCCCAAAGAGAUCAAAUGAUGAAGCAAGCCCAGGCUGAAUAGUCUCCUUAAUCUGGCUCAGGCUCAGGGCGAGCAUCUCGUCGAUGUACACGUCAUGUGGGGCGGCUCCGUCCACUAUGUACCAGACCUCAGCAAAGGUCUCAUGCUCAUCGGUCUCGUCUGGGAAGCAAAGCGUCAUAAGGCUAGUGCGAUCUGGAGAGGAAUGAGCGAUCAACGCAGAAGUCGAAGGGCCAGGGGCUCCGUCUCUCAAUCGCAACUGCUGGACGAGGUGCUGAAGCUCGGCCUCCUGGGUGGUGCUAAGUCCUCUGAUGAUCCCAUCGGAUGAUGCAUGCAGCUCUGAUGCCUUCACAAAGUAAUCUGCCAGACUCCUGGUGUAUGGGCGAACAGGAUAAUAAAACGGCGCAUGACUCAGUCGAGCCCUCACCCUCUCCCUGCGCAAUCGUGCCAUAUAUCUAUAAUCAGCCUCAGUGGGGAUGAACCCGAGCCCAAAUGGUAUGUCAUGAUCAGGAAUGGUGAUGAACUCGCUCGGUCCAUGCUGACGUCGGCCCAACCCCAUGCCGGGUAGAUAGGACAUGCCUCCCAUGAUGUCAAGCACCACUAUGCUCCCAUGCUGGUCAAAGGACAUAGCGACGAAGUCCCGGCAAAAGUCCCCCAGCUCAAGAGUCUGUACCUCAUCAAAAGUGAAACCGGUCAGUAGUAAAUCAUCGUCACUGUGGCUGAUCUGGAGCACGGGCUCAGCAGAAAUGAACAUGUCCCUUGCCGACUGUACGACGACUACCUGGCCCUCAUGGAUGAACUUCACUUUCUGAUGAAGUGAAGAAGGAAUGGCUCCAGCUCGGUGAAUCCACGGUCGGCCCAAAAGCAGGUUAAAGGAUGUAGGAAUCCUCAAAACCUGAAAGAUAGUGAUAAAUGUGGUCGGACCUAUCAGGAGCUCAAUCUCUAGUGUACCCAUGACCUCUCUACGGGUGCUGUCAUAAGCUCGAACGAUCUGAGUGGAUGGACCGAAAUCGGAUGGCGCGUACCCAAGAGCGAUGGCGGUGGCCAGAGGACAUACGUUCAGGGCCGAGCCAUUGUCCAGAAUGACAGAUGGAACUCGGCGACCUGAACAACCAAUAGAUAUAUAGAGAGGACGCGUGUAGCCAGAACCCUCUGGUGGCAAGUCAUCAUCGGAAAAGACGAUACAAGUGGCUCUGUCAGCCGUCAUCAUAUGAAUGAGUCCCUCAGGAGUGGUCAUGGUAUCAACUCUGAUCUGGCUCAGAGCUCGAGUCAGUGCAUCCCGAUGAGUACUAGAGGACGCUAAAAGGCUCCAGAUAGAAAUACGAGCCUGAGUGCUCUGCAACUGCCUCAAAAUCUCGUCAUCCUCUGCUUUGACCUCCUCCUGGGAUGACGUACCCCCUAAGGGUCUAGCAGCAGCAGCUGGAGGUGGCUAUCUCAUCAAUCUACCUCCUCGGAGAACAUACUGAAUGUCCAGAGUCUGAGAAUCAUCAACGUACGGAGCCUGAACCCCCUCAUCAUCCGGGAUCAAGAUGAAAGGCGUCUGGACACUGUAAUGCGGCAAAAUCAAUGGCUCAACGGUGGCAGCCUGCACGGACGCCGCCUCGGGAACUAAUCGGAAUGGAGCAGGCAUCCGAGGACCCAGAGUCACCCCACUCGUCUCAUAAAUCACAUCUGGCAUGAUGGGCUCUGGGUCUGAAUCAUCAUCACUCAGCAUGUGGAUGUGGUCAUCGAUCACAUCAAACUCUAAGAAAUGAAUGCCAUCGGCUGGUGGAGGGACUGCAUGUGUGGUGUGAGCAGGCAACGGGUUCGUGGUCACACUCGGCUGACCCAAGUGUACCAAACCCUGGUCGAUCAAAUCCUGAACGGCAUGCCUCAAAGUGGUGCAUCGAUCGGUCUCGUGUCCAGGCCCCUGAUGGUAUGCACAGUGUAGAUCCAUCCUGAACUGGAGCGGAAGCGGCUGAGGCGGUGGACGAGGGGUGAGAGUAGUCAAUAACCCAGCCUCUGUAAGCUUCCGAAGAGCCUGGCUCAACGGCAUACCUAUCUGUGAGAACUGCCUCUGCGUCCUCAAAGCAAAGGGAGCAGAAGUCUGCUGAGCUCUGGGUCGAGGACAAGGCGCUGCGGGUCUCGCAGCGAACUGAGCAGCAUAGCAUGGCUGUCCUGUAGCUGUGUAGGAAACCGAGGGUCUCUCAAUGCCCUGGGAGGCAUAAUAAGGCAAAGCCAAAGUCUGCGGAGUAUAUGUCUGAUCAUAAACCGGACGAGGUGCCCGUGGCCUGUACUGAUGAGAUGCAUAGGACGAAUGAGGCUCGAGAAACUGUGGGAUCGGCUGAUGGCGCCUGAGAAGCCUCUGACUGGAAGAACCGAUAGCGCUCACAUCUGCUGGCCUCGAUCCUACGAAGGGCUUCUUCCCCUUAAUAUCACUAGGGGAAGAAUCUGUCCAUAAUCCUCUCGAGAUGCCGUCCUCGACAUCGUACAAAGCCAUAACCAAUGACCCAAAAUCUGCGAACGGUACCCCGACCACAUGCCUGGCGAUCCUGGGCUGUAAACUCCUCAAGACCAUCUGUAUCUGAUCUCGCUCUGAAGGUCUGUCAAUAAUCUCUGCAAUCUUCCCGCGCCAGCGGGAAAUGAACGAAGAAACUGACUCGUCCGAUCUCUGCCUAAGAGCCUCUAGCUCUCUCCUCGAUACGUCAGCGACUGUAUUAAAUGCAUACUGUCUCAAGAACUCCUGGGCCAGAUCAUCCCAAGUCCGCCGACGUGAUACAUCCAAAGAAGCAAACCAACGCUGUGCAGCGCCACCCAAAUACAUGGGGAAAAGCAUAAUCAUCUGAGCCCCGUCCAAUCCAUGAGCCCUCAUGAUCGUACUGUAAAGCCUCAAAUGGAUGCGAGGGCACCCAAUCCCCGUGUAUCGCUCGAUCUCUGGCAUCCUGAACUUGGCCGGUAAACUGGCCACUGGCACUCCAUCGAAAUCCUCCCAAGUAAUGGCUCUGUCGGAAGUCCUCAACUGCCUCAACCCCUGCUCAAGCCUAUCCAUGCGAGCAUGUGGGUCCUCUGAGGUCGGGGUAGGCAUGGUGACGGGAGGCGGAGCAACCUCGGUCUGGCUAUGUAGGGUGAACGACAUGGCCUGUGGUGCUGACUGACUGGGUGGAGGGGGUGGUGGCACUGUAUGGUCAUACUGUGCACCAUCCGGGGGUGGGACCUGCUGGGCCUGCUGCCCAUCUAUUCUCCGGCCAAGGCUAGCUAUAGCCUCCUGAAUUGAAGCCAUGGCCUCAGCGAACUGAUCGACGGUAACUAUCUAUGAAUCCAUAUCCCUCUGAUAUGAUCUCUGGUCUAACUGGUCCGAUACCCUGAUCAAUCUACCCCCAACUCUGAUCCAAGAAGUCGAACCCAGAUUGAACGCAUCGGUACUCCUACAAUAGUGGAAAUACUAGAUAAGGUGCGGGGUAAAGGAAACUUCACAAAGAAUGUCUAUCAAAUGUGUCAAAAGGUAGCCUGGAAGCAAUCAAACUGAUAUCCAAUCCUGAGCAGAUAUAUAAGAGACUACUGCGAAGGUAACCAAACCUGUUACUACUGAACCGGCUCUGAAGGCCCACAGAUGCACCCACGUGUAAGGAGGGAGUCCUAAUCAGAGGAUCUACUGCUCAACCUACAAGGUGAAGAUGGCUCUAAAUGGAUAUGGGUGGACUUUAAAAGAUCCCUAGCAGAAGCGAUCAUACCCUCUGACGGUACACAACCAUCUGCACGCCUCAAAAAGAGACGGGGUGCUUCCAUGCAAGGUGGUCAUCACCUCCACACAUGCACUACCUUGACAUCCCAGGGGGUUUCCUAUGGUGAAAUCCCUCAAACUCUCAAUGCUCAAUGGUCAACUAAAGUGCACAGUGAAUGGUGUGGGUGCAUCCGAAAACCCUAAGAAUCUAGAGUAGAAGAGGAAACACACUGGUCGCACGACUAUCCAUGAAACCUAGCUCGGGGUAUACAGGUCUUCAAUGAUCGGUCUCCAAUCGACAUCAAAGUGUCGCUCUCCUCCAGAAUGCUCCCGUGCAUCGAUAUAGCCCGUCGCUAGACCCUACUCCUAAUCUCUGGCUCGGUCAGAGAGCAAACACACAGAAGGUCUCACACUUGCAAUAGUGAGAACCGAGAUGAAAAGAAUGACCGAAACCAAGAGAGUUGGAGGUAGGGGGAUAGAAGUGAGACCCACAUAGACAGACGACAUGCAAUCAUGCAGAGGGAAGGCAGUCAUGCAUCAUACAGUCAGGCAGAGCAGGAUAUACCACUCAUGUACACACAAGAUAAGCGAGAAUACGACCAUCAAGACGAAUAGUGAUACAAACAUCAUGCUCAAAGACGGUCAAGAUAGUAUACAAGUCAGAGAAUCAACAUGUCAAGUCGAGUGAUAUACAGUGGUGAGUGUAUGCAUGUGAAGUGAUCAAAACAAGCAUGGCAAAAUCAGAAUCAAUGUGCUAAUCAAUGCAAUAAGAUCAAUCAUCAAUAAUCCAGCAUGUCAAAAUCUCAAAUGAAUACGACAUCUAAGCAUGCAUCAAGAAAUCCUUAAUGUACAAUCAAGAGAUGAGCAUCCACUGAUCGUCCAAUCAAAUGCCACGUUUGCUUCAUCCUAAGUUCAAGCUUGACCCUCUAAAAGAAAAAUCCCCAGCGGAGUCGCCAUUUUGUGGACCCCGCAUUUCGGCUCAUGCGUUUCCCACUCGAUGGCGAGCUCGAUUUUUAUUUUGAAAAAUUGAUUUUUAUUUGAUUAAGAAAAUUGACUUGGAGUCGCCACUUAUUUUUGUUUUAUUUUUAAAAGGGUAAACAAAAUAAGAAAGAAAAACCCUAAGUGUGACUCCUUGUUUCGGAAAAAGUGGUCUGUGAAAAACCGGAUCGGGUUCGGGGGUCAGGUUACUUAUCGGGAAGGUACGGUAGAGACCGUAGCACCCCUCUAAGUCUCUAAAAAUGGGUCUCUACUAAUAAAAUGAAGCAAUCAUGACAAUCGAUGAAUAAAUCAAUGAAUACAUAGAAUGACCAUGUUCAUGUGAAAAUCAAAAUACUAAAUAAGAACGAAGUGGGAGCGGAGCGUACCUGGGCAUCAAACGAUCAGCGAGCUAUCAAGAAAAGGGGGUUAGUGCACAAUUAAGAAAUAAUAUCAUGCAUGUAUGUUAGAGAGUAGGGUAAAUCAAUCAUGUAUAGCAAUCGAUAAAAUAUUGGAAAUUAGAAAAUGAACAAACUGAAUGAAUAAACGUGAGGAUUGGAGAUUAAAUUUAAAAAUUGAAAUUUUGAUGAAUUUUAAAGAUGGAAUUUUACAUAAGAGAACAGGUGGGCAAUCAAACAAAUCGAAUAACGGCAAUGACGAAAAUAAAAAUGAUUAAGUAAAAGAUCGUGGAAAUUUAGAAAUUUAGGGAAUUGUAAAUUGAAUUUAGAAAUAGGAAAUUUGGAGGAUUGAUUAAGGAAGGAAUUUUUGAAUAAAUAAAUAAGUGGGCAUAUAGAUAAUUGAAUGAUGAUUAUAACGGAAAUGGUAACAAUUAAGUAAAUAAAUGCGAAAAUUUAGAAAUCGAAUUAAUGAAUUAGGCAAUUUGAAAAAUCAAUUAAGGAUUGAAUUUGAAAUAAAUGAAAUAAUGGGCAAAUAAACAAAUUGGAUGAUAAUUAUAACGGAAAUAAUAAUAAUUAAGAGAAUAAAUGUGGGAAUUUGGAGAUUGAAUUUGUGAAUUUAGCAAUUUGAAAAAUCAAUUAAGGAUUGAACUUUAAAUAAAUGAAUAAAUAAGCAAGUAAGCAAAUUGGAUGAUAAUCAUAAUGGAAAUAAUAAUAAUUAAGUGAAUAAAUGCGGGAAUUUAGAGAUUUGGAAAAUUAUUGGGUAAUGGAAUUUAGGACCUAAAACUUUUUGAGGAUGGAGAAUAGUGGAAUUAAAUUAACUUGGGAGUUAGAUUUCUUUUUUUUAGGAUAAACAAUUCUUUAAACUUGUGGGCUUUUAAAAAGGGGUCAAGGAUGGCAACUUGACAGCACAAAGAAAAAAACUCCCACAUGUGCACGCAUGAAAAUGGGUAACUAAAAGAAACUAAAAAAAAAGAGUAAGUGGGCUUUGGAAAUGGGCUCGGGAUGCCGAACAUGCAAACUGGAACUGUUCACACGGGCCCGAUUGCACUCAACCUUUUUCAAAUGACACCCCCUCCAUUGGAUGGCAUAAGGGUUAGAUAGGCGUCCUCUGCGUAAGCCAAAGGACCCAUUUUCUGAUUAGAAUAACCCAACAAAAUGAAUUUUCUGAACUCUAUCGGGCCUUCGUUCAUGGCCUUUAAUGACACCACCAUGCAUGGACAUGUACUCCUCAAGCUUCUGGGUUGGGGGUCGACGAACUCCAUAUCCUAUGCUCCAAACUGUACCUCAACGAACCUGGCCGUGCCCGUAGGAGCUCGCCAACUGAUCUGCAUGCGUGGCGUCCUAAUGACUCUGAAGACCUAUCAUUGAUGACGCCGCUUCAAGAUCUUGUUCGUCCUCGUCAAAACUGCAAUCGGAAACGGCAUGGGAGCUUCUGAAGGCAAAAACGGUGGAGGUGUCGACGGCUUGACGGGGCAUUGACUGUCACCAAGUGUGUCUUCACGCUCAGCUCUUGGAGGACCAUGGAGCGGCAACCAUGGAGUGGUCAUCACCAGAGACCAGGUCAGCGUCGGUUAGAGCUUUGGCUUGAGAAAAUGGGCAGGGGGGGGGGGGGCACUUGGCAAGGGAUUUGAAAAUGGUGGAAAGUGGAUUUUAUAGGAAGGCUUGGGGAGAGUGCUAGCAGGCCGUGUGCAUGAACCGCAUGCACAUGGGAGGAUAUGGGAUGGAUGAAUGGGGGAUAAGUGGGAAAGGUGGUGGAUGCGGCAGUGAGGGAGAAUGGAUAUGGCUGCGGUGUAGAGAGAGAAGUGGUGCGUGAGGGGUAUUUCGAGUGGGAGUAUGAAGUAUGUGAAUGAUGGCCAGGUUUGCAUGAUUCCCAUGCACGUGAAUGAGUGCAGUUGGGACCUUAAUGAAGGCUAGGGAUGAAUUUUGGGGGCCAUGCGUGGUGCAAGAAACGGGCUAUGGGUUGGUGGAACGAGUGGUGAAGGCUUAUGAGAGAAAAUGGGUGGUAACGGGUGUGAUGAGUGGUGACUAUGUGCAUGGGGUUGGUGGAAUAGGUCUCAUGGGUAUUUAAAGAGCGGGUAUGUGGUGUAGAGAGAUAAGUGAGCAUGGAGGGCAUGAAACGAGUGGAUUAGUGAGAAGUGAGGAUGGCCGUGUGCAUGGGCAUGAGGAAAACGGGUAUGGAAUGGAGGUGGCCAUGCAUUGGGGCUUCACGCGUGCAUGUAUGAAAUGGACGAGGGGGGUAGGGAGAGAAAUGAACACUGUAAUGGACAUCAUGACGGGUUUUGACAGGUAUGAAGUAAUGAAGGUAGAGUAGUGAGGAAUAGAAAUGGCCAUGCAUAGGUGAGAAUGAAUACAUCAAAUGCAACUAUUGGCAUGACUGUGGAAUAUUUCACAGUAGAAACAUGGCAUAGUAAGAUUAACAACCUCAAAAACAUGAGUUUAGGAUCACAUCUUCAACAAACAACAGGUGGCCUUCAUUAUCCACCCCAAGCAAACGAAUAUCCAAACAUCAACAAGAGAUAUGGAAGAGAGGUAACAGCUAAAAACAUCAAUAAGCUUGCAGUAACCAUACCUGAGGAAGUUUUUUUUUUCUCCAGCAAAAACCAACAGGACUCCAAGCUUCUUUCUCUAACUCCCAGAACCUCCUUGGACCCCUCUCCACAACAGUCUAAAAAAAAACCCCCCGACCCUCUCUUCAACCUCUCUUCUUGCUUUUUAAACCUCCUCUCCCCCUGUCUUCCUCAGCAAGCCAUUGAAAUAUCUCCCCUGUCCCCUUGCAGCCCCCCUGCUCCUUUCACCUCAAACUCUUUCGGCUGCUCAAGAACAGCUCACCCAUCAUCAUCUUUGGCUGCCAGCCUCCUUUUGCUGCCCGAGAAACGGCUCCUUCUCCUCAGCCGCUUUCUUUCACUUCCCAUCCCCCAUUUAGCUGCCCGAGAAUCCCCUCUUCCAGGUGGCUAGGUGAAAUAAUCAAAUAAUAAUAAUAAUAAUAAAAACGAACACCCUUUGAGGGGGUCUACAAAUAUGCCCCUCUUCGGUAGAGUUCACGAAUGUAAGGAAUGUGAACAUUGGAGUGAAAAUCAAGUGUGAGUAAUGAGUGUAACGAAGUGAACUCUAUCGAAGAAAAAGAGAGACCCCUAAAGGUAUACACGUAGAAUAGAAACUCAUCCGAACCAUCAGAGGUACAGAAAGUGUCCUAAAAUCCUAAAAGGAGAGUGGAUCUCUCAAAAUGCCUCUGAAACCGCACCAAAGACCCAGACUCCCUCUAAGACGUCUCUACAGGUGACUCAAGAGAUCAAUGUCAAAGAUGAGUAACGGUCGAACCACCUUGGAGUACGAGCAAGAAAGCGCCCAAACGGGACUACCCUAUGUGGACUACGAGAUGAAUAGGCGAUAAGCACAGGAUAACGGAGUGAGGAAAAACCGAGGGAGAAUGUAAAACCAUGAAGGCAAGAUGCGCAAAGCCAGUGGAUAUGAACGCGAGGAGUUGUGACUCUGGAUGACAAGACCGACUCUAAGCACUAAACUGAGAAAAUAAAAGCUCUGGAAGCCAAACCAAAAAGCUAACUCUAAACACUAAACCAAGAAAAUAAAAGCUCUGGAAGCCAAACCAAAAGACUAACCCUAAAAGCUAAACUAAGAAAUAACAGCUCUGGAAGCCAAACCAAAAACUAACUCUAAAAGCUGAAUUAGGAAAUAACAGCUCUGGAAGCCUAAACAAGACGACAAUGAUGGCUCUGGAAGCCUAAACAAGACGAUAGUGAUGGCUUUGGAAGCCUAAACGAGACGACAGUGAUGGCUCUGGAAGCCUAAACGAGAUGAUAGUGAUGGCUCUGGAAGCCUAAAUAAGACGACGGUAAUGGCUCUGAAAGCCUAAACAAGAUGACGGAAAUGGCUCUGGAAGCCUAAACAAGAUGAUAGUAAUGGCUCUGGAAGCCUAAGCAAGAUGACGGUAAUGGCUCUGGAAGCCUAAACAAGAUGACAGUAAUGGCUCUGGAAGCCUAAACAAGAUGACAAUGAUGGCUCUGGAAGCCUAAAUCGAAAAUAAUGAUGGCUAUGAAUGCCAAAACUGAGAAGCAAUGAUGGCUCUGAACGCCGAAACUGAGGAUGCGACUUUGAAUGUCGAUCUGAAAACCGAUGAUGGCUCUGAACGCCAAACUGAAAACACGGUGAUGGCUCUGAACGCCGAAACCUAAAAGUGAUGAUGACUCUGGACGCCGGAGCUCAGAAAUGAUGAUGAUGACUCUGAAUGUUGAUUUGAAAACCAAUAAUGGCUUUGAACGCCGAAACUGAAAACACGGUGAUGGCUCUGAACGCCGAAACUGAAAAGUGAUGAUGGUGACUCUGAAUGUCAAACUGAAAAAAUAAUAGCUCUGAAAGCCUAAUCAAAAAGCUAACUCUAAACACUAAAUUAGAAGAAUAAUGGCUCUGGAAGCCAAACAAAAAAAACUAACUCUAAAUGAUAAACUGAGAAAAUAAUAGCUCUGAAAGUCAAACCAAAAAGCUAACUCUAAACACUAAACGAUAAGGCCCAUAGGUGAAGACCUACGGUGGUGAUAAAUCUGAAACAAAGGGAGAUGCCCUAAGCGAACUGACGGUAGGGGAAUGCCCUAAACAAACUGAAAAUAGGGGGAUGCCCUAAACAGACCAAAAAUAGGAGGAUGCCCUAAACAAGAUGACGGUAGGGGGAUGCCCUAAACGAAAUGAUAGUAGAGGAAUGCCCCAAACGUAAAUAACAGUAGGGAGAUGCCCCAAACGUAAAUGAUAGUGGGGGGAUGCCCCAAACGAAAUGACAGUGGGGGGAUGCCCCAAACGUAAAUGACAGUGAGGGGAUGCCCCAAACGAAAUGACAGUGGGGGGAUGCCCCAAACGUAAAUGACAGUGGGGGGGUGCUCCAAACGAAAUGAUAAUGGAGGGAUGCCUCAAAUGUAAAUGACAGUGGGGGAAUGCCCCAAACGUAAAUGACAGUGGGGGGAUGCCCCAAACGUAAAUAACAGUGAGGGGAUGCCCCAAACGUAAAUAACAAUGGGGGGAUGCCCCAAACGAAAUGAUAGUGGGGGGAUGCCCCAAACGUAAAUGACAGUGGGGGGAUGCCCCAAACGUAAAUGACAGUGGGGGGAUGCCCCAAACGUAAAUGACAGUGAGGGGAUGCCCCAAACGUAAAUAACAGUGGGGGGAUGCCCCAAAUGAAAUGACAGUGGGGGGAUGCCCCAAACGAAAUGACAGUGGGGGGAUGCCCCAAACGUAAAUGACAGUGGGGGGAUGCCCCAAACGUAAAUGACAGUGGGGGGAUGCCCCAAACGAAAAUGACAGUGGGGGAUGCCCCAAACGAAAAGACAGUGGGGGGAUGCCCCUAACGAAAUGACAAUGGGAGGAUGCCCCAAACGAAAAGACAGUGGCAAUAGGGGGAUGCCCUAUGUGAUAACUCAUAAAGAUGGACAAAUGGGUCCGACAACCAUGAAAUCAACAAGAGACACGGUAAACCCAAAGAGAGGGGGUAUGCCCUAGUAGAAAAGCGCUAGAGGGGAUAUGCCCCAGUAUGACGACUCGCAAAGAUCACGAUUAUAUUGGUACUUGAAUUUUACAAAUAUGUUGAAAAUAUCAAUGGAUAUUUUAACAAAAAUAUUGAUGGAAUGAAAAUUAUUAAAAAUUCAUGAAAAUACUUAAAAAAAACUUUAAAAAAUGAUAAAAUAUAUAAAAAUACAUAUUUUAUAACUGUAAUUGAUAUAAGCAUAAUCAAAUAUAAUAUUAAUCAAUUGUUUUAAGAAAAAAUUAACUUAAAUUCCUUUAAUAUAUUUGUAUUCAUUUAUUUUAAAAAUUAAAAACUACUUUUAUUAAAAUAUAUUUUAUUACAUUUUAAAUAAAAAUUAAAUCGAUUUACAUAAAGUAUUUUAUUUAAGAUUUAAUUUCUAAAAUUUUGUUACAAAUUUGUAGUGACAAUUUUUUGCUAUUAACAUUAAUUUAUUUAAAUAAUUAAAGUUAUUAAAAAUAUAUUAAUAAUAUAUUUUAUCGAAUUAAUUUUAAUUUAUAAAAUAUUAGAACUUUAUUAUUAUUAUUUUUUAUAUUUUAUCAAUUUUUGAAUAAAUUUAUAUUUUUAAUAUUUUAAAAUAAAAACAUUUAAAAUUAAAUGAAAUUAAAAGGGAAAAUAUAAAAAAUUUAAAGUAAAGUUAUAGUAAUUUUUUAAAAUAGGAUUAAUGAGAUAAAUAUGAAAAAUAAUUAAAAAUAAAAAGAUGAUACAGAAUAAAAGGGUGAUAUAAACUUAAAAUAAAAGAUAAAUUGAAAAAAAUAAUUUAAAAAUAUAAAUAUUUAAAAAAAAAAAAAAGUCUUUUUGAAAGAAUGGUCGAUUUUGGCAAAUUUUUCGGUGAAGUUGUUCCCCAUGCACACUUGCUCUCCAAAUGAUUGCCGAGAUUUUCAUUUUUUCCAAUUUUUCACCAAUUAUUGAUGAUCGAUUUCAACCACUGCCUAUAACCGAUUUUUCAUCCAUAUUUUGACAACUUUUCCCAAAUUUUCAAACCUUGUUUAUUCCAAUAUUUUUCUUAAAACACCUCAGAUUAUUAUAUUAUAAAUCUUAAAUCUUAUGAUUUUUUUUUCUUUAUAAUUAGUGUGGGGUUUUUCGAAUAAAAGUCUUUGUGUCAUGUGUGUUCUAUUUAUUCAUUGAUUAUCCCUAAUAUCUUCAAGUUUUAAUUUUGAUUAAGCUUUUCAACUCUUACAUUGUAAUAUUUAUAAAUCAUUCGUUUGUCCCCGUUAGUGUUAUUAUAUUGGAUAAGCUUUUUCAACCAAACAUACAUUUUGUUAAAACCAUUAUUUAAAUAUAUAAAAAAAAAAAUUCUAACUUUAAAAACGCAUUUAACAAAAAAAAUAUAUUUUUUUUUAAUAAUUUGUUAUAAAAACAAUUUAUUUUAUUUUUAUAAAAUAUCUUGAGUAAUAAUAAAAAAAAUACAAAAAAAAAAAUAGAUUCCUGUUUUGAUUGUAUUUCUAAACAAGGGAUCCAUGGAUUUAUCGGCAGAUAAAUGACAAAAUAUAAUAUUAUUAAAUUUUAAAUUAACAUGUAAGGAAUCAAAUAACCAAGGUUUCUUCCUUUUCUACCCUUUGUUUAUAAAUGUUGAUGGAGAAUGGGACUAUUGGAAUUGUUACUUUCCGCCAUAAAAAAAGUUCCACUUAAGAGGAUUUAAUUACAUAAAAACGUUUGUGGGUGCUUUUAGUUUCAAAGAGUGCUUUAGCAAAUAAAGCAAUAAUAUGUGAUGUUGUCCAUGUGAUGAAUAAGACCUUCAAGUUAUUUCCUUGAACACAAAAAUAUUAAAUUUGUGAGAAAUCGCAUAGGAUAAUUAACGUUUGUCUUCAAUCACAUGAUAUUGAUUUUUAAUAUUUUUUGUAUCAAUCUAAUGUGAUCAUGACUAGUUUCAAUAUUUUUCCACAUAAGAUUCUACAUACCGCAAAAUGUCGAAAAUUCUCAUUGUUUUGUUUUCAAAUUUUCAUUAUUGUUUCACCAAUUUAUUGAUAUUUUGAUUUAUUAUACGAGUGAUGUUUUUCUUUUAAAAAAUUAAAUAUUUAAAGGAAUGAAUUUAAAUGACUAAAAAUAAAAAUAUCAAUUUUUAUGUAUAUUUUAAUAAUUGAAUUUUAUAAAUAUAUUGAAAUAUAUAAGAAUUACGAGGAUUACAUGAUUACGUAGUCGAUAAAAUACUCAAUUAAGAAUUUUCAUAUCAAUCCAAGAUCACCAUGAUUAGUCCCGAUAUGAGCAUCUGAAAUCAAAACUAAACAACUUAAACUUAGAAAUAAUGGAUAACAAUUAAACAAGUCAUCCAUAUAUUAAGGGCUCGUUUGGAAUAAUAUUCUAUAUUUGGUUUUUAUUUUGAAAAAAAUUAACCAAAUCGACACAAAAGUUUAUAUUUCGAAAACCGUUUUCAAUAUUUGAAAAUAGUUUGUAAAAAUGAAAAUAUGAUAUUUUUUAGAGAAAAGUUUAUAUGUUUUCGAAUAUUUUUUUUGAAAUAAAGUCUGAGCAACUUCACCGCAGCAACUUCACCGCAUUGAUGCAGAAGAAUCAGUUUAGUGGCAUAAGAAAAUUAAUGAGAAACUGAGGGCAAAACUAUAUGGGAGAUGCAUGGGUCAAAGUCAAACCUCGUACGUGUACGCGCACGCGUUCAUCGAAAAUUAAAAAUUCUGUAGGUGUGGACUUGCAAAGCUUUCAUUGAUUAAUAUCUUCUUUUCUUUUCUGUUUGUUUUUUCUCCUGUUAAUGGUUGAUGGAAUUGAGAAAAUAUGAAAGAAGGCUGCUUUUCUCUAUUGAUUCCUUGCCAUAAUCUUAGAUUGCGUAGAGUUAAAUGAUAAAAAAUUUUAAAUAUUAGAAAACUUACAAUAUUACUUAAAAUUAUUAUUAAUUAAAAUUUUAAAGUGUAUUUGAUAAUGAUUUUAAUAAAUAUUUUUAACUUUUUUAACACUUUAAAAUUUUUAUCAUUAAAGUAUUAAAAAUAUUUUAAAAAAUUAUUAUAAAAUACAUUUUUAUAAUAUGUUUAAAAUUUAUUUUAGAAAAUGUUUAUACUCUUUCUAACACUUAAAUAAUAAAAAUUUUCAACUGUUAAAAAAAUUAAAAACACUUCUUAAAAUCACUAUCAAACGAGCUCUUAAUCUCUAAUAAUUUUGGUAAGUAAAUUAAUAAUUUUAUUAACAUUUUUAUCAUAUUUUUAUCUUUAACAAUCUCACAUAUGUGCAUAUAUUUAUUUUAAAGUUUUAAAAUAUUCUAUUUGAUUAGUAUAAGCUACAAUAUAUUAAAUAAAAUAACUUUACUCCGAUGCCCAAUGAAUAGAUGUAAUAAAGUUUAACAUGAUUUGUUAACAUAAAUUGAGUGUAAUCAUAUUUAAGUUACAUUUGAAUGUUGACCUAUAUAUAUCAUUUAAUAAAUAAAUGAUUUUUGGUUAAUUUAUAUAACACGAAUUAAAAAAAAAAACUAUUUAACAAUUGUAACGAUUAUCUUGAUGGUAACCAUAACCUAUCUAUCCCAUAUUUGAUUCAUUUAAAAUCUAAUUUUGAAUAAAUUAAUCAAUGGAGUCAUAAGUACGUUAGGUUGGAAGGUUAAUCUUAUUAACUCAAAUUAGAUCCAACUCGACUUAGUUUAGCAAAUGAGUUACCCAACAUCUUAAAGAUGCCUUACAUGUUUACAAAUUAAGUCAUGUUUGGUUCAUUCUUUUAACCUAAUUAGUAUUGCUAUUUUACACUCUGACUUGCACCACUUAUUUAUUUUUAGUUAAUAUUAAGUAAUUCUCCUUUGGCUCCCAGUUUUUAGUUAAUGCUUUUUUUUUUUUUUUGCCUUUUUAUACUUCCAUUUGUAGGUAGAUUUCUAAAACUUUGGAAAUAUUAAUUUAUUGAAUUCAAACACCAUUCUUAUAGUUCUCAACACACCAUGGGAUGGAUGAAAUCAUGGGUCUUAAUAUAGUAUUAAUCAUAUUCUGUCAUGUAUAUAAUUUAAUAUUAUUAUUUUAUAUGCAAAGUUAUUUAAUGGUUUGGAUCAAAACUUCAAUAAAUAUCGAUUUGAUAUUCUAGAUUUUUCCUUGUAAUAAUAUCUUUUUAAGUUCUUAUUAUGGUAUCAUAUUUUACAUCAAAUAUUUUUAUUUUCGAAUAUCAAAAUAGAAAAUAUAUUAUGUUUGAAUAUCGUUCAUUUUAAACUGCUUACACAUUUAAAAAAACAUGGAAAAAAUGUAAUAUUUCGUAAAAUAACUCAUUUUACACGCUGGCCCAAACAUUUUGUCAGCGUAAAUGAACAUGUAGAAGCAUUUCAAAAGAAAAAACAAGAUGUAGAUAGAUGGUGAGAGAGAGACAAAGCUUAGCAUAAAUAGUAUAAAGUGUAGAGACAUUAGCAUAUGCUGUGUUUGGGCAUUGAAAAAUUGGUGUUGGAGAGGGCAACCUGUUUGGGUUGGGCUGCAUUUCGUCAUAGUUAGUAAUGGUGGAAAAUUGGACCACUCUCUCCUUCGAUGCAUGUAGUAAAAGAGCAAGGCCUGAUUCAUAAGAAAAUUAAGUGAGAGCUCUAAAUCAUUUCUAGGAAUAGUCUUAGUAAUUACCAUUACUGCUAUUUUCAAAGCCAUAACCAACAUUAUUCAGAAUCUCAGAUCAGAUCACCCCAAUACAAAUAAAAAGCACUUUUUGGGUCAUAAACAAUUCUGGGCUUUCAAGAAGCUAAUUCCAACAUAGCUACUAUGUUUUCUAUUUUAUAUAUUUUAAAAGUAAUUUUUUUUUUAAAAUAACUUUUAUCUAUAAUACUUUAUUUUUAAUAAUUCUUCAUAUUUAUAUAAUUAUUUUUUAAAGUAUUCCUUAGAAAAUAAAUGAAAAUAAUGAUUUUUUUUUAAUAAAAGUUCUUGUGUUAUAUUUUUAAGAACAAAAAAUUAUGCUAUGUGUGGAAAGCGAUUUCAAAAAUAAUUUUGAAAAAUAAUUUUUAAAAAGUAUUCUAUUAUGUUUUACAUAACAAAAUUUUAUUUGGAAACUUGAAAAUAUUUUUAACUUAUUUUCUACAUUUUAAAAUACAAAAAUAAAUUUUAUUUAUAAUUCUUUAUUUUUAGUUAUUCUCUAUAUUUAUAUAAUUAUUUUUUAAAACUGUUAUUAAAAAACAAUUUAAAACAUUUUACUUCCGCAACUAGAAAUCAAUAUUGUUAUGAAUUGAACUUUUACAUUAUGAGUGGAAUUUGAUUUUUAUUAAAAUAAUUUUUUAUCUCAUUCUAACAUUCUUAGAAUGGAUCAGAAAAUGCAUAACAUGUCCAUUCUGGUUGCUUAUUCCCCUUACCAAAUAUCCCUCAGUUUCUUCCUCCUUUCUGCCCUUUGUUUUUAAAUGUUGACGGACACUGGAAGUUGUAACAUUCAGUCAUACAAAAAGUUCCAGCUUUUAGUUUGAGAUAAUGCAUGGGAAAGUAGACGUCCACGUUGCUUCCUUCAACACAAAAGAAUUAAAUUUGUGAGAAAUAUAUUGCAUGUGACUUGUAAUUGACUUUUCUCUCCAAUCACGUGAUUAGACUAGUAAGACUCCGUUAAUAAUCUUCAUAUCAAUCCAAGACCACAAGGUCCACGAGGCCUGGUCCAAAUAUAAGAAUCUGAUUCCUAGUUAGACGUAGAGAUAAAGGUUAUGAUUGUUCCCAGAGAAUUCCAAGAAAAAUGUAAGAAAAAGGAAAUAAAAUUUAAAAAAAAUUAUAUAUUUAUAAUUAAUAAAUUAUUUUUAUAUAUUAUUUUAAACCCAUUUCAUUUAUUUAUUUUUUAAGUUUUAAAAAUUUUAAAAUAAAUUAUAUAUAUAUAUAUAUAUAAUUAUUUAUUUUAAAUUAUUUUUAACAUCCCUAAAAAAUAAUAAGAAACAAUUGAAAAUAAUUAAAAUAUGUAUUCAAAAAAUAUAAUAUUUUUAUUUUUAAAAAUAAAAACUAUUUUUAUUUUUCUGUUACUAAAUAUAUUUUUUUAUUCUCAAAAAUAAAAGACGCCCCAAGCAUUAAAAACACUUAUAAAACAAUUUUCUAGCUUAAAAAACACGUUUAAUAAAAAAUAUUUUUUAAUAAUUUGUUUUAGAAACACUCUAUUUUUAGAAUAAAUUCGAUGUGUUUAUAAUUAUUAUUUUUAUAAAAUAUCUUGAGUAAUAAUAAAAAAAUAAUACAAAGAAUAGAUUUUUGUUUUAGUUUUAUUUCUAAACUAGGGAGGGAUCCCAUUUAUUUGUUGGCAAAGGUAAGACAAAAUGUAGCAUUAUUAAAUUUUAAACACGCAAGAAAUCAAACAACCAAAGUUUCUUCCUUUUCUACCCUUGCUUUUAAAUGCUGAUGGAGAAUGGGAGUCGUAACUUUUCGCCGUGAAAAAGUUUCACUUAAGAGGAUAUAAUUAUAUAUAAACGUUUGUGGGUGCUUUUAGUUUCAGAUAAUGCUUUAGCAUAUAAAGCAAUAAUAUGUGAUGUCCAAAUGAUGAAUAAGACCUUCACGUCACUUCCUUGAACACAAAAAUAUUCAAUUUGUGAGAAAUUGUAUAUGACGAGUAAUUCACGUUUGUUUUUGUUCACAUGGUAAUGACUUGUAAAUGAUUGCUAAUAUUUUUCAUAUCGAUCCAACAUUACCAUGACUAGUCUCAAUGUUUUUUCCCACAAGGUUUUAUCUGUAAGAAAAUGUAUGAUAUUAUGAUAAAUAUCAUGUUGGAAUUUUUAUGUGUGGACUUACAUAAUCAAUUUGAUAAUAUCAUAAAUUAGUGUUAUUUUAUUUUUUGCAUUGUGAUCCAUAAUGGGAUUGGACACAUAUUGUUGCUUGAUAUUAAGUCAAGUCGUCCAAAUAAAAUGUGUAAUGUGUAAUAUAUAUAUAGAGAUGUGUGUGCAUUUUGGAUAGCAUCCUCUUUUCUUCUCUUGGAGAGCACUCCUCGUAACCACACACACACUUGCACUUUGAAUUGAAUUUUGGGAGGUAAGGGAAGAGCUCAUUGAUCCCUCAUUCUCGGACCAUCACGCACCCGGAAAGCAGCUUAUUAGAUAUCAGAGGGAGAAAAAAGGGCUUCCCAUGGCAUGAACCAAGGUAACCGGAUGAAUUUUUGCUAUUAAAUGCAUGCUUAAAUGUUAACAUGUGAUCCUAUGCUAUUUCAAUUUUCUUCAAUUGGAAUCAGAGCAAGCAUGGUUGACAUUUGAGCUGCAAUUUUGGGUUAAUUUUUUAUUUCUCAUUUUCUGGUUAUGGAAGACAUUUUUUGGGUUUUUUUUUUUUUUUUCGUUUGGUGUUAAUUCUUGGUUUUCAAGCCCAAUUAAGGUUGGAGACUUGUAGAGAAUAUUGUUUGGAGCAAAACCCAUCAAUUUUUGUGAUUUUUUGGAGCUCAUUUGAUGAUAUUUCGAAAAUUAGGGCUUGUUUGGUUCUUGCUAUUAUGCGUUUUUUGUGCAUUUUUUUGGGUUUGGAUUGAAGGAUUGAUGUUUGAGGAUGGAAAUCUAAGUAUUUUUGUCGAAAAAUGCUCGAAAUUUUGGGCGAAUUUUUUUUUUCUUCUCCAGAACCAGGUUGUGUUCAGCUAGAUGAGAAGAUGAACAGUACCAUGCUGACAUCAUCAUGACGUCAUAAAAAAACAAUUCUUUUUUUUUUGUUUUGUUUGCCUUGGUAUUCUUAGAUUGAUUAUGCAUAUGUUAGAAUUAUUAUGCAUUUGUUAAAAUUGACUUUAUUGGGACAAUUAUUAUAAUUAUUGUUUUUAUGGUAUAAUUUUUAUUUUAUACCAAUAAUGUUGUCCAAGGUCAAUUUUGUUAACUAUUUAAAUUUAUUGUGGCAAUUUAUAACACUUGUGUGAUUGUCUAUCGCAAUUCCAAGUGUGUCAAGUUGCGCAAAUUGAAUAUUUUAGUUUAUCAUGACAAUAGUGAACAUAUAUGUGGUUGCCUAUCGUGACCCUAUAUGUGUCAAAUUGUCUUUGCUGAGAUAAUUUAGCUCCCACAUUUAGUUGCUUUAUUAUUGUGAUUACUAAGAUCCAUACGGGUAUUGUAAUUGUCCUAUCGAUGAUGACAAUACUUGGUAGGAUGCUUAGAUUGGUGAAGGAAAUUAAUUGUAUAUUAUGAACCGUACUAAUUUUCUUUGCCCUUUCGGUAAUUCAAUUAGUACAUCUUGGUUGUAAUAUUUAAUUAGUUGUCCUUACCGCCGAGGAAUUUUCAAAAUUCCAAGCUAUUGCUAAAUUGAGAAAUUAUGGAAACUAGCAAAUGCAUGAUAUUGUAAUAGCAUGCAUACUGUUGAAUUUUGCUAUUUUCUAGCUACCAGCAAUCCUGGUAUUUCUCUACAAUUGUCUGCCAUCAAACCUCUUACUGGAAAUAAUUUUGAAGAAUGGUUUGAGUCCUUUAACGUGCAUAUGACUCUGCAAAAUCUGGACUUGGCUUUAAGGGUUGAUGAGCCAAGUAAGCCCAUUGAUGUGAGCUCUGCAGAUGAAAGAUUAUUUAAUGAAAGAUGGGAGCACUCCAACAGGAGUUGUUUGAUGGUGAUGAAAUACACUAUGGAUAAAUCUAUCAAAGAAUGCGUGUCAAAGACGGAAAGGGCCAAAGACUUCUUGGAAUAUGUGAAGGCUAAUUAUACCAAGGUUGAUAAGGCAGAAAUGACAACUCAUUUUAAGCUUCUCACAACUACUGUAUAUGAUGGAUUCAGUGGGGUUAGAGAUCAUAUCAUCAAGCUAAGGCACUACUUCAACAAGGCAAAUGAGAUGAAAGUGGAGUUGGGUGAAAAAUUUCUGAAAUGGUUGAUACUUGAGUCUCUUCCUGUUUCCUUUGAUGCAGUGAAGUUGACUUACAAUGCCUUAAAGGAAGAAUGGACUCUGAAGGAGUUGAUGUCCAUUAUAGUGCAGCAUGAAGUCUCACUGAAGAAAAAUGAGACUCAUUCCCUUGCUCUUGUAACUGAUCAAGUCAGUAAUAUGAAGAAAAAACCUCCACACAAGAAUUUUGGAGGCUUUAAGCAGUUCAAGAGGAAAGGGAAUUCAAAUCAAGGAACCUCCAAUGCAUCUACUUCUUCUAAUGCUGCAAAGAGUGAGAAAUUCAAGGGGAAGUGCAACUUUUGCCAUAAGAUUGGCCACAAGCAAGCUGAUUGCUUCAAAUUUAAAAAUUGGCUAGAGAAGAAAAAGAAAGGUGAAAUUGUGGUUGUGGUUAAUUUGAAUGCAAACAUGAUUGAGACAAAUAUUGUUGAUGUUCAUGCCAAUUCUUGGUGGUUAGAUACUGGUGUCACUAUUCAUGUCACUAAUUCUUUGUAGGAGAUGAGAAACAGAAGGAAGUCGUCAAAACAUGAAGAAUGUGUGUAUAUGGGUGACGGAAGCAAAGUGAAAGUGGAAUUUUUUGGCAUGAUAAAGCUGAAGUUGAUCACAUAAAGUUUUUUGUUGUUACACAAUGUGGCUUUCAUACCCUCACUUCGGAGGAAUCUGAUUUCUGUAUCUUCUUUGGAUAGACUUGGUUAUUCUUUUCACUUUGGAGAUGGAAAAGUGAAUAUUUUUUGCAACUCAGUCUUAAUUGGCAAUGGUGUUUUGUUUGGAAAUAUUUAUUGUCUUAGUUUGCAUCAUGGUUUAUUAUGUGAUUCAUCUUCUGUUAAUUCUGUUGUUGGUUGCAAGUGUGCUAGAAUGAAUUUAAGUUCUUCCAUGUUGUGGCACAAACGCCUAGGUCAUAUUUCUAAGCAAAGAUUAGAGAGAUUGGUGAAAGAUGGUGUGCUUUCUAAUCUUGAUUUCUUAGACUUUGAAACUUGUGUUGUUUGCUUAAAGGGGAAGAUGGCAGUAAGGACCAAAAAGGAGAAAAUUGAUAGGUGUGGAAGUACUUUAGACUUGAUCCACAUAGAUAUAUGUGGUCCUUUAACACCAACUGCUUUAGGGGGUUAUAAAUAUUUCAUCAUUUUUAUUGAUGAUUUCUCUAGAUUUGGUUAUGUUGAACUAAUCCAUGAGAAAUCUGACUCCCUGAAUGUGUUUAAAGCCUUUAAGGCUAAGGUGGAGUUGCAGUUGGGAAAGCUCAUUAAAGCUGUGAAGUCUGAUAGAGGUGGUGAGUAUUAUGGGAGAUAUGAUGAGACUGGACGGAAUCCUGGACCAUUUGCUAAGUUUCUGUUGGAAUGUGGCAUUGAUGCGANNNNNNNNNNNNNNNNNNNNNNNNNNNNNNNNNNNNNNNNNNNNNNNNNNNNNNNNNNNNNNNNNNNNNNNNNNNNNNNNNNNNNNNNNNNNNNNNNNNNNNNNNNNNNNNNNNNNNNNNNNNNNNNNNNNNNNNNNNNNNNNNNNNNNNNNNNNNNNNNNNNNNNNNNNNNNNNNNNNNNNNNNNNNNNNNNNNNNNNNNNNNNNNNNNNNNNNNNNNNNNNNNNNNNNNNNNNNNNNNNNNNNNNNNNNNNNNNNNNNNNNNNNNNNNNNNNNNNNNNNNNNNNNNNNNNNNNNNNNNNNNNNNNNNNNNNNNNNNNNNNNNNNNNNNNNNNNNNNNNNNNNNNNNNNNNNNNNNNNNNNNNNNNNNNNNNNNNNNNNNNNNNNNNNNNNNNNNNNNNNNNNNNNNNNNNNNNNNNNNNNNNNNNNNNNNNNNNNNNNNNNNNNNNNNNNNNNNNNNNNNNNNNNNNNNNNNNNNNNNNNNNNNNNNNNNNNNNNNNNNNNNNNNNNNNNNNNNNNNNNNNNNAGAAUACAGUGAACAGAUGCAUAUAUUUGAGGGUCAGUGGAAGUAGUUACAUAUUUCUUGUUUUAUAUGUUGAUGAUAUACUACUCGCAUCAAAUGAUCCUAACUUGUUGAUUGAGACAAAGCACAUGUUGUCAACCCAUUUUGACAUGAAGGAUCUUGGUGAGGCUUCUUAUGUUUUGGGCAUAAAGAUUCUUCGUGAUAGGGCUAAUGGAGUGCUUAAAUUGUCUCAAAGAGCCUAUAUUGAAAAGAUAUUGAAGAGGUUCAAUAUGCACAAUUGUAAACUACUAAAACGCCAAUUGUGAAGGGUCAUAAGUUUUCAAAGGCUCAGUGUCCUCAAAAUGAUGAUGAGAGAGAGGAAAUGAGGACCAUUCCUUAUUCAUCUGUGGUGGGCAGCUUUAUGUAUGCUCAAGUAUGUACACGCCCUGAUAUUGCUUUUGUUGUGGGCAUGUUGGGAAGAUACUUGAGCAAUCUUGGGAGUCAACAUUGGAAAGAGCUAAGAAGGUCCUUAGUAUUUGCAAGGAACUAAGGACUUAAUGUUGACAUAUCAGCGCACCAGCUUACUUGAUGUAGUUAGGUUUUGUGAUGCUGAUUUUGCUGGCUGCAUAGAUGAUAAGAAAUCCACUAUGAGCUAUAUUUUUAUGAUGGCAGGAGGAGCAGUAUCUUAGAAAAGUGUCAAGCAAACACUUACAGCAUUCUCAACUAUGGAGGCAGAGUAUGUGGCAUGUUAUGAGGCUUGUUGUCAUGUUAUGUGGAUGUGCAAUUUUAUUUCAGCUUUGGGAGUUGUUGACUCCAUUUCUUGACUGCUGAAAUUAUUUUGUAAUAAUUCCGCAACUGUUGCUUUCUCCAAGAACACUAGAGUAUUUCUCGCUCCAAACAUAUUGAUGUAAAGUUCUAUUUUGUUAAGGAGAAAGUGGCAGAGUCUCUUAUUGAUAUUGAAUACAUGUCCACAAAAGGUAUGUUGGCGGAUCCAUUAACAAAAGGCUUACCCGUAAUUGCGUUUCAAGAACAUGUAUCUCAAAUGGGGUUGUUGGAAGCCUAGGUUGUAUUAAGUUAGUGGGAGCCACUUUUUGGUAUUGUAAUACUAUGUUAUUGUUGGAAGGAUUGCUAUUAUUGUACAUUUCCCUAUGAAAUCAAGCAAUGAAGCAUAUAUGAUUGCUUUUGAUUAUUUGUUUUUGAUGAGAUUCUAUGGGACAUUGAUUUAUGAUUAUGUAUAUGUUGUGAUGUUUGAUUAUGUAGUCCAAGUGGGAGAAUUGUUGGCAUUUUUAUGUGUGGACUUACAUAAUCAAUUUGAUAAUAUCAUAAAUCAGUGUUAAUUUAUUUUUUGCAUUGUAGUCCAUAAUAGGACUGGACACAUAUUGUUGCUUGAUUUUUUAUGGGUUCACCCUAAUUCACUUAACUAGCCCAUUAAGUCAAGUCGUCCAAAUAAAAUGUGUAAUGUGUAAUAUAUAUAUAGAUGUGUGUGCAUUUUGGAUAGCAACCUCUUUUCUUCUCUUGGAGAGCACUCUCGGCAACCACACACACACUUGCACUUUGAACUGAAUUUUGGGAAGCAAGAGAAGAACUCAUUGAUCCCUCAUUCUCGGACCAUCACGCACUCAGAAAGCAGCUUAUUGGAUAUCAGAGGGAGAAAAAAUGGCUUCCCAUGGCAUGAACCAAGGUAACUGGAUGAAUUUUUGCUAUUAAAUGCAUGUUUAAAUGUUAACAUGUGAUCCUAUGCUAUUUCAAUUCUCUUCAUAUCACGCGUUGGUUGUCCCAAUACUAUAAGCAGAGGGAAAUUCUCCUUGCUCUAACGUUUUCAAAUUUCCAUCAUUGUUUCGUUGAUUUAUUGGUGAUAUUUUGAUAUAUCAUAUUAUAUUGGUUUUCCUUUAAAAUUUUGAAUGUUUGGAGAAAUGAACUUGAAAUACCAAAUAUGAAAAUAUCAAUUUUUAUGUAUAUAUUGAUAAUUGGAUUUUAUGAAUAUAUUAGGUUUUAUCAAAGUCACAUGAUAAUGAUGGAUAAUAAAUUCAAUUAAAUAUUUCUGUACCAAUCCAAGUUGACCAUGACUAGUCCAAAUAUAAGAGUUUGAAGAUAAAGUUAAACAAUUUAAACAUAAAUAUAAAGAAAAAUAAGUCAAACAUAAGUUAAGGACUCAUUUGAAAUAAUUUUCUUUUGUUUUAAUUGAAAAUAAGCUUUUUGAACAAAAUUAGUCAAAUUUACCAAAAAAAAAAGUUGAUAUUGGCCUUAAAAACAAGUCUUAAGCUUCCCACAUUCAAACAGGCUUAACAUAAAGGAAGAAAAAGUUAUACCCCUUCCUAUGUAAUUUUUUUGAUAAAUAUUUUUUAUUUUUUAUUUUCAAAUUCGAGGCGUUCGUAUGAGAAUGUUUUAAAAAUCUAUUUUACAAAAAUAGUUAUUGAAAACUCAUAUGAUGUUUUUUUAGAAAAAACUUUGUAUGUGUUCGAAUAUUUUUUUUAAAUAAAGUGGACUAAUUUCAUUUAUUACGUGGUUUCUUAUCCCGCGUUAAUGCACAUGGAAGACCGAAUAACGUAAAGAAGAAUCAGUUUAGUGGCAUAGAAAAUGAAUGAGAAACUGAAAGCAAGCUGCAUAGGAGAUGCAUGGGUCAAAGUCAAACCUCGUAGUUGUACGCGUACAUCUUCAUAGAAAAUUAAAAAUUCUGUAGGUGUGGACUUGCAGAAAUUUCACUGAUUAAUAUUUUCUUUUCUCCAUUUUUUUUCGUGUGUAUGUGUUUUUUUUUUCUACUGUAGAAUAGUCGAUGGAAUGACUUUUGCAAAUUGAGAAAAGAAAGUAUUGAAUUGAAAUGAUUAUUUUAUGCCCUCUUGCGGGUUUUAUAUGAAAGAAUGUAUACAAAAAGAAUUUGAAGCUAAUGGUAGCAAAAUAAUUAUUACCCAAGAUUUUAUACAAAUUUUUUUUAUAGAUGUGAAUAAUUGUCAUUUCAUGAAUUAUGAGAUUUUUGGACUCCUUCCUCUUUUGAUUCUUUGCUAUGAUCUUAAUCUCCGAUUAUUUUGCUAAGUAAAACAAUAAUUUUAUCAAUAUUUUUGUUAUAUUUUUAUCUUUAACAAUCUUACAUAUGACUAACGAAUGGAUAUAACAAAAUUUAACAUGAUUUUCUAACAUGAGUUUGAUCUUAUACAUUUUUCAUGGAUUUGGAUCAAGUAUAAUCAUAUUUGAGUUAUAUUGUGUAUUGACUUAUAUAUAUCAUUUGAAAAAUAAAUUAUUUUGUCAAUCUGCAUAACAGGAAUUUGAAAAAAAUAACCUAUUUAAUAAUCGUGCUAAUUAUCGUGAUUAUAAUCAUAACUUAUUUAACUCAUAAUUGAUUCAUUUAAAAUUUGAUUUUUGAAUAAAUCAACCAAUUAAGUCAAGGUUGAGAGUUUAACCAUAUUAACUUAAAUUGGACCCUCGCCUGGGAUUAUCAAAUGAGUUACAUGGCGUCUUAAAAGACGUGUUUAAUGUUUACCAAUGGAGUCAUGUUUGGCUGAUUCUUUCAACCCAAUUACGUGUAUUAAUUGCUAUUUGACACUUCCUCCUUACACCACCUUUUCAUUUUUAAUUAAUAUUAAUUAAUUCUCCUUUGGCUUCCAGUUUAUAGUUAAGGGCUGCUCCACCCCCCUCCUUUUUUUUUUUUUUUUUUUUUUUCUGUUUUAUGAUUUCAUUUGUAGAUUUCUAAAAUUUUGAAAUAUUAAUUUGAUGAACUCAAACACAUUUCUUAUAAAUCUUAAUAGACUGUGGGAUGAAACCAUGGCCUUACUAUGGUACUAUCAUAAGUAUUAAUCAUAUUAUGAAAAAAGGUGAGCUCAGAAAAAAUAACUACACCCAUAAGUAUUAAUCAUAAAUUGAUUUAAUAAAAUGGAUACAUUAGAAAAAGAAGAAAUUGUAACAUGCCACAUAAUUUUAUUUUAUUUUAUUUACAAAAAAAUCAAGAUAUGUUGCGUUAAAGACUUCUUUCACUUUUAUAUUCCAAGGUAGUUUUGAAUUUGGAUAAAUUAGGAUAGAGGGAUCUCAUUCUUAAUUUUUUUUUAAAAAAGUCAAAUCUUAAUUAUUGAAUAUAUAUGAAGCAAGACUUUUCCAAGGGUCUUUGUCUACUUGGAUAGCCAUCCUACUCACCAAACAUGUGCUUAGAAUAGUGGCAAUCCAUAGACUUACGGGUACACCUAGGAUGACUCAAUAUUAUUAAAUGUUCUUAAAAAUUGUGUACACGUAACAGAUCCACAUGAUGUAAUAUACUAGAAGACAUAAUACUAUACAUCAAAAAAAUAGAAUCUGUCAUGUACAUAAUUUCAUCUUAUGAUUUCAUAUACAAAGUAAUUAUAUAUUUGUAUUCUUGGCCAAAGACAUCAAUUUUAUCAUAUAUUUUCUAUGACUUGGAUCAAAACUUCAAUUAAUAUCGAUUUGAUAUUCUAAAUUUUUCUUUAUAAUAAUAUCUUAAAAGUGAAUCUCAAUAAUAGAUUACACCUAGAGGGAAAUGAAUAAGUGUUAUUGAUCUAUAAAAUAAGUUUUCCAACAAAGAUUAUCUAACCUUAGAAUUUCUUAAUGUCAAUAAACUUCUCUUCCAACAACUUUUCAGUAAAACAUAAAAUUUACAAGCAAGUAUGCAUACACCAACACUUUCCCCACAAUUUAUAAGAGUAAUUCACAUGUAAAUACUUCAAUACUCAAAAUUAAUUCAUAAGAAUAAUUCUUUCCUUAAAUCAAUUCCAAUUACUAUAAGGUAUCAUUAACCAAAAUGAAAAAAAAAUAAAAAUUAUUCAAGCUAAUAUCCAAUGGAUAUUCAUACUUAUUUCAACUCAUUUUUCUUUCAUUUAACAUAUAUGCCCAAGUAACCAAUGUUAUCAAAAAUUAAAAAUAAAUAAAAGAGUAUAGAAUGAGAUAAAUAUACAAUUGACAUCGAAUUUUAACGUAGAAAACUUUUGAAUAGAUAAAAAAAAAAAAAAAAAACUAUGAGCCUACAACUAAUCGAAAACAUUCACUAUGAAUAAUAAAAACUAAAUACAAGGUUUUACCUAGUUCAAGCCAACCAAUCAUUCCCGGACCACUUGACUAGUACCUUUCACUUUCAGCUUUUCACUUUCUUCUUUCAGAACACACCUGGAGUCCACACAAGAAGAAAAUGGGUUUUUAUCUAAACCCAAAUAAAAUGAGAAAAUGAAUGUUUAAGAAAUCAACCUAUCUUUCUUUUCAAAAAAUCCAUUUAAAAAUUUUCUUGGAAAACUUGGAUGAGAUUUUCUUAGUAUGCAAACAACAAAAAAUGGUAUGGAAUGAGGAGCUCUCUCUCAUAGUUGUUGCAAUCUCUCUACUCCAGAAAUGGGAGAAAGUUCAUUUUAAAUGAAAAUGAAAUCCUUAAUCCAAGGUAUAAAAAAUGAUUUUAAAAACAAGUUAGUUGGAUUGAUCUGCCCCUACACCUGAAUAAAUCUAGAAACAGAGGAACAAAAUUCUUUCAACAAAAAUAUUUCUCUCAACUUUCUUAACUCUUUUAAAUAUGAAAAAUAAGAUUGAUUCACAUUCAAUCACCACACACUUGGCUACAUACACCGGCCUCUUAGUAAAGUCUUAAUCCUCAAAUAUCAAGUAGUCCAAAGAAGAAUUAGAAAACCGAGUUAAGGGACACUUGAUAAUUUUGUUCAAAAUUACCAACCUAGCUAAACACUCACAAUAUCUUUUUAAGUUUUUAUUAUAAUAUCAUUAUUUUACAUCAAGGUCACGGGACUGUCAUAUUUUACAUCAAAGUUAUGACAUUGUACUGAAUGUGUUCAACGUCAUUAUGUAUCUAUGUCAUAAAUAUUUUCAUUUUCAAAUAUCAGUAUAGAAAACAUAUUAUGUUUGAAUAUCUUUCAUUUUAAAUUACUUACACUUUCAAAAAUCAUCGAAUUUUUUUUAAUAUUCCAUAAAAUAACUCAUUUUACACGCUGGCCCAAACAUUUUGGUGUUGGAGAGGACAGAAGAGUAAGUGCCUUUGCAGGGUUACUCACCUGCACCACAACCUGUUUGGGUUGGGCUGCGUUUCCUCAUAGUUAGUAAUGGUUGGAAAAUUGGACCACUCUCUCCUUUGAUCCAUGUAGUAGAAUAGCAUGGCCUGAUUCAUAAGAAAAUUAAGUGAGAGCUCUAAAUCAUGUUUUCUAGGAAUAGUCUUAGCAAUUGCCAUUACUGCUACAUGAUGCUAUUUUCAAAGCCAUAACCAACAUUAUUCAGAUCACCCAAAUACAAGUAAAAAGCACUUUUUGGGUCAUAAAUAAUUCCGGGCUUUCAAGAAGCUAAUUCAAACAUAGCUACUAUGUUUUAGCUCCUCCUUAAUCUCUUCAAACAUAGCUUCUGGAAAGCAAAACAGAGACGAAUAGGAGUUCAUAAGCCAUGAAUGGAUGUGUUUAAAAAUGGUCUAUAUCAAUUUAUAAAGUUUUGUAUUUUUUUUAAUAUCAUUUUUCUCAACUAAAGAAAAAUUCUCCAACUCAAAUCCAUCGUUCCCUUGUUUUCUGGACUUCACUUUCUUCCCAGCUUUAUUUAAAACAAAAAAUAUUCAAAAGAUUAAAAAUAUAAACCAUCUGCCACUUAAAAUGUAUUUAGUAGUAAUUUUAAGAAGCAUUUUUAACAUUUCUAGUAUUUAAAAAUAUUUAUUUUUAAAUGUUAAAAGAACUUAAAAUGCUUUUGAAAAUCACUACUCUUAGACUCUGUCUAGAAAGUGUUUUUAAAAAUAAAUUUGAAAAAUAUUUGUUAUAAAUAAUUUUCUAUUAUUCUGUAAAACAAAAGUGAACCUUAAAUGUUCUUAACUUAUUUUUUAUACUUUUAUAUAUGUUUUAAAAAUGAUUUUUUUUAAAAUAACUUUUAUCUAUAAUGUUUUAUUUUUAAUUAUUCUCCAUACUUGUAUAAUUAUUUUUUAAAAUAAUCCUUAAAAAAUAAAUGAAAAUAAUAAAAGAAUUAAAAAAAAAAAAAGUGUUUGUGUUCAAUUUUUAAGAACAAAAAAUCAUGUUAUGUGUUGAAAGUGAUUUCAAAAAUAGUUUUGACAAACAAUUUUUGAAAAUUGAUCUAUUAUGUUUUGCAAAACAAAUCUUUUUUAGAAACUUAAAAUAUUUUUCACCUAUUUUUUAUAUUUAUAAAUACAAAAGUAACUUUUAUUUAUAAUAUUUUAUUUUUAAUUAUUCUCUAUAUUUGUAUAAUCAUUUUUUAAAAUUGUUAUCCGAAGAUAAGUGAAAAUAAUUUAAAACAAUUAAAAGAUAUUAUUUUUUAUUGUUAAGAAUGUAAAAUUGUUUUCUAUUUUUAAAAGUAAAAAAUUAUUUUUUGUUUUUCCAUUGUCAAACAUAUUUUUUUUCCCCAAAAAAGAUAAACUAUUUUUUAAAUUAGAUACCCAACAAAGUCUUAUUUUCAAUUUUUUUUUCUAAUUGUUAAACAUAUAUAUAUUUAUUCUAUAUAAUAGAAACAAAAAUUGUUACCAUCUUAUUUUAUUAUUUUUGUUUUCUAAUUUUUAAAUAAAAAUAGUUAUCAAAUAAGGUAUUAUUUUUUAUUUUUAAAUUGUCAACUGUUUUUAUUUUUUUUAUUAUGUAUAAUAAAAAAUUGUUUUCAAAAUAGUUGUCUAAUAAGGCCCUAGUACUUUUAUUUAUUUAUUUAUUGAUUUUUUAGAACUUGUGCCCUUUUCAUAUUUUUGGUUUUUCAAGAAAUGAAGAUAAUAAAGGGAUAAAUCAAUGAAUCCACAUAAUUUCUAUUAAAUUUGAAUUAUAAAGUUACAUUUCAUUUCAUGUUGUUAAUUUCAUAUUUUGCUUCAUUUAGAUUAUGUUUAGUUCUAAAAAAAAAUUAAAAGAAAUAUAAAAAAUACAUGUAUAAAAGAUUUUUUUUAAAUGAAUGAAAAUAAAAAAUGAUUAAAAUUUGAUAAAUUAAUUUUAUUUUAUAUUUUAAACUUAUUUUAUUUAAAAAUUAAAUAAUUUAAAAAUAUAUAAAAUUUUAAUUAUAUUUGAUUUUAAGAAAAAAUCAUUUUCUUUUUAUCCUUUUUCUUCCCUCAAACCUUAAGUUUUAGCAUUUUCUUUAAAGACAUGAAGUGUCUAUAAAUAACACAAGAUUGGCAAUCGAUAUACUUCUAGUCUCCAGCUGUUUUCGCUGAUCGAGGUGAAUAAUGUUUUUCAGUACUGCAGAUAUACAUGGGUUCCACAACAAUAAUAAUGAUAGGGAAUUCCUUAUAUACAUGGGUUCCACAACAAUAAUAAUGGUAGGGAAUUCGUGUACCUGAAGGAAAGGCUCAAGCUUUUUUGUCUUUGCUUGAAAAUGCAAGCAUGACAAGGUCUUGUUACUUUGUUUACAUUUCACACUCAAAUCUCAUUUAAUUUUCAUUUUGCUUUAAUUUACAAAUUCAUUUUUUAAGCAAAAAAUAAAAAAUAAAAAAAUUGUAUACCAUUAGAGUGAUCCAGUGUAAAACCAUUUAUAAUAGAAAAAAAUUAUUAACAAAAGUAUUAGAACCUUAAAUGUUGUUAACUUAUUUUUAUAUUUUUAUAUAUGUUUUAAAAAUAACUUUCAUUUGUAAUACAUUAUUUUUAAUAAUUUUUCAUAAUUAUAUAAUUAUUUUUUAAAUAAUUCUUAAAAAACAGAUAAAAAUAAUUAAAAAUAACUAAAAAAAUGUUUUCUAAACAGACAAAUAAACAAAAAGUAUCUCAGUAAUGUGUUACAUCUUCCAAAACAUGAAAAGAGAAAAUGGUUUUUUUCUACCAAAUUGACCACUCAAACUAGACAUAAGUUUACAAAUGAAUUGUACAGAUGUAUGGAAAGAAAUAGGAUAAAUAUUUCUAUGUUCACAUACUUUGAAAUAUAUGCCUCAAACAACAGUAUUGAUUACCUUUUCUUAGAAGUUAAUACCUUUCAAAAGGGACAAGUUUGGAAAACCACGUCCAACAAAUCCAUAGUGUCAAAUCAUCCCCCCUUAGAAGAAAUAACUCUAACUGCCCAAAAUAUGGAAGUAAUAGCUUCUCCUUUCAAAAUAAUAAACCUCAAAGAUAAUGAAGGAAGAACAGUAAUCUUAAAAGACUGCAAAAAUCUUUAACAAAAAAAUAAUUUUACAAACCAAAUAUUAGGAACACUCUCUCUCAACUUGAUAGAAUAGAAGACAAACUGGAACAAUGUCAUGUCUCCCCUCAAAUAAUCACUCCACAUUUUCUAGAUAGAAAUCUACAUAAAAAUCGUCCGAUUUUCAAACCCGCGGAAGUAGGAAAUCAAACACUCAAAUUCUCAAAUAAUUCUAAUGAUUUAAUUCAAACAUUAACAAAGAAAAUUGAACAAUUAGAUCUUUCAAAUAUGACAUCAACAUCAAAUACAAAGUCUGUUAAUGUUAUAACAUAAAUCACUAUGGACAAAGUAGAUCAAAUUCAAACUAUAUUUGAGGAACAUGACCCUCAAAUAAAUAGGAUUGUCCAUAAAUUCAAACAAUAGACCAAAACUAGGAAUUAUUAUCCUAGGCCCACACUUCCUGAUCUUCAAUAUGAAGAAAUGAGUCAAAUAAUCCAAUCCAAAUAUGAUGGAGAUGACAUCUAUGAAUGGAACAUAGAUGGCAUCAAUGAUCAUCAGGUCUUGAAUAUUCUUCAAGAAAUGAUCAUGGCCUCUACUACCUACAAAUCCAGAGGAAACACAGACCACUCAAUCUGUGCACACCUGACAGUAGGGUUCAUAGGACAACUCAAAGGAUGGUGGGACAAUGCUCUCACUAAGGAAUUUUUUUUUAUAUUCAAAGUAGCCUAGAUGAAAGAGGAAACCAAAAUGCGGUCCAUACUUUAAUCUAUGCUAUAACCAAACAUUUCUUAGGAGACCCAAUUUCCUUCCAAGCCCGUAGUUAAAAAAUUCUUCAAAAUCUUAGAUGCAGAAAAUUGAGUGACUAUAGAUGGUAUAAGGAAGUAUACUUUGCUAAAGUACACUCAAGGACAGAUUGUAACCAACCCUAUUAGAAAGAAAGAUUUCUAAAUGGAUUACUAAAAACCUUUGGUAAAAAAGUUCAAAUGAGAAUCAAAGAGAUAUACAACGGUAUCAUCCCUUAUUAUUCUUAGACUUAUGGUUAGCUAGCAAACUUUGUUAGCCAAGAAGCAUUAAAUCUUUGUUCAUUAAUCAAGGUUAAUGGUACCAUCAAAAAAGAUUUUAAAAUAGAGAAAAAUGAGUUAGGAUCAUUUUGUGCCAAAUAUGGGUAUGAUAAUCCUCUUCCUCCCUUGACUAGACAAGAAAAACUUUAUAGAUCUAAGAAGAAAAGGUCAAAUAAAAAAUAUUCAAACUUUAAAGAAGAACCCUUUUAUAGGAAGUCCAAACAUAAGAAACAUUCAAAUAAAAAAUAUCAAAAUACUCCUCUAAAAGAGAAGAAUAAAUAAGAUAUUAAAUGCUUCAAAUGUGGCAAGAAGGGGCAUAUCGCUCUGAAUUGCAAAAUCAAAGAAAUAAUUGCUGAUUUAGACAUAGGAAAACGUCUUAAACAACAAAUGAUCAAUUUAAUUAAAACCGAGUCACAGUCUGAAUCAUCCAACCAAUAUUCAAUAGAGUCAUCUAGAGAUAACCAACUUCUUCUUAUUGAAGAAAGUUCUUCUAGUGAAUCAGAUAGGUUCUCCUCACAGUCGUCCUAUGAUUGUGUAGAAAACUGUCUUUGUCAUGUCAAACAAGUUAAUGUUAUAACCAGUGAUCAAAACUUUCUCAUAGAACUAAUAUAAAAAAUUCCUGAUUAAAAUCUUCAAAACGAAUAUUUUAAAAAAUAUUUAGAAAUUAAAAAACAAAGCAAUAAUAAAAGUCUAGAAAAUACAAAUCAAUAUAGCCUCAAAACUGUAUUAGAUCAGUUUUCUAGUCAACAUAAGUCAGUAGGAAUCCAAGACCUUCAAAAUGAGAUAAUUCAAAUAAAACUUCAAAUAAAAGAAAUGAUAAAUCAAAAUCAAGACUUAGAAAUAAGACUAAAAGUCUUAGAAAAGCAAAAUCUUCAAACUUUUGAAAAUACUGAAGAAGUACAAUUGGAAGAAGGAGAAUCUUCUCAAUUGUUUGUAAAUACUAUAACUAAAAUGAUAACACAAAAAUGGCACAUCAAAAUAAGACUUUUUAUCAAACCUGAUUUUUCAAAAGAAUAUGUUGCACUUGUUGAUUCUGGUGCUAACAUAAAUUGUAUAUAGGAAUGAUUAAUUCCUGUUACAUACUUUGAAACAACUUUUCAAACAACGCGGUUGGCGCUAACACCCAACCUUUACAGAUAAAAUACAAACUUUCAAAUGUUCAUGUCUGUAAUAAAAAUUUCUUUUCUUCUUGUCAAAGACAUGAACAAAGAAAUAAUUCUAGGAACCCCUUUCCUUGCUCUUCUCUAUUUUUUUAGAGUAGACAAAGAAGGUCUUAAGACUGUUUACAACCAACAAGAAUUUUUUUUUGAGUUUAUUAGUCCUCCUAGAAUAAAAGAAUUAAAUACUCUUGAAAAUCAAGUAAACCUAAUUCAAAAGAAAAAACAACAAAUUAAAUUCUUAAGCAAAGAUAUACAUUACAAAAGAAUAGAAGAAAAUCUUCUAAACAAAGAUGUACAAAUUAGAAUAGAAAAGACAAAAAAUCAAAUUGAAAAGGAUUUAUGUUUUUUUUGUUCCUAAUGCUUUUUGGAAUAGAAAAAAACAUAAAGUUUCUUUGCCCUAUGUAGAUGGAUUUGAUGAAAGUUAAUUUCUUACUAAGGCAAGACCAAUUCAAAUGAAUGUUCAACUGCUUGAGUAUUGUAAAGAAGAAAUAAAAGAUUUAUUAGAAAAAAAUCUUAUUUGAAAGAGCCAAUCUCCUUGGAGUUGUACUGCUUUCUAUGUUAAAAAACCUUCGGAAAUUGAAAGAGGUGCCCCGAGACUUGUUAUCAAUUACAAGCCUUUGAAUAAGGUUCUCAAAUGGAUACAGUAUCCCAUACCUAACAAAAGAGACCUUAUAGGAUGCCUUCAUAAUGCUCAAUUUUCUCAAAAUUUGAUAUGAAGUCUGGAUUUUGGCAAAUUCAACUUCAUGAAAAAGAUAGGUAUAAAACUGCAUACACUGUUCCAUUUGGGCAUUUGAUUGCUCAUAUUUUUGUCGUUUAUUGGAUCAAAGCAAAAUUUAUAACCUAAUUCACUAUUCUAUAGCAAUUUGUACCCGAUCAAAAAGUGGUUUUAGUACAAACUACUGUAAUAUGGUGGUUUUUAAGUUUCGUCCACAAUGAUGGAUUAUUCUUGGUAAUUAAGGCUUGAAUGAGAUGAUAAGAAAUGAUUGUGGUCAAAUGAAAUUGAUUUGAAAAUGUAUGAUAAAAUUUCAAAAUAACAAUGAUUUCAAAUUGAGAGGAAAAUGAAGUGUAAAAUAGAAGAAAAUUAAUAGGAUGUGAAAUUCUCCGAGUUAGGAUUUUCUAGAAAAAAAUUUCCAUGGUGAAUAGAUGUUGAAAUCUAAUUUUCAUCAAGUUCGAUUAAAAACCUAAAUUUUUAUCUAAACUGAUUUUUGAUUUAGCUUUAGGUCUAGAUCUAAUUUCUCUUCAAAUUAAGUAAUCUAAUCCAAGAUAUCAAUUCAAAUCAUAUAUUCAAUUCAUCUUAAAUUAUCUUCCAAUGAUUCACACAAUGCAACUAUUCAAUCUCAUCAAAUCUAACAUUAAGAAUUUGAUGAAUCUACCUAGCUUGCAUUGUAGUAAUCAUCCAAGACAAUUUGAAGAGAAAAAUCCCCAAAUUUCAAUUAAUCAAUCAAUUUGAUCAAAUUACCUUUGCAAUUCAAACUCAAUUCUCUAAUUCACCAUAGAUAUUGCCUCUAAAUCCUUUCUCCUAUGAGAAAAACGAGAUUUAACCACUCAUGCUUGGAGAUUUGAUCUCACGAGACAUGUUUGGCUACCGAGAAAAUGAGAGAAAAUGAAGGAAAGUAGAGAAUUAUAUAGAAAGAAGAAAUCUGGAAAGUUCUACAAUUAUGAAAUGUAUCAAAAGUUUUCAAAUGAGUUAAUCAAGUUUCUAUUUAUAGGCCAAGGUCAAGUGGACACUUGGCAUCAUCUAAGAGGACUUCUGGAGGCUUCUUCGCCAAGGAAUCUAGAGAAAAUACGGUUUCGCACGAGUCCUAACAAGUUCGCACAAUUGUGCGAAGUGGAGAAUGCAUUAGCAUGAAUUUUGUCUUCCUGGAGCAUUUCGCAUGACUGUGCGAAAAUUUCGCAUGGUCAUGCGAAAUCAGUUUUCACUUUUCCCUUGGUGUGCUGUAGUCAAAGCCCAUUUUGUUUCAUUUCGCAUGGUCAUGCAAAAUUGAAAAACAUGUUUUUUUUCAACUCCUCUUUGCAAUUUCUCCUAUUUCUUCAUUUUUAAUUCACCUCCACCACCUUCAAUUCAGCUACAAAGCUUGGUCCAAGUGCAUUUCCUCUUUCUCAUCAUCCACAUUGUGUUCCUCCUCCAUUCCAUUUUUCAUUUGUCACUCAAUGCUUCAAAAAUCACCUUAAAAUAUCUCCAAAACUUAACAGAAAACCAUUAGUAUCUCUUGCAAGGGUAGCAAUGUAUUAUUUGGGCAUAUUAGGCAUAAUUACUACUCAAAAUGUAUGAAACUCAUGAGAAUUAGUAUCUAAAAUGUGUGGUUUUUGAGUAGUAAUCAACAUUAUGAAUGGAAUGUGAUGUCUUUUGGUUUGAAGAAUGCUCCUUCAGAAUUUUAAAAUAUAAUGAAUGACAUUUUUAAUCCCUAUACUAAUUUUUCCUUAGUAUAUAUUGAUGAUGUUCUUAUAUUUUUAAAUUCUAUUGAACAUCACUUCAAACACUUAGAAAAAUUUCAAAGAAUUGUUAGGGAAAAUGGCCUAGUCAUUUCUGCCCCUAAGAUCAAAUUAUUUCAAACUAGGAUUAGAUUUCUAGGAUUUGAAAUCUAUCAGGGUACUAUCAAACCAAUUCAAAGGUCAAUUGAAUUUUCUAGCAAAUUUCCUGAUGAAAUUAAGGACAAAACACAACUUCAAAGGUUCUUAGGAAGUCUAAACUAUGUGUCAAACUUUUAUCCAAACCUUAGAACCACUAUCAAACCUUUGUUCUCUAGGCUUAGAAAGAAUCCAAAGCCUUUGACACAGGAACACAUAAACAUAGUCAAACUAGUCAAAGAAUAGGUUAAGAGUCUUCCUUGCCUAGGAAUUCUUAACCCAGAUGCCUUUCCUAUUAUAGAGACAGAUGCCUUUAACAUAGAAUAUGGUGGCAUACUCAAACAAGAUUUUCAAAAUCAAAUCUCCAUUGUUCAUUUUCAUUCUAGCAUAUAGAGUGGACCCUAGGAAAAUUAUUCAACUAUCAAAAAAGAAAUUUUGGCAAUUGUUUUAUGCAUUCAAAAAUUUCAAGAAGAUGUUUUUAACAAAAAAUUUCUUCUUCUUGUUGAUUGCAAAAAUGCUAAAGAAAUUCUUCAAAAAGAUGUUCAAUAUUGUUUCAAAACAAAUUUUUGCAAGAUGGUAGACUCUCUUGUUAGUUUUUUAUUUUGAAAUUGAAUUUAUCAAAGGUGAUUCAAACUCUCUCCUUGAUUUUCUGUCACGUGAGUUUCUACAGGGAAAAUGAGCUCUCAAAGUCCAAAAGCCUCAAAAUCCACAAAAACCACAAAAGCCUCUUAUGCAAUGCCCCGAGAAAAGCCCAUUUCACAAUCCCAAAAUAGGUUCCAUGUACUUGGAUCCUUGCCCAGCCAAUCCAAGCAAACCUUUGCUCAAAAGGCCUCGUCCAGUCAAAACUAGUAGUAUGUGGCUAAAGCCCAUGUGUUGAAGGUACAAGUUCUUGAACCUUUUCAAAUUUUUGACUUUGGGAAACCAAAUCUUUCAAAAAAAUUUCCCAAAGGAAAAUUUUUUCUUCAAAACAAUUUAGAAAAAACUCGUAAGUUUUAUGAGUUUAUUCUGGUUGAUUCUGAUUUUGUAGAGAUUACUCAUAUUCCAAAUGAAUCAUCUACAAAAAUUUGUUAUUCAAAAUGCAAAAUUUGCAAAGUGAUUUCUCAAAACUUUAGGCCAAAGUACUGUGAUUAUUAUGAUUAUAUGGACGCUUGGUAUUUUACCUUUUUCUUUCGCCCCUUUGAUCACUCAUGGUUUUUCCAUUGGGGUGAUGAAAUAAAAAAUCAAACUGAUUUUCCAAACUGGUUUCAAGAAUGGUGGCUAUUUUUUGGCGCCAUUAAGGACAUUUUUUGUCCUCAAAUUCUUGAAGGAUAUACAUACUUUUUUGAACAUGGUAGUCAUUUAGUUCCGACUCCUUGUUCUAAAGUAUUGUUUUUCCUUUCAAGAUUUCAAAUUCCUUGGAUUCUCUGUUGGGAUUUCAUUCUCUCAUAGAAAAUUCAUGCCCCUUUUCCCACGCAUUUGGCAAGGGAAUUCAAAGUCAAAUGGCGGACAAACUUUGUCCCUUCCAACUCCCAGCAAAUUCCUCAUAUCUGCCAUUGGAUAUCUUCAAAAAAUUCUCCUUCAAAGUGUUCUUCCAAAGUCUCUUUUCCUUUCCCUCCUAAUGAUAUUCUUCUUUCUUGAACUUCUUUUCCUUCAAAUAAAGAGUUCAAAAGACAUCUCAAAUUACUCAAGAAAAAAGCCUUAGAAACCUUAUCUAAGUUCUCUGACUCUGGUUCUGAUGAAGACACUGCAUCCUUUGUUUUUUUAGGGGAUGUCAAAGAAGACAUGUGCUAUGGACUCCCCUACACACCCUUGGGUUGAUGCAUCCAAGACCUUUUUAAGCUCUGUUUUCCAAGCUCUUCAAAAGCACCCCUUUGGGCUCCUAGUCAAAGGAUCUCUGCGUGACUCAACAUUAGAUGAUAUUGCUCGUGACAUGGGUUACUCCCGUCCCAGCCUUUUGAAGGAUCUUAGAAUUCUCAAAGAACUCAAAGCACAUGGCAUGCACCUGCUUCAAACAUCAAACUGUUUACGGACUUCAAGCUCUUUAAGUUCGGGCGGGCUAACAGUGGUAAGUGAAAGUGACGUCUUGGUGAACCACUCAAAUCCAUAGUUCAAACCACUCUUCAAAACUAUGGAUCAUUUCGGUGGGUUGAAAAACCGCCUUUCAAAAGCAAAGACAGUUGCACAAAAGGACAAACAACUUUAAGUGGAUUAGAAAAAAUUUCAAAUACGCGGAUUUCAAAGGGUUUCAAUCCCAUUCAAAGAGUUUAUAAAAUGACUCCAUUUCUCUUUGUAAGACAUCAGAAGUUUUAGAGAGAAUUCUAGUGUGAUAGUGAGAAUCUCCUCUAAGCGAUUGCCUUGUAUUGAGAAAAGCUCAAAGUUCUGUUGUAAAGUUUGCUACAGAGAUUGUAAGUUUUACUUUGGAGUUCUUGUAAAUUUCAUCUUUUGAAUGAAAUUUUAGAUUUCAAAUUUAACUGUGCAUCAAGUUUUUACUGUGCAUUCAAAAGAAUCUAUUUGAAAGUCGAAUGAACUUUCUGGAAACCCUGUCAAAGUUAUCUGGGUUUUAAGCGAGACCACUGUAACUCCUCCAGAUUUAACUGGGAGAUUUUACAAGUUCUUGAACCAUUUCAAAUUUCUGACUCUGGGAAACCAGAUAUUUCAAAAAAAUUUCCCAAAGGAAAAUUUUUUCUUCAAAACAAUUUAGAAAAAACUCGUAAGUUUUAUGAGUUUAUUCUGGUUGAUUCCGAUUUUGUAGAGAUUGUUCAUAUUCAAAAUGAAUCAUCUACAAAAAUUUGUUAUUCAAAAUGCAAAAUUUGUAAAGUGAUUUCUAAAAAAAAACGUGGGGUCAGUCUCUUGAUACUCACAAGAUGUUUUCUCAAAACUUUAGGCCAAAGUCCUAUGAUUAUUAUGAUUAUAUGGAAACUUGGUAUUUUACCUUUAAGGACUGUUUACAACCAACAAGAAAUUUGUUUUGAGUUUAUUCGUCCUCUUAGAAUAAAAGAAUUAAAUACUCUUGAAAAUCAAGUAAACCUAAUUCAAAAGACAAAACAACAAAUUAAAUUCUUAAGCAAAGAUAUACAUUACAAAAGAAUAGAAGAAAAUCUUCUAAACAAAGAUGUACAAAUUAGAAUAGAAAAGACAAAGAAUCAAAUUGAAAAGGAUUUAUGUUAUUCUGUUCCUAAUUUUUUUUGGAAUAGAAAGAAACAUAAAGUUUCUUUGCCCUAUGUAGAUGGAUUUGAUGAAAGUCAAAUUCCUACUAAGGCAAGACCAAUUCAAAUGAAUACUCAACUCCUUGAGUAUUGUAAAGAAGAAAUAAAAGAUUUAUUAGAAACAAAUGAAAAGAUGUGAGGCAACCAUAUUGUUGGUUUAUGAAAUAAAAAGAUGUGGAUGGGUUGGGUGAUAAUUUUCCAAUUUAAAAUUUUAUAAAAAAAAUCUAAAGUCAAACAAAUUUUAUACCUUAAUUUUAAGUUUUUGUUAUCUCAUUUAAAAAGUAAAAAGUUAAAAUAAGAUACUUUGGCACAAUUAUAUAGGAUACUUUUGCACAAUUAUUUUUAAAAUCUAAUUUUAAAAAUGAAAAGGGAGAUAAUAAUAUUAAUUAUGGGAGAGAAAGUUAAAUUUUUUAUUCCUUCAACAAACUAAAUAUUAACAUAUAUUUAAUCAUAUUUACGAAACAAACAUGAUCAUAAUGGAAUAAUAUUAAAAUCAAUACUUUUUUAGAUUGAUUUUCUCUCGCUUGCUUUUUUAGUGGAGAUUGUAUGAGAAUUUAGUGAUCAUAUAAUAUUACAUUGAAAUCAAAACAUAUUGCUACAUUUUGUAGGCAAAAAUGAAUUUGAUUAUAUGCUUGCAUGCUUUUUUUUUUAAAAAAAAAAAAAAAGAAAAAAAAAGUGGAAACUAUUAAUAAACAAUAGCCAUGAUUAAUGUCAUGUAUUGCUUUCUUGCUUUUCAUGGGUUACAAGUUUGAUAAAAAAAAAAUAGUUUUUUACAAUAAAAAUCUUAUACUCCAUUAAAGGAGUUUACAAUUAAUCUAAUAAAAAUAAGGUUGUUACAAUUGUAGGGACCCCACCCUCUGAGAACACGUGGCACGCAUCUUGCCGUGACACGUGACACGUAUCUUACAGUGACACAUGGCACGCAUUGUCAUUCGGGUCACCCUCAUCCAGACCUUCCUAUAAAGCACACAUGGCGCACCUUUUAUAUCCGGACUGCCUCAAGGAAGAGCAAAUAACGCUUACAAAGCAUAGGCAUCCGAACAGCUUCCAUAAAUACGUCCGCUCCACAAUACAUCCUGAUAACCAACGUGGGCUAUCCGGAUAUGAUUGUCCGGAUCAUUGACUAAAGUAAAGCGAGUCUUACACGCUAUCGCAACAAACCAACCAUGGCCCACGUCCCAUCACCUGCAGAGUGAAAGGACGAGUUGAGGUGACAACAAGUCACUUCCCGCGAUCAUUCUACAUGAUCACUUCCCACGAUCUCUGACAGCAGCAUCCCCUACCACGGUUUCUGACAGCCGCCAGUAGGGUGGCGAUGGCCAUGCUGCCUCCGAAUGUCAUCAUGACAAACAUAAAAUAUCUCCUCGCCAUUAAUGAGAGGAACAGUACUCCUAACACUAUAUAUGAACCUUCACACGAAGAGGAAGGUAAUCUCCAGGUACCUAGUAAAAGGCCAACUGAUUUAUAUCUCCCUCUCUAACCAUGGCUAACAAAACCAUCAGAGGGUGCGUCCGGACACCCUGUCCGGAUGUCUUUUGCAGGUAUAACGACUGAAUCAAGAACCUUUGAGGGUUGAGAUCGCGUGUCCAUCCAUUCAGCGAUUGCGUGGAUCGUCAGGGACUCGAGGUAUCAACAUUGGCGUCGUCUGUGGGAAUCUUUUUUACUUUGAUUCAGUCACUAAAAAAAAUGGCCACACCUUCCCGAAGCCGAUCAUCUAGUAGAGGAGUGGAGGAUAAUUUUGAAUGACGUCAAGCCAUCGAAAGGAGACAGUUGGCAAGCAAACGACAACUGAAAGCUCUCCUCCAGGAGACGGAAAGAUUGAGAGAAGAAAACGUUGUAUUACGCAUCCAGGCCUCAACAUCAGGGCCUCCUCGACGUCAGCGUUCAAGAGGCCAAGUAGCAGACUCAAGGCCUCAACAAGAACCAUAAUCAAUAUAUCCCGGAACAACAGGAGCUAUCCCAAGAGCAUGCAACGUGAGGCCUCAUGAGCCACGCACGCCUAUGCCUUGAGCUCCUCGUGAGGAAAGCUCAGACUCCACUCACUUUUCAACGAAAAGACAACGUGAUAAAAAAUCCCAGUUGUCAAAUUCGAUGCGCGCAAGGCUAGGCCCACAAGAGCCUGGAAGAUCAAGGCCACCAAUGGCCACAACUUGGGCACCACGCCCUGACCCCAUGGCCACCCCCAUGGUGCAAAACGUUCACCCGCAUCGUGACCCCGUAGUCACCCCCGUGAUGCGGAACGUUCAUUCGCACCCAACGGAACAACCAACUGGGAGAAACAUCCCAAACGAGCCACCCAUUGGCUCCAUCAGCAAAAGGCUGGAUGACAUGCUCUCCACGCCUUUCUACUCUCAUAUCAUUAAUUACGAGCCCCCAAGGGGAUUCCUCGUACCAAAAUUUUCCACAUACGAUGGAACCAACGAUCCCUUCGAUCACAUCAUGCAUUAUCGACAGCUCAUGACGCUCGAUAUUGGCAACGAUGCACUACUAUGCAAAGUAUUUCCCGCCAGCCUACAAGGACAAGCCCUCUCAUGGUUUCAUCUCCUACCUCCCAACUCUGUUGGCAAUUUCAGGGACCUGUCCGAAGCUUUCGUGGGACAAUACUUGUGCUCCGCUCGACACAAGCAAAAUAUCAGCACCCUGCAGAACAUAAAAAUGCAAGAUAACGAAUCCUUGAGGGAAUUCGUGAAGCGGUUUGGCCAAGUCGUGCUUCAAGUAGAGACUUGUAGUAUGGAUGCUGUCCUACAGAUCUUCAAGCGAAGCAUCUGUCCAGGCACUCCAUUUUUCGAAUCACUGGCUAAAAAACCUCCUACAACAAUGGAUGACUUAUUCAGGCGCGCCAACAAAUAUUCAAUGCUCGAAGAUGACGUACAUGCAGCUACCCAACAAGUUUUGGUUGCCGGACGACCAUCUAGAAGUAAUGCGGAGAGAAAUACUAAACCUCCGGAUCGGCCAAAGCCGUCUGACCGAAGGCAAGAAGGGCCAAGUCGCCCGGAAAUGCCACAUCUCACACCUCUUUCCAUAUCAUAUGAGAAACUUCUCCCAAUGAUCCAUGGCUUGUCCGACUUCAAGUGGCCUAGACCUAUUGGAACGGACCCAUCCACAAGGGAUCGUAGUAGGAGAUGUGCCUUCCACAAGGAUCAUGGCCAUACAAUAGAGACAUGCCGAGCUUUCCAGUUUCUGGUCGAGAGGCUCAUAAAAGCAGGGCAUUUGAAGCAAUACCUCUGAUCAGAUAAUGGAGGAAGGGACGCAUCCCAACAUCACAACCCUGGGGCCCCUAGGGCCCCAGCUGCCCCCAAGGCCGUUAUAAACUAUAUUAACGGAGGUCCAUCUGACGAGGAGUACGACUUUAGGCGAAAGAGACAAAAAUUGUUGCCGGGCCGCAUCAAUACGCGAACGCAUCAAUUCCAUCCGGCCUGGGCUAAUUGGAGGGGGCCCUCGCCCCAUAGAUGGGACAAUCAUUUUCCCACCAGUAGAUCCCACCCGGACACUGCAGCCACAUUGCGACGCCCUCAUCUUAUCCCUGGAAAUAGGAGACUUCGAUGUGCGGCGUAUCUUGGUUGACCCAGGCAGCUCGACCAAUCUUAUACAAGCAUCAGUCGUUAGCCACAUGGGACACAGUCUCACAGGCCUUGAAAACCCUGGACGAAUCUUGUCCGGAUUCAACGGAUCAUCAACUACGUCUUUGGGAGACAUUGUACUACCGAUCCAAGCUGGCCCAGUCACUCUCAACAUACAAUUCUCAGUGGUACAAGAGUUAUCACCCUUCAAUAUCAUCUUGGGGCACACAUGGUUGCACUACAUGAAAGCCAUCCCCUCUACAUAUCAUCAAAUGGUGAGUUUCCUCACCAACGAGGGGCAGAUUGACUUGUAUGGUAGCCAAUUAGCCGCUCGCCAAUGCUAUCAAAUAGCACGAGAAGCAGGGGCCAACUAGGAGGAUGCAUCUCCCCCUGAACCCAGCAUUACACAUGACCAAUAGCAAUUAUUGGGUCCGGCGAACAAAGAUCCCCCAGCAGCAGAUCCCUUACAAACAAUCCAAAUUUCGGAGGAAAACACUCAUCUCACAAACAUCAGUUCCCUCAUGACAACCGAAGAAACUCAGAGCAUGCAAAACAUUCUCAGACAGAAUCAUGACAUCUUCGCAUGGGCACAUUCUGAUAUGAAGGGAAUUCAUCCCUCUAUUGCAUCUCACAGGCUUAACGUCUUUUCAACUGCCAGACCCGUCUGGUAGAAAAUUAGGCGCUUUCACCCGGAUAGACAAAAAGUCAUCCGGAAUGAGAUUGACAAAUUGCUCGAAGCCGGAUUCAUCAGAGAAGUUUCUUAUCCGGAUUGGUUGGCAAACGUAGUGGUGGUACCCAAAAAAGAAGGAAAAUGGCAAGUUUGUGUAGACUACACCAAUCUCAACAAUGCAUGUCCAAAAGACAGCUUUCCCUUGCCACGAAUAGAUCAAAUUAUGGAUUCCACUUCCGGGCAAGGGAUGCUCUCUUUCUUGGAUGCCUUCUCCGGAUAUCAUCAAAUCCCCAUGUCCCCGGAUGACGAAGAAAAUACAACAUUCAUAACGCCACACGGCCUCUAUUGCUACAAAGUCAUGCCAUUCGGACUCAAAAAUGCUGGCGCCACUUAUCAAAGAUUGAUGACUAAAAUCUUCAAGCCUCUGAUAGGCCACACGGUAGAGGUAUACAUUGAUGAUAUCAUAGUUAAAAGCAAAACCCGAGAGCAGCAUGUCCUUCACUUACAAGAAGUUUUUCACCUCUUACGAAAGUAUGACAUGAAACUAAAUCCUUCUAAAUGCGCCUUUGGCGUAAGUGCUGGCAAAUUUCUGGGAUUUAUGGUCAACCAAAGGGGUAUAGAAGUCAGCCCGAAUCAAGUCAAGACAGUCAUGGAAACACCCCUUCCCAGGAACAAGAAGGAGCUACAACGACUCACAGGCAAGCUCGUCGCACUAGGGCGUUUUAUAGUCCGCUUCACUGAUGAAUUGCGACCCUUCUUCUUGGCAAUACGAAAAGCUGGAGCACACGGAUGGACGGACAGUUGCCAAAACACUUUCGAAAAAAUUAAGCAUUGUCUUACGCAACCACCCAUCUUGAGCAGCCCCAUUCCAAAUGAGAAAUUGUAUAUGUAUCUGGCAUUAUCAGAAUGGGCAAUCAGCGCCGUUCUAUUCCGCUGCCCCUCGACCAAGGAGUAGAAACCUAUCUACUACGUCAGCAGGGCAUUGGCAGACGUAGAAACCAGAUAUUCAAAAAUGGAGCUAACAGCCUUAGCCCUUCGAAGCGCUGCCCAGAAGCUCCGCCCUUAUUUCCAAGCUCAUCCAGUGAUCGUACUAACUGACCAGCCCCUUCGCAACAUUCUGCACAAACCAGAUUUAACCGGAAGAAUGCUACAAUGGGCCAUCAAAUUAAGCGAAUUUGGAAUCGAAUUCCAACCCAGAUUGUCCAUGAAAUGCCAAGUAAUGGCUGACUUCGUGUUAGAAUAUUCCCGAAGACCCAACCAACACCACGAAUCAAGUAAACAAGAAUGGUGGACUCUGCGAGUUGAUGGAGCCUCACGCUCAUCAGGCUCUGGAGUUGGGCUCCUACUACAGUCCCCAACUGGGGAACAGUUGGAGCAAGCCAUCCGGCUGGAAUUCUCUGCCUCUAACAAUGAAGCAGAAUAUGAGGUCAUCUUGUCCAGAUUGGACCUCGCUCUUGCUCUAUCCGUCUCCAAACUCCGGAUCUACAAUGACUCACAACUCGUGGUGAAGCAUGUCUAGGAGGAAUAUGAGGCUAGGGACGCACGCAUGGCGCGAUACUUAGCUAAAGUAAGAAACACCUUGAAGCAAUUCACCGAAUGGACAAUCGAAAAAAUCAAGCGAGCUGACAAUAGGCGCGCUGACGCCUUGGCCGGCAUAACUGCCUCCCUCCCCAUCAAAGAAGUCAUUCUAUUGCCUAUACAUGUGCAAACCAACCCUUCUGUCACAGAAACCUCCACUUGCAACACCAUUGAGACAACUCAAGCAAACGACCAAGAAUGGACGGACAAUAUUGCAGAAUAUCUCCGGACAUGCACUCCACCCGGAGAUCCCAAACAGGCACACAAAAUCGGGGUGCAAGCUGCCCGUUUCACCCUGAUUGGGGGGCACCUGUACAAGCGAUCCUUCACAGGACCUUACCUUCGAUGCCUAGGGCAUUCAGAGGCCUAGUAUGUGUUAGCUGAGUUGCAUGAGGGAAUAUGCGGGAAUCAUUCGGGAGGACGAUCUCUGGCACAUAGAGCUCAUUCGCAAGGAUACUAUUGGCCAACAAUGAAGAAAGACGCAGCAGCAUAUGUCAAAAGAUGUGAUAAAUGUCAAAGAUAUGCUCCCAUUCCACAUAUGCCAUCAGCAACAUUGAAAAUAGUCUCAGGCCCAUGGCCUUUUGCACAAUGGGGCAUGGAUAUAGUGGGACCCCUCCCAGCAGCGCCUGCCCAGAAGAAAUUCCUUAUUGUUGCCACUGAUUACUUUAGUAAAUGGGUGGAAGCUGAAGCAUAUGCUGGCAUCAAAGACAAAGACGUCACCAAGUUCGUAUGGAAAAACAUUGUUUGCCGUUUUGGAAUCCCCUAAGCCAUCAUAGCUGACAAUGGUCCACAAUUUGACAGCAUUGCUUUCAGGAAUUUCUGUUCGGAGCUGAACAUCCGGAAUUCAUACUCCACACCGCGAUAUCCUCAAAGUAAUGGGCAGGCAGAAGCCACAAACAAAACCCUAAUCACUGCCUUAAAGAAAAGACUUGAACAAUCCAAAGAGAAGUGGGUGGAGGAGCUACCCGGCGUCCUAUGGGCCUAUCGAACCACACCCAGACGGCCAACAGGAAACACUCCUUUUGCUCUCGCAUAUGGAAUGGACGCAGUCAUUCCUACUGAAAUAGGUUCCUACUGUCCGAACUGACGCAGCAAAGCAGAAUGAUGCAAACAUGGAAUUAAGAAGAAAUUUGGAUUGGACGGAUGAAGUAAGAGAAAGUGCAGCCAUCCGGAUGGCAGACUAUCAACAAAGAGCAUCCGCUCACUACAAUCGCAAAGUAAGGCCCAGGAGCUUCAAAAAUGGUACGCUGGUCCUUAGAAAAGUUUUUGAAAACACUGUUGAGGUAGGCGCAGGGAAGUUCCAAGCUAAUUGGGAAGGACCCUAUAUAGUGUCUAAAGCAAGUGAAAGUGGAGCCUAUCAUUUACAAAAGUUAGACGGAACUCCAUUACUUAGACCAUGGAAUGUGUCCAAUUUAAAACAAUACUACCAAUGAAAGAGCAAGACAAAUACAAAUGAAAAAAGAAGAAUUUUAUUUAUAUGUGUAAAUAUGUGUACAAAGAGGUCUCCGGACCACAAGAAAUACAGAAAAAAAGAUUACAAGAAAAAAUUACAAAAAGAAAAGCUAUCAGGGAGCAGGCCUAAAGUUUCUUCUCUUCACCCGGAGGAAUUGAAGAGACAUCUCUUUUUAUACCGUUCUUCUUCAUACAGCAACGAUAGCCGAAGAUGAAGGUAUCAUCCACUUGCUUUUGAUAAUCCGCUUCAAGCUCCUCCCUCUCUACAACAAACUCCCGUUCAAGCUCUUCUUUUUGCACUGUUAAGCGCAACUGCAAAUCUUCUUUCUGCUUCUUUUCAAUUGAAGCCUUGGUCCGAAGUCACCUCACCUCCCCCUGCAGCCGGGCCAUCUCAUCCUCUGCCUCAUGCAGGCGGGUCUCCAUUGAUUCCUCCCAGCUCUUUGCAUCAGCCAAAUCUGCCCGGAGGGCCUCAUUCUCCCCCCGAGCGGUGGAUAAGCUGGCUUCAGCCUCCCCCAGUCUCAGGCGCAACUGAUCUUCAGUAUCUUUGUGCCAAGCGGCGAAGGCCUUCAUGUAAUCAGUGGUCCGCAGCAGGUCAGUAAAAAGAUCGUACUGAUUGACCAUGCCACGGAGACCACUCACCAGCUGCAGGCAAACAGACAAACGAGAAAAGCAAAGUUAGAAAUCACACCAAACACACAUCAGAAUGACAAAAAAUCAAAAAGCACAAAGACAGUAUACCGAUUCCACCAUCUCGAACAUCUUGGCUGAAGGCAUAACAGUGGUCAAGUCAGGUGGAAUAUGUUUCAGCUUAUCUUCCAACUCCGCGUAGCUAAAAGGGCUAGCGGAGGUGCAAGACGCAUCAUUAACAAGAUCCCCACCUGAUGAGGCAACAGAAGGUGACUCUUGUUCCGGAUUCAGGGCCUCAACAUUGACGGCCGGAUGGGUCUCCCCGAGCGCAACCUCAUUUGGGACCAUCACCGGGACGGCUGGAGGCUCAGUUGCCAUCUCUACUUCGCCCCCCUCCGGAUGAGCGUCGUGGGCGGAUGAGCAACUAACUUCGAUCUCUUGCUGACGAUCUUGAAGCCGCCCGAGGAGUCCGGACCUCAGAUUGCGCGCCGAGCGAGGCCUCUUUGAAGGUGGCCCCUUCACCAGAACAAGAACCAGACGGUCCGGAUCGUCAGAGGGCUGACUCUGGCUUUCUGCCCCUGCCUCCUCCAUCGGGGUUGUGCAAACGGCUUCAACUGCAUCGACAUCCGGAGUAGGGGAGUCCGGAUGGUUGAUGGACGCAGCUUCCUCAGCCAAAUUCGCCAGACGGGCAACCGCUGCCAAUGAGGUACUUGAAUGGUUCAGCCCCGUGACGUGUUCGGAUCCGCUUGAGAUAGAAUGAGGAGCAGGGUUCACUGGCUCCUCUAUUAUUACCUCCGCCUCAUGAGUAAUUGGCGGAAGGGCAAAAUCCUUGGGAGGAGUGGGCUUCUUCACCCCCUUCCCAUUCUUCACCAGCUUCCUCUUUUUCGCUGGAGUUUUAUUUGGAGGAGAGGUUGCGCCGCGUUUCUGUCCGGGAGCCUUACGAAGGGUUCCUUCGUUCUUUUUCUUCUCCCGAUUAUCUAGGAGUGCUCGGCGUUUUUCAACGUCAGCCUCUUUAAACUCCUGGUAAAUCGGGAGAUCCUUCACAGUAUAAUGCUCCCCAGACACCACCUCCUUUGGCAUUUUCCUGGGGAGAAUGUUGACAACAUACUCUUGGGACUCCCGGACGACCGCCAUCAGGUUCCGCGUAGUGAGCAGCGUUUUGUAGUGCCUCUCCUUGGCGUCUAUCUCAAAUAGUUUACUGAGACAGGCAAAAGACGCCUUUUCCACCCAAUCCACGAGGUGGCCCCUCCUUUCCGGACCUGCAUUGACAGCAAACAAAGGAUGAGAAUACUGUCCGGAAAAAUCAACAAAAAGACAACAAAGUAAAAGCCGGACAAAUGUCGCAAAGCAAACUUACCCGGAAUCACUAAGGAGUAGUUUGGAGAGAAGGGCCUCGCAGGAUGCUUCGACCCCGCCCAUGCACCUCGGACCAUCACUUGUCCCUUCGCCCCUCCCUUCGUCGAGUCUGGCAGUUCCGUCACCAAUUGAAGGGAAGGCAGGUGCGCGGACAUGCUGAAGAUAUCAGUUUUCGCCUUCUUCAGCGAAUAGACGAAAAACACCUCCAGCAGCGUGAGGUCGAGGUUGUACAGCAUGUUUAUGAUGCUGCAUCCCAUCAGCACCCAGAUGAUAUUGGGAUGAAUGAAGACUGGUGGAAUCUUGGUGAAAUGGAGGAAUUCCUUGAACAACGCCGGCAGAGGGAACCGAAGCCCCGCGUUGAAUUGUUCCUUGGAAAAGAUGACGGUAUCUUGUUCAGCUUUCUCAGUAGACACGACAUCCUCCCCAUUCAAAAAUUCCACAAUUACGCCAUUUGGAAUGCAGAAUCGAUCUCGGAACUCCUUUACGCUCAGUUUGUCUGUAGACUUCUCAUGAGCGUCGCCAACUCGGGCAGAUGAAGCAGCUUUCUUCUUUGAAGACAUUUUUUAGGCCGAGAUUGAACCACAACCUACAUACAAGAAAUGCAACAGUCAAACACAGCUAACCAACCCCACAAACCCUAAACAAUAACAACACUCAGAAAAUCUCGCACCACCAAUAUACCCAUUCCAAAAAUCCUUAACUUUACUCCAACAAGAAACCCCCAACCCACAAAAACACAGGGGGGCAACGGAAACCCUUAAAACACCCAGUCACAAACAACACUUGCCCAAACAAACCAGCAACAAACCAACAAACACCAAAGCGUAGAAAAGAAAAGAACAAGGCACAAAGAAUACGUACCGAAUGUAAGAGAAAAGCAAGGGUUGCAAAACCGCAAGGCAAACACCGUCAAAACGCAAAUCACCGUCAGGAAAUUCUGGAGUUUUACUCAGAAGAAAGCGAAGGAACGUACAAAGUUGAAGAAGAAAGCAAUCUCAGAAAAAACGCAGUAAGAAAAAAAACAACAAUGGACACAGUAUGCUAUUUAUAGGGAGACAAGCCAUCAGAAAGCCAAACGCCCAACAACGCCAUCAUUAAAACAACAUGCUGCCUAGGAAUACCCAGAGUCGGCGGCUCAUUAUAAAUGCCUUUCUUGGCUCCCGCACCCCCACUCGCCACGUGGCCCAACCAGACGAAAGGUCGACUUCGGUUUCAAAAAACAAAUUAUUUUUUAACCCGCCCAUUUUUUCUAAGGCAAAAUAGGCAAGUUAAAAAAGGAGGGCAUUGUAGGGACCCCACCCUCUGAGAACACGUGGCACGCAUCUUUCCGUGACACAUGGCACGUAUCUUACAAUGACACAUGGCACGCAUUGUCAUCCGGGUCACCCUCAUCCGGACCUUCCUAUAAAGCACACAUGGCGCACCUUUUAUAUCCGGACUGCCUCAAGGAAGAGCAAAUGACGCUUACAAAGCAUAGGCAUCCGAACGGCUUCCAUAAAUACGUCCGCUCCACAAUACAUCUGGAUAACCAACGUGGGCUAUCCGGAUAUGAUUGUCCGGAUCAUUGACUAAAGUAAAGCGAGUCUUACACGCUAUCGCAACAAACCAGCCAUGGCCCACGUCCCAUCACCUGUAGAGUGAAAGGACGAGUUGAGGUGACAACAAGUCACUUCCCGCGAUCAUUCUACAUGAUCACUUCCCACGAUCUCUGACAACAGCAUCCCCUACCACGGUUUCUGACAGCCGCCAGUAGGGUGGCGAUGACCAUGCUGCCUCCGAAUGUCAUCAUGACAAACAUAAAAUAUCUCCUCGCCAUUAAUGAGAGGAACAGUACUCCUAACACUAUAUAUGAACCUUCACACGAAGAGGAAGGUAAUCUCCAGGUACCUAGUAAAAGGCCAACUGAUUUAUAUCUCCCUCUCUAACCAUGGCUAACAAAACCAUCAGAGGGUGCGUCCGGACACCCUGUCCGGAUGUCUUUUGCAGGUAUAACGACUGAAUCAAGAACCUUUGAGGGUUGAGAUCGCGUGUCCAUCCAUUCAGCGAUUGCGUGGAUCGUCAGGGACUCGAGGUAUCAACAACAAUCAAUAAAAAUCUUAUGCUCCUAAACAUAGAGUUUACAACCCAUUAUAGAAAAUAAACAAUUCAAAAUAUAACCCCAAUAUUAAUCACAAUUAUAACCAUCCUAUUAUAAGGUAAAAUAUAGAACACACAUUUAUUAUCUUUAGGGCCAUGAGAUAAAUAAAAAUAAACUGCAAAACAGAGAUAACAUACUCUAAAGUAGAUCUAAUAUGAAAAACUUAUUCUAUAAUACCAUUAGAACUUUGAAUUUAUCCGUUCCUAUACAUUAGAUCGAAUAGGUGCAUGCAAACUACUCUACGUCUCUAGAUCCUAUACAACGAAAACAAAAAAUAAUUUUUUUAACAUUUUAGGAUCCUAAUAAAAGUUAUUGAAAAACUUUACCUUUAAAACUAUUUCAAUACAACGAUUCAUUAAAUUGUUAAUAUGUUUAGAAUAUCAUAUUGAAUUUUGAUCAUUAAAGUGAAUAUGGGUAUGGAAAUUUAUGUAAAAUAUUCAAGGACAUGUUAUUCACCAUAAAGAAACUAGAAAAUCAAGUUUUUCUAGAUCAAAGAAAUAAGGAAUUUCAUUUUAAAGUUGAUUGUCAUGUAAUUUAUCCAAUAAAUUUUCUAAAUAAAAUGGAAAUUUCAAAAUUGAAGUGGUGAUUUGAAAUUACAAUCAUGAAACAUUGGCUUUAAUUCUUUAAUUUAAAUAUCAACUCCACAGUAAAAAUAUGUCCUUCAAGAUCAUUAUGAUAACUAUUUCAUUGUCUUUCAUCCAUUAUACGUUUACUUAAAAUAAACUCUUAUAUUUCAUUAUGCAUGGACAUUUAAUUUUAAGAAAAUGCAUAGUUUCCUCAAUAAUUGUUAUUUUGACAUAAAAAUUAACGUAUUAUGUUAUAAACUUGUAUGUAAUUUAUAUUUAAAUAACCCAUUUAAAUAUUAUGUGAUUUUGAUAUAGUGUUAAGUUCAAUUAAUCCAAUAAAGUCCACUAUAAACUAGGUUUUUUUUUUUAAUAAAUUUUUUGGUUUCAAUUUCAUAAGCAGUCAAGCUUAACAGGAUCUAUUAUCAUAUGUUGGAAGGUCCAACAUGAUAGCUGGCGGGGAAAUAUUGUCGCUCCAAUUUUUCAAAUUUUUUUUCGAUUUAUGGGCUAUCUUAUGGUAUUUUACCACUUUCAUCCGAUAUUUUACCAUUUCAAAACUACUUUUCCUUCAAGAAAUUGAACAUUUUGAGUACUUUUCCUUCUAAAAUACUUAUCAUGUGCUUAACCAAGACCUUUCUAAAUCAAAAAAUAAAAAUAAAAAUAACAGUAAGUGUGGUUGCUUAACCACCUUUAAUAUGAGAUAAUUGUGGAAACCAAAUGAAAAGAACAACGAACAAAAUCACUUAAUCCGCAUUUGGGUGACGGGACAUAACAUGAAAUAAAAUAAGAGAGAAUAUUACAUCUUACACCAUAUUCAGUUGGUGAGUUAAUUGGAUAAAUCAUCUUGUCAUUUAUCAUAUUUUAUACUCAACUAAAUAUAAAAUAAAAUAAAUAAAGGAUAUACUAUCAUCCCUCUUUUUAUAUCUAUUUUACAUAAAAUAUGUUGAUCAUAAGCUAAAAUGUAAGUUAUAUAUAUUCCAUUAUCAUAAAUAUAUUAUUUUAUCAACUUUUUAUUUUUUUAUAUUACUUAUUUUGUAAAAUAAUUUUUUUAUUAUAAAAUAAAAUUUAUGGUUAAAAAGGAAAAACUAAAAAAAUGUUUAUAAAAUAUAUUGUAAAAUAAUAUUAAUUCAUUUAAAAUAUUUAUUUAAAUAUUAUAUUAUUUUAAUAUGAUGUUUAAAUCCAUUCAUACAAAAUGUACUAUAUAACUAGAUUUAAAAUUAUGAAGAAUUUAAAAAUUAACAAAAAAAAUCCUAGUAGUUGUAGAAGUUGUUAUUGCUGAUGCGUAGUGUAGAACCAACUAAAUGAAAAUCUAAACAUAAAAUUAAAAUAAUAUUAAAUAUGAAAAAUAUUUCAUAUCUUUUUAAAGUUAUAUUUUGUAUACAUUUUUUAUUUUUUAUUUUAAAAAAUAAAACAUACAAAUAAAUUUUAUAUGAAAAAUAGAAUGUCUUGUAAAAAUAGUAUAAAUUUAUUUUAUAUUUUUAAAAUCAUUUUCAAAAUUUCUUCAAAAUUUAAGAUAGUAAAGGUUUUUAUACUUUGAACUUCUUAAAAUAAUUUUUAAAACCAUUAUAUUUUUAACAUAAACAUUUUAAAAUUUUUAAUAUAUUAUAUAAAAUAUAAUAUAAUUUUUUUAUAUUUUAAAAACAGAAAAUAGAAAAUAAAAAAUGUAAACAAACUUGAUUGAUUUAAUUAACAUGUACGUUUUAAACACGUGUAAUAAAUGAUGAUUAAGUAAUUUGUAGCCCAUGAAUACGAUAACAAGGAAAUAAUUUUGUAACAAACAUUUUUAUUACAAAUAUGCAUAUUUGAAAUUUUAUAUUCAAUUAUUUGUAAAUAUUAUAACAAAAAUGAUAACACAAAAAUGACACAUUAAAAUAAAACUUUUUAUCAAACUUGAUCUUACUAAAGAAUUUGUCACAUUAGUGAAUUCUUGUGUUGACAUCAAUUGUGUCCAAGAAGGAUUAAUCCUGUUGGAUACUUUGAGCAAACCCUUCAUUUUCAAUGUUUUCUAUAAUUUGAAUUUUUUGCUUUUCUAAGACUUUUAGUCUUGCAUUUAAGUCUUUGAUGCCUUACAAAGAGAAACAGAGUCCGACUUUUUGAGACGGAUUUGAAGAACUUUAAAAUCCACGGAUUUGAAAACUUUCGAAUCCAAAGAAAGUUAUUUGUGUUUUUAUGCGGCUAUCUUGGAAUUUGAAGAAUGGUUUUGAAGCCGAGUUUACAGCCAAAUUAAUGUUUAUUGAAAAAAAAAAAAAAAAAACCAAACUAAUACAUCUUUCAAACUAUUUGUUAAACUAGUCUUUUGAAUCCACAUCAGCAAUCCACUACUCUGAAGAUCCAAUUUUUCAUCCGAAAUCAUUCAACAAAAAGCCUAACUAUUAUUUUCUCUUCUGUGCGGCUCCCACCAUCUACGGCUCCCACCAGCAACUCCACUAGCAACAUCGGCUAGGUAAGUUUUUUUUCCCCUCAUUUUCCUUAGCUUUCUUACUAACCAAACAGAGGAAAACGAAAAAUUAAAUGAAAUUGUUUUCUGUACAUUAGGGGUUUGGGUAGAUUUCGAAUUUGGGCAAUGGUGGGUUAGGGUUCGAAGAGGAAGAAGAAGUGCAGGUCAUGCAAAAAUAACAAAGUUUUUACCCAAAUGCAAAAUCUUUGAUUUUGCCCAAUUUAAUAAAAAAAAUAAAAAUCUUCUAGCUCUGUUCUUAACCCAACGAAACCCACCUCUCAAGGAGGCCUUCAUCUUUCCCUCGACGCCAUAAGGCUUAUACAACGCGAUCCUCUUCCUUUUCUUGAUCUCGGGAUCACUGAAUCCCCAUGAUGAAGACGAGGAGUCCUCGUAAUAAUAUUUUUUGAAAACGGAGGUUUUGCCGGAGCGAGGAGGAGAGUAUGGCACCCCACUCACCUGUAUGUUGGUGGAAUAGGCCCUCGGCUCGCCUGGCCUGCCUGGCCUUUUAUAGCAUGGGAAUAUUGUGGAUUUCUCAUCUCUCUAACCUCUCUCAUCUCUGCGUUGAAGCUUGGAAUUUUUUAGUUUUGAUGAUAGAAAGAGGACAAGAAGGAGGGUAGGGAGGGCUGAACACAUAAAAAAAAUUAUUUUAACUUUCUUGGGCUGUUGAAAAGGAUGGUUUGGAACGCAUAAAGAAAUUAUUUUGACUUUCUUGGGCUACCGAAAAGGAUGGUUUGGAACGCAUAAAGAAAUAUUUUAACUUUCUUGGGCUGCCGGAAAGGAUGGUUUGGAACGAAUAAAGAAAUUAUUUUAACUUUCUUUAAGGGAUAUUUGAUAAUUAUCUUUGAAUUAAUUUUUAUAAUUUUAAAAUUUUGAAAGCUAAUUGAAUUUUUUAAUAUAAAAAUUAUUUGUUUAAUCAUUUUUUAUUUUCCCUUUUUAAUAAAAAAUUACAAAUUAAUCACAAUCCACUUGUUUAUUUUCCUUUUUUGAAUAAAAAAUUAAAAAUCCACUUGUUUAUUUUCCUUUUUUUAGUAAAAAAUUAAAAAUUAAUCACAAUCCACUUGUUUAUUUUCCUUUUUUUAAUAAAAAAUUAAAAAUUAAUAAUAAUCUACUUGUUUAAAAAUCGAGUGGGAACAAAAAGAAAUAAAAAAUAGAAGAAAAUUAAAAUAAAUAAAUAAAAACCACAAAGGAAUAUAUAUAUAUAUAUAUAUAUAUAUAUAUAUAUAUAUAUAUAUAUAUAUUUCACUUAUUAUUAUUAUUAUUAUUAUUAUUAUGAAAACUAAAAAAUAUCAAAUUGUGUAUAGUUAUUAAUUGUUUUCAAACACAAGUUUUUGAUAGAUAAAAUAUUAUAAAUAAAAUAUAUUUUUAAUAAAUAUUUGAAAAACAAGAAAACAUGUCCAAAAUCUUCCCAUAUGUAUUUUUAUUCUAAAAAAAACAAAUAGAAUCAAAUUUAAAACUAUUUUCAAAACACUUCCUAAUAAAUCCUUAGGGUUAUGAGUUAUAAUUAAAAUAUUUUAUCUUCUUAUUUAUUAUAAUUACUAGAUUUACCGAGAAACCAUCAUUACAAAUGCUUAAGUUUUUCAAAUUAUUUUUAAAUUUGUUUUCAUCAUUUAUUAACUUUAUAAAAUUGGAAGUGAUUAUUAAAUUUAUUUUUGUUUCUUUUUCUCCUCUAAAAAAAUAUAUACUUUUUAUUAUUAUAUAUAUAUAUUUAAAAAAUUUAUUAGGAUCAAGGAGAUUUGAGUGUGGCAUUUUUCAAUCAUCAUUUUUAUAAAGAUAAUACUAUUGUGCAUAUAACAAUCUCUUCCCCAUUAUAGGGCUCCUAGAACUCGAAUCAUUUAAUGGCAUGUGGAACAUUUAAUAGCACCUAUACAAAUGCUAACAACUUUAUAAAACUGUAAAAAGACAUGUAGAACCUCUGGAUCUCCAAACCAUGAAAAUUGCUUGUAAUUAUUGGUUAGCUUUUGAAUUGUAUCAUAUAUUAGAAAGUGUAUCAAAUUCUCAAUUAUUAUAAAUUCCUUUUUGUAAAGAAUAUUGUAUAAAGUAUUUUCUAAGUUAAUUUAUUAUUGUGAUAUCAUAUUUCCUCAUAGAAUAAGGAAAGUUAUUUAGAAUAUUUUUAUAAAUAUUUUAGGUCAUAGAGGGAAAAAUCUAUAAGAUCGAUUAAUCAGGAUCUUUGUUUUUUGGAGAAUACCUUUUUUAUAGGGGAUACUAUGUCGAAAUUGUUUAAAUUAUAAUAUUAACAUUAGUUUAUUAUGACAGUAUAGUAAUGGAGCAUAGAGAGGGCAGAUUCGAUCCAGAUCCGUUAGAUCGCUCUAUUUUAGCGCUAUAGGACAGACAUAGGUCUCAAUUAGUGGAUUCUGGUCAGGUAUAUAUGUAUAUAUAAAUAUAGAUGUAUAGAAAAAUAAAAUCAUAAACCUUAAUUAAGUUCUUAUUUAAUCGAAAUGGUAUCUUUUGUAGUUUAAUCAGGUAUUGACAUGUCGACAACGUUUAUGGACAUUCAUGCGAGAGUAGGAGAUGGACCCUCGUAUUUGGCGAUAUGUGAUGCAGUCUGGAUUUUAUGGUGUAUAUCGUGUCGGACACAUUUCACUAGAUUGGCCAUUGAUCACGAGUCUUGUUGAGUGAUGGUGGCCCGAGACACACACAUUUCAUUUAUCUAUUGGAGAGAUGACUGUUACCUUACAGGAUGUAGCCAUGAUUCUAGGAUUACGUAUUCAUUGGCCUCCUAUCACUGGCACAUGUGACAUAGAUUGGUCACUACUAUGUUCUGAGCUUUUAGGUGUCGUCCCACCUACAUCUCAGAUUAGAGGGUCAUCUAUAUCAGCACGAUGGUUGCGUGAGCAGUUCUCAUAUCCAUCAGCAGGGUUCGAUGAUGUUAUUUUACAGCGUUAUGCGCGUGCUUUCAUAUUAGCACUAUUGGGUGGAGCAUUGUUCGCAGACAAGACUGGCACACAUGUACAGUUAUGUUACCUUCCACUAUUGAGAGACUUCACUGAGAUUUCUCACUAUAGUUGGGGCAGUGCAGUGUUGGCAUACCUAUAUAGAGAGCUAUGUCGUGCGAGUUUAGAUAGUGCCACAGAGAUUUCUGGACCUAUCACACUAUUACAGGUAUUUCGACAUAACUAUCUAUUAUAAUUAAUUUACUCACAUUAUUGUUGUAAGUUGUCUAAUUUUGAUAAUGUUAUAUGAUUUUGUAGUUGUGGUCAUGGGAGAGACUUCAUGUGGGUCGACCUGAUUUCGGUCGUCCUCCAGUGUCUAUAGUAGUCCCACAUGUACAUGAUGAUGUAGUUGAUGGUUUACAUGAUCAUCUAUUGCCAGAUGAGGCACUCUCAGUCGAUCCAUUGGGCCAUAGGUGGAGAGUACCCCUGUCUUGGUCUCAUAACCCAUCACCACAUGUGUUGACAUUCUAUCGAGAUCAAUUGGAUGCCCAGACACAGGAUCAAGUAAAGUGUAGAUGCGUAAGAUUACCUUUGCAAUAUUUUCCACCAAUGUGACUAAUUAUUUUCUAAAAAAAAUUACAGGUAUUAUGGGAAUUAUAUAUAGCAGAUUUUAUUGCACAUCUUCCAGCUAUAUGUCAGGCUGAUGAAGAAAUUUGGCGAACUAUGUCGCCUCUACUUUGCUUUGAUAUUAUUGAGUGACAUAGACCAGAGCGAGUUUUACGCCAGUUCCGUAUACAACAAGGGAUACCUCCACCUUGUUUGAUAGAUAUGGAACUACAUUUAGUGGAUAGGCGAGGACGACAUCAGUACGAUUGGGUCACAUUCCAUGCUUAGUAUAUUUCUCUUUGGGCUACUCGUUCUGAGUGUAUUGCGACAGUACCACUUGCGAUUACUACCAUGACUUUUUAUGAUCUAUAUAUGCAGUGGUAUCGACAUAUCACGCGAUGCCUGAUCGCACCUGUUUUGCAUAGAGAUCAUAUGAGGUUCCAUAGUACAGCUUUUGCCACUGAGUUAUUGGUGAGAACAUUUGAGAUACAAAACCAUUUUUUAAUGAAUGUUAAACUUAAAUUAUGUGCAAAUGCCUCAUGUUUCAUUUUCUUAUACAGAUCACCGCUGUAUCGCAGAUGACUAUUUCAAAUGAUUUGGAGGAAACUCACCGAAUUGCUAUUGAUGUUUUACGUGCUAUAGGAGAGGACCAUCGCGUACACUCGACACAUGAGUCAUCCACAUCUUCAGGGCCAUCCAUGAGACCACCAUCAUUGAUUACGCCUAUUAGGGUACCACCCAUUAGAGGUCGGGGGAGAGGUGGUCGUCGAGCUGGUCACCGACAUGUACCUUUGGCAUCUACUUUGGUACAACCCUCACAUCCACUAGUCACAUCUACCUUUCCUUUAUUUCAGCCAUCUGCAUCAUUAGAGUCGCCACUUUCUCCCCCUAAUGUAUCCAUACCAACCCAUUCAUCUCGACCCGAGACUACCAUACCAUCUACCCUUACCCCUGUUCAGCCAUCUAUAUCAUUGGAUGCACCCCCACCUAUUAUAGAGUCUAUUGCACCCCCACCUGUUACAGAGUCUAUUGCACCCCCACCUGUUACAGAGUCCACUGCACCUCUACUUUUUCUUUAGGGGACAGCUCAUGCUGCACGAUUACAUGUACGGGUACCUAGAGGACAUCGAGCUCCACGUGUAUGUCGAGUUCUACCUCCAUCAGUUCCAUCUAACUCGACAGCUCAUGUAGAUGACGUGUCACAGUCUAUAGAGAUGGAGACUUUUCAGAUAGCACAGAUGGAUACAACAAAUAUGACCAUCUACCGUAGAUGUUCACAACGAAAGAGAAAGAUUCCAUCAUGUGGGACACAUUGAGAUCUUUUUUCAUGUUUGUAGAACUAUUAUACUUUGAUUUAUACAUUUAAGGUUAUAUAAAGUGUUAAUUCAAAUUAGUGAUGUUAUGUUAUUCACAUGUUUCCUUGAUAAUUUAAACAAAUAAAACUCAAAUGCAUCCUAAAGUCUAAAUGAAAGAAAUUCUAACUAAAUAAAUUAUUACAACCAUUACCUAUUUUUCUUUCAUAUAAUUAAAAAAUUAUACGUUUUAACCAAGACAUAAGUUCAAAUCAUACUUAAUAAUAAAUAACCUAAAAUCAUAAUCAUUGGCAUUAAUUUUCAUAUGAAAAUAUAAAAUUUUAAAAUAAUAUAAACAAUUUCUUUAGUUAUUUUAAAAUUUAAAAAUAAUAUGAAUAAAUAAUUUUCUUUAGUUCAUAUAUGAAAAUAUUCGUAAAACAAAUAAAUAUUUUAUUUACCAUAAAUAUAUAAAUUUUUAUGGGAAUGCAUGUAGACCAAAUUAUUUUCUCAAAUUUUCAAGGAAAAUAUGAAAAAAUAAAGAUAAUAUAUAUAUAUAUAUAUAUUUAAACAGUCAUAACGAAAAAAUUUGUGAAAAGCAAAGUUCUAAAAUCCCAUACUUUUUUACACAUGAGUUCCCCUUAAAAUAUUUGUGAAAAUUGUAAAACCACAGUCCAUGACUGUGGUUUUAAAGAAAAUUAUAAAACCACCAUUUGUGACUGUGGGUUUUAUAACAUUUUUAAAACCACAAUUACUAACUGUGGUUUUAUGGUUAUUUUGAUAAAAAAAUAUUUUAAAAAUAAUAUUAAAAUUACAACACCAUUAAAAUAGAUGUGGGUUAAAAAUAAUUGUAAAACGACAGUUACUAAUUGUGGUUUUAUGAUUAUUUUGAUAAAAAAAUAUUUUUAAAAUAAUAUUAAAAUUACAACACCAUUAAAAUAGACGUGGAUUGAAAAUAAUUGUAAAACCACAGUUAUUAACUGUGGUUUUAUGGUUAUUUUGAUAAAAAAUAUUUUAAAAAUAAUAUUAAAAUUACAACACCAUUAAAAUAGAUGUGAGUUAAAAAUAAUUGUAAAACCACAGUUACUAACUGUGGUUUUAUGAUUAUUUUGAUAAAAAAAUAUUUUAAAAAUAAUAUUAAAAUUACAACACCAUUAAAAUAGGUGUGGAAUAAAAAUAAUUGUAAAACCACAAUUACUAAAUGUGGUUUUAUGGGAAGUUGUAAAACCACAGUUUGUAACUGUGGUUUUAAGAAUAUUUUUUUAAAACCACAAUUAGUAACGGUGGUUUUAAGAGAAAUUGUAAAACCAUAGUUUGUAACUGUGAUUUUAAGGAUAUUUCUGUAAGUUUUAAAACCACAUUCAUCAAUGGUGGUUUUUUACACUUAAAAUCUAUGUGGAUGUUUAUGUGGAUAAAGAACACUAUUAUGACAAAUAUUUUGAAAUGGAUACUAUUUUUACCAUUUUUUUUUACAAAUAAAUUAUUUUGUUCUUAAACUCUUUGAAGCCUGCCGAAUUAGUCCACCGAAUUGGAGGGCAGUUUUGGUGACUCAUUAGUUUCCCGCCCACCGAUUUGACCCAUGGUUUCGAAGAACGGUGUGAACUGUGGAUUUAUGUCUCCGUCUUUUUGACUUUCUUCAUAGAUACAGCUGUUUUCACUGAUAAUUGAUACAGAAAUACAUGGGAGCCCCUUUCCACAACAUUAAUAACGAUAGGGACUUCAUGUACUCAAAUCUCAUUUGAUUUUCAUUUUGCUUUAAUUUACAAAUUCAAUUUUUAAAGGAAAAAAGAAAAAGAAAAAAAAGGCAUACCGUUAGAGUUAUUCUCUCGAAAAUCAUUUGUAAUUGAAAAAAUUAUUAACAAAAGUCUUGAUUAGAAAGCUUAAAUGUUCCCUAAUUUUUUAUAAAAUAAAAAUCUUUUUAACAACCUUAAACGUUUUUAACCUGUUCCCAAAGAAUGGGCUGUAGCAGGGAGAUAGGACGGCUUCAGUGUCUUGGACAGCUAAAAAGUCGUGGUUGUGACAGGGGUAGGGAUGGCUGAAGGCUGUGUUGUCACUAGGUUUUGGGUUGGUAUGAGAGGCUAUAGGUGGACGGCUGGUAUGAAUGAUUGACCUCUAGAUCAUUUCUGGGGCUAUAAUGGCUAGGUGCAUGGCUCUGUUCGGUUAUUGUUUUCUCUUUUUUAAAACAAAAAAAAAAACUAAAAACUUGUUUCAUGUUUUAUUGUUUCCCUGGUUCGCAAAAGAGCAUCAGGUAACAGCUGGUCUUGGUGUUUUUCUUCUCCUUCUUCUCACUUUUUUUCUACCUGUGGUUUCUCCUCUAGCACAGUGAAAGGCGUCUCCAACAGCACGAAACGAAGGUAACUUCACCAACCCAUUUUUUCUUUCCUUUUAUUUUUUGUUGUACAUAUUGAAGUUAUUUCUGAUAGCUCUGAUAAAAUAGGCUUAUUUUAUGACAUUUGUUUGGAAAAAUGUUAGAUUUCGGCAAAGAAAUAUCUAUAUUUUUUUUUCUCAGCUCUUUUGUUAUAAAAAAAUAUAGAAGUUAUCGGAAUACAUACUGCGAAACCCUUUUUGUUUUGUUUGUUUCGCCAUAUCAAAACGUUACUUAGUUUUUGUUUGUUUUGAAUUUGAUUUUUGUUGCCAAUAGGAUUGUGGGAAUCGUUUCUCAGUUAUGUUAUUCGAAUGGGAUCUAAAUUUUUUUAUUCUAUGAGGCCUUUUUGUUUUCUGAUUUUAUUCCCGUUUAACGUUGAGAAAACUGGGAAAAGACCAGAAAAAGAAUUUGAUAAGAAUCUUGAGAUGUUUUAUUAAAGGGAACGAAACAUGGUAUUCUUCCAUGUUUUUUGUUUGAAAAAUCGAAAUUUUUGUUUCACUAUGUCUGAUAAUCAUUGAUUGAUUUUAUGCAUUCCGAAAUACUAUGUCCACUUUCUUAUUCUUCUGAAUAUUCAUAUAUUUUAAAUUUGGUAAAUUUUUAGUUUCAGCAGCGGGUACAUUUUUUUGUAUCAUUUGAAUUCAAAAUUUGCUUAAGAACCUGCAAGUGAGGGAAACCGAAUUGCUGGGGCAAAAUUUAAUGAUGAAUUUCAUUGAAGAUAAUUACAAGUUUAAUAAAAUUUAAAAGACUCAAAUAAAAACUAAAAACUUAAUUUUUGUGUUGAAUUAGUCGCUCUGUCAUUGUGUAUCUUCAAGGGGCCCUUCUAUCUGGAUUUAUAGACCCGUAAAUAAGAUUGUACAUUAAUCCAAAUAUCUUUCUGAAUUUAUAAAUGGCAGCUGUUAGACUGGUCACCAUUCAUUAUGUUAAUUUUGCAGAUCCUUUGUCACCAUAGAUCUGUUGUCACCAGUAAUACGAAUUACUGGUAAAUUCUUUGGUGGAUCAUUUUUGAUAACUCAAUCAAAUAAUUUUUCUAAUGUUUUUUAGAACAAAAACCUAAUUUUCUGAAUUCAAUAUUUGACAGUUUUUUUAAUUUAUUUAUUGAAAACACCAAAAACUGAUUUCUGGAAAAAUUUUCAAAGAGCCAAAUAUGCCCUAAAUGUUGCAACUUAGGUGGUUUAGGGAGCCUGGUUUGUUUAGGAAUAUGUCAAAAUUUAUUAUUAAAGUAUAGACGAUUAUGAAUAAAGAAGAAAUUGUUAUUAAAGUUUAUAAUAAUAUGUUUGUUAUCAAUUAAAAUAACUUUUUUUUUUCUUAAAGCCUGGAUUUAAUAGUUAUAGACAAAAAUCAAAUUCCUAGUUUGAAUUAUGGUUGAUGAGAUAUUAGGAAGAAUAUUAUCAUAACUAUACUCAAAUGGGCCUCUGAUGGAAAAUCAAAGAUUAUGAGUCAAUGAAAUUGCAUUGACAUUCAAGGUGAAAGUUAGAGUUCUCAAAUGGUUAAUUAUUUUUUUAUUAAUGUAUGCAAGGAUAAUUUUCCCUAUUCGAAACCAUUAUUCUUAAAUUUUGCUACAAGAAAAGCAAACCAUAUAUUGUACUUCUCUUCAAAAUGAGAAUAAGCUGAUGUUCAACUGAAUCAAACUGCAUGCAUCCCUUGUGCCUUCUCAAUCUCAUAACUCUGUACCCCUUUGUCCAAUUUUCUUGUUUCACUCAUACUCACUUCUGAUUCUCCUUUUCAUCUCUUUGCUUGGAGCAAGUCCUCUUCUCCUUUCAUCUCCUAGUUUGGUUUCAUUUGUUGCACUCUCUUCUUUGAUUCCUGUUAUUUCUGCUUUCAUACGUUAUGUUUUUUUUCUUUCUCAGUCACCAUCUGUUUUCCCAAGCAAGCUAAAAGGGAGGGAAAAAAAAGAAACAGUCCGCCUUAGACGAAAUGACAGACAUCGUUAUUAACAUUGCUGCAACAGUUGCCGAGUACUUGGUUGCUCCAAUUAGACGCCAACUUAGAUAUCUGUUUUGCUACCGGUUACGGAUGAUCUCAACAACAAGGUUCAGGAGUUGGGGCGUGUUAGGGAUGACCUUCAGAGAACUGUUUGUGAAGAAACGACAAGAGUGGGGUAUAAAAUCAGACCUAUUGUUCAAGAGUGGCUGAAUCGGGUAGAUGUGAUUACAGGGGAGGCAGAGGAAUUGAUGAAAGAUGAAAACAAGAGCUGUUUCAAUGGGUGGUGUCCUAAUCUCAAGUCACAGUACCUGCUAAGCAGGAAAUCAUACAAGAAGGCGCAGGUUAUUGUUAAAAUCCAAAAAGAAGGCAAUUUCCCUCAUGAAGUAUCAUAUCGUGUCCCUCUACGAAACCUAACCUUUAAAAAUUAUGAACCUUUUGGAUCGAGAGAAUUGAUUUUGAACGAAAUAAUGGAUGCAUUGGGAGAUGAUAAGAUCAAGAUGAUUGGAGUUUGGGGGAUGGGCGGUGUGGGCAAAACCACACUGGUUAAACAAGUAGCCGAACGAGCAAAGCAAGGGAAGCUGUUCACAACAGAAGUCUACAUAGAUGUAUCCUGGACUCGAGACCUGGAAAAACCUCAACGAGGAAUUUCUAAUAUUCAAAAAAAAAUUGCAGAGAUGUUAGGCUUGAAAUUUACGGGGGAGGAUGAGUCCACAAGAGCAAUUGAACUGAUGCAUGGACUGAAGAAGCAGAACAUCCUUCUUAUCUUAGAUGAUAUUUGGAAGGUGAUAGAUCUGGAGCAAGUUGGAAUUCCUUGUAAAGAUGAUCGGAUGGCAUGCAAAGUAGUGUUGACGUCAAGACAGCAUGGCAUGUUAUCUAAGGAUAUGGGUACUUGUAAGGACUUCCAUGUUAAUCAUCUGUGUGAUGAGGAAGCUUGGAAAUUAUUUCAGAGGACUGCAAGUGAUUUCGAGCAGGAGCAUGAAUUGCGGCCCAUAGCAACUGAAGUAUUCAAAAAAUGUGAGGGUCUUCCAGUAGCUAUUGUAACAAUUGCAACGGCGCUAAAGGGUGAGGGAGUGGCUGUAUGGAGGAAUGCCUUGCAGGAGCUGAGAAUGUCUACACCAACAAACAUAGAAGGAGUGACUGAAAAUGUGUACUCGUGUCUGGAGUGGAGCUACAAGCAUUUGAAAAGUGCUGAAGCGAAGUCAUUGUUCUUGCUCAUUGGUUCACUGGGCAAUGGUGAUAUUCCAUUGGAUGACUUGUUAAAAUAUGGCAUGGGUUUGGAUUUGUUUAGUAAGAUCGAUUCAUUGGAGCACGCAAGAGAUAGAAUAGUUUCCCUGGUGAGAAUUCUUAAAUCCUCAAGCCUGUUGCUUGAUGCACUUGAAGAUGAUAAAUACUAUGAUAGAGCUCCAAGCUUGCUUUUUGUGGAGGAAGGUAACGGGUUUGUCAAAAUGCAUGACGUGGUUCGUGAUGUUGCCAAAUUAAUUGCAUCGAAACAUCUUCAUCAAUUUGAGGUGGACGGAGUUGUUAGAUCACAAGAAUGGGAAAAGAGUGGCGCUGAACCGAGAAAUUGUACAGGAGUGGCGCUGAACCGAGAAAUUGUACAGGCAUAUUUUUGAAAUGCACACGUGUUAAUGCCCUUCAAGAAGGAUUGGUAUGUUCUGAGCCUCCAUUUGUUUUGUUGGAUAGUAUUCAUUUUUCUUUGAAAAUUCCAGAUACUUUUUUCAAAGCAGAAGUCAGAGUUUUAAGCUUGACUGGAUGGCAUCGGCAACAUCUGUCUUUAUCAAUUCACUCUCUUUCAAAUCUUCGAACAUUGUGUGUACACGGUCACCAGAUCGAAGACAUAAAAAUACUUGGAAACCUUAAGAGACUACAAAUUCUUAGCCUUGUAGAUUGUUUGAGUUUCAAGGGUCUCGAAGUAAUGAUGGAAUUGACUGAUCUAAGGAUGUUGAGUUUAAGGGGCACAAUUCUCCCCAGUAGAAGUAAUCCGCUGAUGAUAUCAAGUUUACGUCGGUUAGAGCAUUUGUGUAUUAGGAUUAAUAUAUUGGAGGACAGUCCACUCUACCUAGACACCAUUCCUACUCUUUGUGGGUUGAAACACUUGUCCUGUUUGAGGGCUUUGGAAUUGGUCAUACCAUUUUCACGUUUGCUUUUGGAAGAUGUUUCCUUUGAGAACCUCACUAGAUAUGAUAUAUGUGUAGGCGAUGGUCCAUGGGCUUGGUGUGAUGAUGGUCAAUGGGGUCGGUGUAAUGAUAGUACAAAGGCCUCUAGAAGGUUGUUGCUCAGUUUGGGUCAGAAUGAGUGGAGCCAGCUCAAUCCGAGCCUGCACGAUGUGGUCAAAGUCCCCCAUCUGGUCAAGUGCUUCUCCAAGCUUUUUAAGACAACUGAAGUUCUAGUAUUGGACAGACUAGUUGAUACCAAACAUUUUAUUAAUGAGCUAGGCUGCGAUGGUUUUCUUCAACUCAAGUAUCUGUAUAUCUCUAGGAGUGAUGGGAUGCAAUACAUCAUGAAUACAAGGGAAAUGGAAUGGGUCGAUCCACCACGUGCCUUUCCUCUCUUGGAAAGAUUAAAGCUCAGAUGUCUCGAGCAAUUGGAAGCAGUAUGGCAUGGCUGAUUUCCGGUGGGGUGUUUUGCCAACUUAAGAGUUCUGGAAAUAGAGGAAUGUAACAGCUUGAAAUAUAUCAUAUGGCUUCCUACAACACAAGCCAGGGAAUCAGUACUAGUGUUUCCUCAACUGGGAUCCUUGAAACUGGAACGUCUGCCAAAUCUCAUUAACUUCUACUCCACAGGAACCAGUGGCAGCCAGGAGCCAAGCAGCUCUUUUUUCAAUCAGGUAUGUUUAAUUUUCACUUUCAAUUUCUGCCAUUCAGCUCUUUUUACUCUUCAACUUCUCUUGCAAACAAAUUAAUCAUAUACAUUAAUUAAAUCAGUAGUUUCCUAAUGGUAGUAUGUACUACUAAGAAAGCCAAAUAGCCUGUCACAAGAUUUGUUCCUCCUAAACAUAUUGAUCUUAUUUCGCCGUGAAAUAUGUAUAUUUUCUAUUUCAAUUUUUUUAAACUUACUAAUCAUUUUCUCUCAAAAAAUUACAUAACUAACCUUAUUUUUUCUCAUUAAUUCUGAUAUAAGGAAAUAGAUUAAUUUUGUCCAUGAGUAAACUCUUAUUAAGAAAGUGGAAAGUGAUCCCUCAUCAUCCUGAUUAUGCCUCUUUCCUAUUCCAUUUCACAAGUUUAUCUUCACUUUUUUAGGCUUAUAAACAUAUUUAUAUUAUUUAGCACACAAAUAUGUAUAUUUUAAUUUUGAAUUUUUAACUUAGAAAGUAUUUAUAUUGUUUCAUCCAAAAUGUUGUAGAUAUAACAAAAUUUCAAAAUAUAUACAUUUUUUUUCAUUUCUCAAAGAGUUCCACUUCCAUUAUCUCAUGAGUCUCCCAUCAUUAAUCUCAAAAAUUAACUCUUCAAUCAUGUUUAAUUUCUAACAUCAAAUAAGAGGUGAAUUUUGAUUCUUUAAUUUUAUCUUGCUCUUCUUUCCAUUAUUAUGAGUUCACUUUUUUUCUUAAUAUGCUUUUCAUUUGUUUUUCCAAUUCAUUUGGCAAAUCUCCAUAGUUUUUCUAAUAUGGCAUUUAUUUUUAUUAUUUUUGCAUGAAAUAUAUUUUAUUUAAGGAAAAAUAAGCUAAGCUUAUUCAACUAAUUAAAUAUUUUUUUAUAAUAACUAUUAACACACAUUGUCGAAUUAUUUAUCUCUUUUUGCUUUUUCUUUUUAAGCAAUGUUAUUCACCAUUCAAAUGGUGAAAAUAUUAGGUUAAAAAAUGAAAAUUUACAAAGGAUAAAAUUUACAAAAAUUUGAAAAUUGCAUUUUGUUGCAAGAAACAAAAAAUGGAUGAACAAUAGGGCAAAAAUCACAAUUGAAAAUUAGAGCUUAAAAAUUAAAAUAAUAUGAAAGUCACAUUAUAUACUUGUUUUAUGAAUGAAAAUGUUAAAAUAAAGGCUGAUAAUAACGAGAAUCGUAAUAGUUGCAAUCAGUUCAUAAUGAUUGAGUACCCUAUCAUUAUUGAACAAUUAAUUUAAAUACUUCAAAUUUUAGAAAGUAAAUAAUCAAAUAAAAUAAGUCAUACAAAACGUACAAAUAAAAUUAGUGGAAAAAUUACCUAUGUAGUGGAAAAAGUAAAAAAAGAUAAUGCAUUAAAAAUUUGAUAGAAGUGAUGUCAAUAUCAAUCAUGAGGUGCACAUUAGUGGGACAAUUAAUUUGUAAUUAAUGAAGAAAAGUAUUUAUACAAAUAUCAUUUUUUCUAUUCUUUAUUUUAAUCUACAAAGCAUGGUAUGUUUGUGGAUUGCAUUUUUUUUUUUGCAAGCCUAUAGAAUCUGAACAAAUAGAUUGAUGACUAUUAUGGCCGCCUCUACAUGAUCUACAAUGAUUUAUCGAAUAAAAAAAAAAAGAUACAAAAUUUAGGAUCAUUCUAUUGCCUUAAUUGUAAGAAAAAAUUCAGUACCAACUUCCUUAAAUUUAAAAAUAGAGAUGAAAAUUGGGUUAUCUUAUUUUCUUAUUUGAAAAGAGAAUUUAUAGCAAAAUCUUAGUUAAUUUUGUAGUUUGUCACAUUGACAUAUUGAUUGAAACCUCAUAUAUUCAAUUAUAUAUGUUAUUGGAAUGUAGGUGAACGACUACAUUAAUUAUUAAUUCUAUGUUAUAAAUUGGACAGGUUGCAUUGCCCAGGUUGGAGUCCUUAAAUUUGCGUUCAAUGGAAAAUAUCAGAACAAUAUGGGACACGUGUGAGGAAGAAAUUUGUUUAGAUGGUCAAAAUGUGAAGAGCGUGAGGAAGAAGGAUCCCCAAGGAUAUCUUGCCUUUCAAAAUCUAAAUUCAUUGAGCCUUUAUGAUUGUACUUCCUUGAAAUAUGUUUUUCCGGCUUCAAUUGUGAAGGGUCUUGAGCAACUUAAGGACCUACAGAUACAUGAUUGUGGAGUGGAGUAUAUUGUUUCAAAUGAAAAUGGAGUUGAAGCAGUGCCUUUGUUUCUUUUCCCUAGACUAACCUCUCUCACACUUUUUUGUUUAGGCCACCUCAGAAGGUUCGGCCAGGAGAAGUAUACUUUGACUUGUUCACUGUUGAAGAAAUUGGAAGUAUAUUGGUGUGAUAAAGUGAUCGUACUUUUUCAAGAAAAAAGUGUUGAAGGUGAACUUGAUAAACAACCUCUUUUUGUGGUCGAAGAGGUAUUACUCCUUUUGCACAUUUGGGUUACUAGAUUUAUAGCCAAAUUAAUCAAAUUAGAUAAAGAGACUUUAGAAUAUGGAGAAAGAGGCACAAAUAAUUAAUAGUCAUGAGAAUUUUGAGGUGUAAUAAGCAUUAUGUUUUAUAGAUCCAACAAUUUUUUAUUGAGUUAACGGGUGCUACAAAUGCUAGUGAUAUUAUAUUACCCAUAUUACCCAAACUGCAUUUAGCUACUAUAACUAUCUAUUCAAGGUAUUUAUAUUAAUUAUCAUAUUCAUGUUAUGAUUGUGUUCAAUAAUAAUAGUAACCAGUUUUCAUAAAAUUAGCUUACUAGAGAACCUAUAAUGAAGAUAAAUUACUUGGAAGCCUUUUUAUAUAUAGACCUUGUUUAUUUACUAAAGUUUUGUUAGAGUAAUAAAAUAUUAAUGUUAUUCAUUUGAUUUGUCAGAACGCAUUUCCUAAUUUGGAGGAACUGCGGGUGGGCUCAAAGGGCCUCGUGGAGAUAUGGCGGGGCCAAUAUUCAAGUGAGUCAUUUGGAAAACUAAGAGUUUUAAGUAUAGAAAAUUGUGACGAUAUUUCAGUUGUGAUCCCCUGCAGUAAGCUGCCAGUAUUACAGAAUCUAGAGAUACUUAAGGUGUCUCGUUGUAAGUCAGUGGAAGAGGUAAUGCAAGGUGAAGAGCUUGCGGGUGAGAAAAUUCCCCGGUUAACUAAUAUAUCCUUGUGUGCAUUGCCUAUGCUUAUGCAUCUAUCCAGCUUACAGCCAAUUCUUCAAAAUCUUCAUUCUCUGGAGGUAUUUUACUGUGAAAAUUUGAGAAAUUUGGUAUCACCCUCGAUGGCUAAAAGACUAGUGAAUCUCAAAAACCUUUGGAUUGCGGUGUGCUUCAGUGUGAAGGAAAUAGUACGAGAUGAUGGGAGUGAAGCUACAGAUGAUGUCAGUUUCACUAAGUUAGAGAAGCUACGACUUCGUGAUUUAGUAAAUCUGGAAAGCUUCUCCUCUGCAAGUAGCACCUUCAAAUUCCCGUCCUUGGAAGAAGUAUACAUAAAGAGACUAGCAAGUCUCACACAUCUAUACAAGAUAAUCCCUGGCCAGAAUCUUCAAAAGCUUCGUAUUCUAGAAUUAUUGGGUUGUGAGAACUUGGAAAUUUUGUUAACACUGUCAAUGGUUAAGACACUUGAACAGCUUACUGUGAGCGACUGUGAUAAGGUGAAAGUAAUAGUUGAAAGUGAAGGAGGUGAAGCAACGGGUAAUGAGGCUGUUCACACCAAAUUACGAAGGCUAAAACUUCAGAAUUUACCAAAUCUGAAAAGCUUUUGCUCAGCAAGAUACUGCAUCAUAUUCCGAUCCUUGACAUUCGUGGAUAUCAAGGAAUGCCCUCAGAUGGAAUUUUUUUGCCAGGGAGACUCAUUCACACCAAGUUUAGAGUCUGUAUGGAUGAAUAACCGGCGGGAAAUUUUGGAGAAUGACCUGAAUACUAUCAUACAUAAGUUUACGGAAAGGGUAUGUUAUAAUUCCCCUGACUUCCUUCUACUCUUAACACCAUCUUCCCCCAUCACCAUUCUCUGCAUAUCGUGAAUUCUAAUUAUAAUUCUGUCUGUUUACCAUCUCUCAAUUCUGCUUGCUAUGAGAAGAAGACAUAGAGCGCAAGCCCAUAAAAUUUUCAUGUUUUUCAAGUCUAUAACACAUGUUUAGUUUCUUAAAAUAAGGAAUCUACAUUGAUGGGGGCAGAAUUUUUCAUGAUUUGUGUGAAUCAAUCUUUUAUUUUCGUAUCCUUAGGCUACUUCAUUUAUUGUUUUUUUUUGGACAAAGUUAAUCUUACUAUCUGUUUUUGGUUGCUCAAGUAUUUUAAUGCAUCACUUUUUAAAACAUGACCGGACUGCACCCCAAUUGAAACAAAUUUAAGAUCCAUGGGAAAAGGUUAUAGAAAAUUUAAACCUUGGGUUUCCAGUCAGUUCAGAUGCGGACCUAGAGAGAUGGCCUAUGUUGUGGGCUGAAACUAGAUGUUAUAAUGUUCACGAUAAUUAGUUUUGUGUCUAACUUUGUUCAAUAGUCAAGUUAGAAUAGCUAGAGAUCGAAACUUGAUGAUUGUGUUGAUUAUUUAAAAAAUGACAAGACUUCUCAUAUGCAUUGUUGUUUUAAGAUUGGGGUUGUUAGAAAGUCUAAAAUGCUCCUGUAAAAAAGGUUAUAUAUAUCCAUAGAAAAUACAAAUGCAGCGAGAAAGUGAAAGUCAAGUGUAGUGGUUGCAAAAGAAAUGAGAAUAGAUAUGAGAUCUUAUCUUCGAUCCAACAUAGUUAAAUAAUCAAGUUAAAGGAUGGAAUUUGAUAAUUAAGUUCAUUUAAUGACCAAGUAUAGAUCAAAAGAUGUUCUUGAUCAUUUGAGUUUGCAUUGUUGUAGAGUUGGGUUUAUGUUGUCAGUCCUUACUUGAGCACAGAAAUUUACCAGUUUCCAUUGAUGUUAAAGGAGGUUAUCUUAUUUCGCAUAUUUCCAUAUUCUCAAGCAUUUAAAACCAGUAAAUCAGCAAAAUCUUUUUAGCUUGUAAUUUCUGUGGUGCAGUUUGGGGAGUACAAUCCCAAGGUUCUUAGGAAUGCCCCUAAGUUAUUAUCAUAUGUUUGGAGGUAAAUCAUUUAAAAAAUUGUGUGAGGAUUGAUGCAGAUUGAGGAUUAUAGGGGACAAUAGAUUGAAGGUAUUUUCCUGUUAGAGCUGCAUGGAGGGUCUCAUUUUAUGGAUGGAGGAACUUGGUGAGACUUAAUUAGGUCAUUUACAAAUAGUUAUUAACGUUGAGAAAUAACUACAAGGCUACCAUGUAGCAGUAGUUUGAUUUGAUCAUUCUGUGAUUCUCCUUUCAUACCGAGUACGUUUAAAUUUUGUUCUUGUAAUUUUUACUCUUUCCUGCUUAAUAUGAUGCACUACAUGUGUUGAAUGCCCAGCAUUCCAAGGGAGAAGUUCAUGAUGAAGAAGAUGCUGAGGAAGGGGAUUCUGAAGAGCAGCAUCACGGGGUAGAGGAUUCUGUGGAAGAAGACACCGAGGAAGAGGAUUCUGGGGGAGGAAGUUGAUCCUUAGGGCAAAGAUGUGAGCGAGAAGCUGUUACAAUUUUUUUUCCCUUUAUAUAUCUUCAAAUGUAAAAAAAACGCUUUUGUUCUUAUCGUCUUCAUUUUUUUUUAGAUAUAUAUGCAGAACUUGGCUUCAUUAGAGGACAUGUAUUGAUACCAUCCCAGUCAGAGAGAUGCUGCCAAUGAAUUUUUCAUCAGUCUCUUUGGUAUGUUUUGCUUUAUGAUGUCAUAUCUGUAAGUUGCUAUUGUUCCCUGGCACUUAAGAGACCAUUCAACUGCUUGGGGUUCAAAAUAUAUAUGUAGGUUUUGUGCACGUUUGACUUAAUUUGCAUUAUUCUUGUGUACGUGUAUUCGUAUUAUAUAACCAAGCUUGUUAGGACCUUUCUUAUUCAAAUUUAAGAAUAGCUUUAAGUAAUUUUUAGUAUAAAAUAUUCUUUCAAAAAUGUUACAAUCGUGAUGAUAUAAUAAACUCGUAUGUGCCAAUAUAAAGAUUCAAAAUUAUCUUUUGAUGGUUACAAAAUCAUUUAGUCAACUCCAAACAAGGCUUGUUUUGUUGUGAUCUUAUUGUUGGUAAACAAUUUACUCCUAGUCAAAACAUCUCGUCAAAAAGAUCAUCUAGUGUUUCCUGCUUCAAGAGCAGAUAUUUUUAAUGAGUUUAGGAACUCUUAUGCUUUUUUUUUUUUAGCUUGGGUAGGUCGGCCAAAUGAUCUGAUGACAUAUAUUUAUGUACCUUUUUGCUAUUAUCUAGAAUAAUUUAGUUCAACAAUGACAAGGUUUGUUUGUUUUUUGUUUUUUGUUUUAUAGCAAAUCAAGAAAAGUGUCUUGAAAGUCAAAAAGUUGAAGAAUAAUUGUUUUGUAUCAUGUAAAGGAAAACAAAGAAUUUGGUUAUGUUUGGGAAUUGUUCUCAAGAUUAUUUUUUAGUUUUUGAGAAUAAAAAACAUGUUUUUAAAAAUAGUGUUUUCUUCUAACAUAUUUGAAUUAUUUUUACAUGUUUCUAAAGAUUUUUAAAAAUUAAUUACACCAAUCCGUUUAACCUUGCACUAUGUGAUUGCUUUAGGCCAUAUAAUGACUUUCUUAGGUGGUGUUUAUUUGUUUUACUUUAUUUUUAAUAGAACCUUAAUAUUUAAUAGUAUUAAAUAUUAGGUUGUUUGUUUUUAUAGUAUUUUAUUUUUUAUGAAGUAUUAAAAAGUAAAGCAAAACAAAUAUGUUAUUUUUUCUAUUUAAAAAAAGUUAUAUAUUUUGGUUUCUUCUAUUUAAUAAAAAGUUUAUAAUAAGUCAUGAAAAAGUAAAAAAAUAAACAACUUUAAUUCUGAAAACAAAUUGUUUUUAGUAUAAAGGAAAGAAAACAAACACCACCUUGGUCUACUAUCUUUUAUAUUUUCUUUCUUCAUCAAAUCCCGAGGGUAACUCUGUAUAGGCUUCUUCCAAGUUUCUAUUUAAGAACACAUUCUCCACAUCUCAUUGUUGAAGAAUCUAACUAAAUUGGUUGCAAAUAACAAUAGGACUUAUGACUAUAUUUAUCUUAGCAUAUAGAGUAAACGCUUCUUGGUAAUCAAUUCUAUAGGUUUGAGUGUAUUUCUUCGCAAUGUGUUUUUCCUUGUAUCAUUUAAUUGAUCCAUUUGCAUUGUAUUUGAUUGUAAAUAACCACUUACAUCCCAUAGUAUCUUCUCCUUAGUGUCACAGACAUAGUAUUUUCUUAAGCUCGUGAGACAGUUACUCAAGUCUAGACACUUGAUCUUGCUAAGUUAGCUUUACUUCUAUGUUUAGCUUUUUAGGUUAAAUUUACACGUCUUAGAAGUUUUAGAAGGCAUAGUAGGUAACAAUUAAAGAAGGGAAGCUUUUAUUGCCCUUAAGGAUGGUUUACAAGUGCAUAGGAGGAAGCUCAUUUGACUAAUGCCUUGGCCAAAUGAGGGCCUCAUUUAUUUAUAGGCACCUUGGGAAGUCUGUAGAACCUUGGAGGGUUUCCUUACAAAUCAAGAAUAUUCUAGAUGCUCUUACACUAGUUUAUGUAUUAGGCUAUGUACAAGAUGACUUUGGAAGAUUGUAGAACACCUCACACUAUUGCAAUACUAGCCAAGUGUAGAGAUGUGUGGAUAUCUCUAGCCCUCUCUUGAAGCUUUCAUACUCUUUCCAAUUUGUAGUCUUCAAAGUCUUUUUAAGCAUCUUGUGACAUUAGCCUUUUAUGGAACAACCCAUGUACCAUUUUGCAUCAACCAUGUAUGGGGAAGGGACUUUCAAACCUCCUCGCAAGGCCUUUAUACAUUAGCCUUAGUGACUUGAAUUGUUGAGGGAAGGAUCUUGACAAGCACCAUGCUCUGACUUUAUGCAUCGUGUGACGUCGCUUUUUAUUAGCCCACUUUUUCAUUUUCUUAGUAGCCUUGUCCAAGUAUGAGCUAGCUAUAUCGGCUUGCUUAUGCCAUCCAUUAGCAAACUUGAAAGUCGUCGGACUUCUUCCUGUAUAGUCGAUCUCUAAUGUGGGAGGAGUCAAUGGUUGUUGUCUUGUGGAUAGCUUAAAUGGGCUUUUGUGGGUCGCCUUACUCAUUUUCAGGUUGUAUGAGAAUUGGGUCACAUCUAGCAACUUAGCCCAAUCCUUUUCGUUGGCACUCACAAAAGUGCCUCAAGUAUAACUCUAGUAAGGCAUUCACCCUCUUAGUUUGCCCAUUUGUUUAUGGGUUAAAGCUUGUAGAGAAAUGAGGCUUUGAUAUUCUAAGUUUGAAGAGUCCCUUCUAAAACUUUCUUGUGAAUUGUGGGUUGCGGUCACUAAAAAUGUACUUGGGCAACCCCCAAUAUUUAACCACGUGCUUCAAGAAUAGCUUUGUUGUCUCUUCCAUGAUAUAGUUAGUAGGGGUUGCUAAGAAGGUGGCGUACAUAGAGAACUUAUCCAUUACAACGAUGAUUGAGGUAUAGCCGUCCAACUUGGGCAACCCAAUGAUAAAGUCCAUAGUGAUGUUCUCUUAUGAACGUUUUGCAUUGGGUAGUGGCUCCAAUAGGUCCCUUGGUUGUUACUAUUCUACCUUAUCUUAUUGGCACACAGGAUAAGUCCUCACAUAGACCUCGACUUCAUCCCGUAUUUGAGGCCAAUAGUAAGUCGACCUGAGUAGUGCUCGUGUGCGUCCUUGUCCAGGGGUAUUCUACCCACUUAGAAUCAUGGCAUUCCUUGAUAACAUAUCUCAUGUUCCCUCACUUGGGCACGUAGAGUCGUCUCCUUUUAGUGUAAAGUAGGUUUUUGUCCACAUAGAACCACUUAGUUUUUCCCUCAUGGGCCAAGGGAAUGAGGCUCUUAGCCAUUGGAUCAUGUUGCAACUCCUCCCUUAGAAGGUCCAGCAUGGCUUGUCAUAGUAGCUAGUUUCGUCUUGCGGCUUAGGGUGUUGACCACAUGAUUAGCACUUCCCGACUUGUACUCUAAUGUAUAGUCGAACUCGGUCAGGAAGUUUUUCCACCUAGUUUGCUUGGGACUUAGCUUCUUCUGGGUUUGGAAGUAGCUAGUGGCAAUGUUGUUGGUUUUCAUUACAAAGUGAGACCCUAGUAGAUAAUGCCUCUAUGAGCACAAGCAGUGGACAAUGGCAGUCAUAUCAUUUUCUUGCACCUUGUCUCGCCUCUGUCAUUUAGCUUGCGAGUCUUGUAGGCGAUCAGAUUUUUAUCUUGCAUAAAAACCCUUCCAUUAGCAAAGUAAGAGGCAUCUGUGUGUACCUCAAACACCUUGGUAUGGUCGGGUAAUGCCAACACCGCUUCUUAGUCACAACCUUAUUUAGGUCCUCAAAGUCUUGUUGGCACUUCUCAUCUGAUUCCCAUGUCUUGUUCUUCUUGGGAAGAUUGAUGAGAGGAGUUGCCCUUAUAGAGUAACCCUUGAUGAAUCGUUGGUAGUAGUUAACCAAGCUAAGGAAAGACCUUAGCUGAGGUACCUUAGUAGGUGGAUCCCAUUCUUAGAUGGCCUUCACCUUUUUGUGAUCCAUCAUCAGCUUGCCAUCCUUGAUGCGAUUGCUCACCUCCUCCUUAGUAAAGGAGCAUUUCUUCUUCUAUACAUAUAACUUGUUCUGUCUUAGGAUCUUGAAAACUUACCUUAGAUACUCCAUGUGUUCCUUCACGGUGUUAUUGUAGAUGACUAUGUGGAUCAAGUACACCACUACAUACUUGUCUAGAUAUGGUUAGAAGAUCUUAUUCAUGAGUGUCUAGAUCGAAGGUCAUCAUUAGGAAUUCAUAUAAGCCAUAUCGGGUCACGCAUGAAGUCUUUGACUCAUCACCUUCUGUUAUCCUUGCUUGGUAGUAGUUCGAUCUCAAGUCUUGCUAUGUGAAGUAUCUCACCUUACCAAGUUGAUCAAACAAGUCGACAAUGAGCGGAAUAGGGGUACUUGUUCUUCCACCUUGUUGAGUGCCCAACAAUCCAUGCACAUCCGUAGGGACCCAUCAUACUUAUUUUGGAACAAGAUUGACACGUCGUAGGGAGCUUUGGAUGGAAUAAUGAACCUUGUGUCUGGAAACUCGUUGAAUUGUCUCCUUAGCUCCUUGAGCUGGGGUAGUGCCAUCCUAUAUGGCCCCAUGGUAGCGGGCUUAGCUCUUGGCUCCAACUCAAUCCUAUGAUCUUCCUCACUUCUAAGAGGGAGUUAUUUGUGCAACUUGGGCUAUAUCACUUUCUUGAACUCAUCAAGGACUCCCCCAAUUUCCUUAGGCAUGGGCUCUUCAAACCAUCAUCCUUAUUCUCCUUUACAGUGGCCAAAUAAGGCACAUAUUUCCUUUUUAAGCGUUCCUUCAAUUGCAAGGUAGAUAGCAUGGGGGUCUUGGGCGAACCUUCGGUGAUCGUAGGAACCAUGCAUGACUUCUCAUCUUCCAAGAUAACCAUUGAGUGUAGAAAGGGCAUUGGCACAACCUUGACCUUUCAAGGAAGUUUGUCCCCAAUACCAUUUUAAAGUCAUCCACGGGUGUCACUACUAUGAAGUCGACCAUUCUCAUGAGCCAAUGCGUAUAGCCACCUUGCCUGCUACACCAUGUGAUGGCUUGGUAGCAGAGUUAAUUGCCUUGAGCCAACCUCUCUCCUUGGAAAUUUGGAUCUCUAGCCUCUUUGCCUCAUCUUCCGAGACAAAGUAAUGAGUGGCACCAGUGUCCACUAGGGCUUAGGUGGCCUUUCCAUAUUCAAGGGCCUCCACGUGCAUUAACCCUUUAUGUUGAGGCAUCUUAGGCAUCGAUUUAGCCUUGAGGGUGUUUAGGAGUUGCAAUGAUCCCAUAUGUGCAUAACCCUCCUUUUCCUUUUCUUUUUCCUUGACCAUGGUCUUUAAGCCCUUUCGCUUAAGGUAAUCUCGUGCUGAGUGCUGAUCGUCACAUAAGAAGAAAUUGAUCUUGGGUGUGAACUUCUUUCUAUUAUUGUUGCCCUUACCAUCGUUGUCACUAGGGUCAUUACUUGAUCCUUUCUUAGGAGUGUAGCCUUGUGAUCCCUUGUCUUCCUCACCUUUGGCAUGAUUACCCUUGGACAAUGGCUUGGGCUUGGAGCAGUUUAUCAUUUUACAUUCUACCAAGGACUCCUUUACGACAAUGGUUGUGGCUAGGUCUUGGACCCCACGUUGCCUCAACUCUUUCUCAACCUAGCUUUGUAGGUGUUCCAUGAAGUUGAAUAGUAGUUCCUCUUUAGGCAUGUUGGAAUUCUCAAGCAUUAGUUUAGAGAACUCUUUGACAUAUUCAUGAAUCAAGCCCGUGUGUUUGAGACGUUUUAUGUUUUUUCUUGCUAGAUAAGCCACAUCAUAAUUGUCUUUUGAUCUCCUUAAAGGCAUCUCAUGUGUCUAUAGUGCAUGUCCUAUUUUCUAUAUCAACAAACCUCCAAUGCCACCAUAGAGUAACAUUAUUAGUGAGGUAACGGGUCGCAGUGCGUACUUUAAUGGCUUCAGCCAUUAGUGUGAUAACUUCAAUGUAACGCUCCAUAUGCCACAAGUUAGCAUCCCUCUUGUCAUUGAACAUGCGUGGCUUUGAUACCUCCAUCCUUGGUGCCUCAUGAGUGGCCAUUAUAUGUGCUAAAACAAUAGUCUUGUAGAUGGCUAGCUCUUGUCGAACCUCUUCAUCUUAGGCUUCCAUGUGUGAAGCCAAGGCCUCCAUUCUCGACUCCAUAUUAAUGAGCAUGCUCAUGUCCUUGUCUUGGAAGGACAUGACCUCAUCGUGUGACAUCGGUGAACUUGUGAGAUAUGCACCCUUCUUGAAGGUCUUGGAUCUACUCCCUUAGAUCCUCUAAACCCUUUUUCAUGCUUUGCUCGAUCAAUUCCACCUCUUUUCAAGUGUUCACCAUUGCUAGCUCCACCUUGGCUAGCCUUGCCUCCAUGUUGGUAAAGGCAUUAGGAGACUUAUGCUUUCUGACCCUGUCAUGUGCAACAAGCUCGGUCUCCCUUCCACGGGCUUGCUCGUUAGUCCCCUCAAUGUUAGAGCUUGACAUGCUUCCUUCACUACGCUCGCUUCUUAGUCGCGCUCUUAUAUCAAUUGUCAUGGGUUUAGUUUUUUCCUAAGCUUGUGUGACAUUUAGAUAAGUCAAGACAUUUGAUGUUGCUAAGUAAGCCUUACUCCCGAAGAUUUAGAAUGCAUGGUAGGCAACACUUAAAGAAUGAAAGCUUUUACUGCUCUUAAGGAUGCUUAACAAGUGUUUAGGAAGCUCACUUGCUUGGUGUUUUGGCCAAAUGAAGACCUUAUCUAUUUAUAGGCAUAUUGGGAAGUCUUUGGAACCUUAGAGGGUUCCUUACAAAUAGCUAACUUAUGUACAUUUUUAUAAUAAUAAGUUAUUUUUACAUAUUUCUUCAAACUCAUUUCAUUUAUUUUUUUUCUAAAAGAUUUAAUAAUUUAAAAACAUGUAACUCUUUAAUUAAUUCUAGUUAUGUUUGACUUUUUUUUUUAAUAAACUAAAUAUAAGAAAACAUUUUUUUUUAUUCUUUCGUUAUUAUAACUUUCUUGAAACAUAAAUGAUCCUUGUUAAAAUAGUUUAUAAUUAAUAAAAGUACUCUAUAUACACACUAAAAUCACUCUGGUCUUAUUUUAAAAGAAGUAACUCAUAGAUUUAUACUUCACAUUUUUAUAUAAAAAUUUCCUUAAUAGCGUUGUCAUUCAUUGGGCUGGUAUCUGGAUGGGUCUAGUCCUUAAUAGGGCAAGUUUGGAAAACAGGUCACAAUAAGUCAAUAUCCAAACUCAUUGUCAACUAUAGUCCAAUCAAAACCUUCACAUUUUUUUGAAAAGAAUUUUAUUCAUUUAUUUAAAAUUUGGUUAAAAGAGAUGAAAUAAUUCAUAUAAUUGUAAAUAUAAUUUUGCUCAUAUUUUUACUUGAAAAAUAACUCAUGUUUGAUAUAAUUAUUCUUUAUCAUUUUUAGUAUGUAUGUGUAUGUUUUUUUUUUUAAAAAAGAAUUAUUUUUAACAAAAAUAAAAAAUAGUGAGAAUUUUUAUAAAAAUGUGAUAAAAAUUUGAAAAAAUUGUGUUUCCAAUGACUAUUUUAAUCAAAUACUCCUUUAAUCUAUGGGUCAUGGAUUAGUUCUCAUUCUCGACAAGCCUCUUCCAUGUUGGGUGCGAUAUCACAUAAGAAUGGGCCAUUUUUAAAAAACAGUUGUCAAAAUAUCUUUAAUGGAUUAAAAUAUGUAUUUUUAUUUUCUACAUAUUAUUAAAAAGAAAUAUGGAAGUGUUGAUAAUAUGCAUGUUAUAUAUGCUAAUUAAUGUUUUUCUCACAAUCCCUCUCUUUUCAAAGUAAGGGUUUUGAUGCACUGAUUUGUAAACUUCAUGUGAUUGAUAGAAUUGUUUUAAUAAAAUAAAUUGUGAAUAUGCAUGGACAUGGUGAUUUCACAUGUGAAAUCCGAAUGUUUAACAUCAAACUGACCCAAUAAACUAAAAUAAUUAUGUCACUAGUUAGAUUCCUCUAUGUUUUUGUUAUGGUUUGUAUUAAACAUCAAAAGUUACAUAAUUGCAUUAAAAUAUUGUAGUUUUAAUAGCUGAUGCCACAAAAGUUCCAUGAUGAUAAUCCCUGCAAGAAAUGAAUUGAAUGCAUUAUGUGCAUAUUUGGGGUAAAGGGUUUUACUACAUUAUUUAUAUGUAUCGUUAAUAGAAUUCUUUUAACAAAAUAAAUUGUGAAUAUUCAUAAUAGAUAUUUAGGUUGCAUGGAAAACAGUUUGCAUAUUAACCAUUUUUCAGAAAAUUGUAUUUUAUUUGGGUUUAGAAAGAAAUUGUGAAAAAUGGUUUUCAAAAAUUAUUUUAUGAUAUUUUGUAAAAUAAAAAUUUAUUUAGAAACCUGAAAUAUUUUUAACAUAUUUUCUAUGUUUUUAAAUAUAUUUUAAAAAUAUUUUUUAUAUAUAUAUAUAUAUAUAUAUAUAUAUAUAUAUAUAUAUAUAUAUAUAUAUUAUCCUUUAUUUUAAACCAUUCUCCAUAUUUUUAUAAUUAUUUUUUAAAAAUAAUUAUUAAUGAAAAGUGAAAACAUUAAAAGAUAUUUGAAAACAUCACAUUUUCUAAAUUAAUAUAUAAUAAAUAAAUAAAUACUAAUAUUUAAAUUAAAGAUAAUGUUAAUUUUCCUUGAUAACAUGCAAGUGGUGAUUGACAGGCAAUGGGAUUUAGAAUCACUUAUUGUGAUUUUAUAUGUAUCUUUGUCAUUUUCUUUAUUUUUUCCAUUGCUUUUACGGUGGGGCUUUAGUACAUAUAAAGGUUCUACAACAAUAAUAAUAAUAGUUGAGUGAUUAUGUAAUAAAAAAGAAACAAAAUAGUAUAAUUUUUUUGGUAUGUUAUAUGAAAAUUUUUGUGCUUAUAGGUGAGGUAACCAUAUUGUUGGUUUAGUACAUAAAAAAGAUGUGGAUGAAUUGGGUGAUAAUUUUCCAAUUAAAAAUUUUAUGAAAAAUGAAUUUAAAUUCAAACAAAUUUUAUACCCUAAUUUUUAAGUUUUUGUUAUUUCAUUUAAAAAGUAAAAAUUAAAAUAGGAUACAUUUGCACAAUUAUUUUACAAAUUAGAUUUUAAAAAUGAAAAAGGAGAUAAUAAUACUAAUUAUGGGAGAGAAAGUUAAAUUUUUUAUUCCUUCAACAAACUAAAUAUUAAUACACACACAUAUAUAUAUAUACCAUAAUGAAAUAAAAUUAAAAUCAAUAUUUUUUAGCUUUCUUUUUUCGUGGAGAUUAUAUGAGAAUUUACUGAUCUUAUAAUAUUACAUUGAAAUCAAAACAUAUUGCUAUAUUUUGUAGGCAAAAAUGAAUUUGAUUGUAUGUUUGCAUACUCUUUUUUAUUUUAUUUUUUAUUUUUUAUUUUUAUAAGUGGAACUUACUAACUAAUAAACGAUAGCCAUUAUUAAUGUCCUAUCUUGCUUACUAAUAUUUCUACGAAUUAUUGAAAAGAAAAAUAGAAGUGUUGAUAAUAUGCAUGUUAUAUAUGCUAAUUAAUGUUUUCCUCACAAUUCUUCUCUUUUCAAAGUCCUGAUUUGUAAAAAUCAUGUAAUUAAUAGAAUUGUUUUAACAAAAUAAAAUGUGAAUAUGCAUGGACAUGGUUUUAACAAAAUUAAAAUUUGAAAUAGGUAACAUAUUGAGAAGGCGCAGGUUAUUGUUCAAAUAAAAAAAAAAGGCAAUUUUCCUUAUGGAGUAUCGGAUCGUGUCCCUUUACGGAACUUAACCUUUAAAAAAUAUGAACCUUUGGGAUCGAGAGCAUCGAUUUUGAACAAAAUAAUGGAUGCAUUCGGAGAUGAUAAGAUCAAGAUGAUUGGAGUGUGGGGGAUGGGCGGCGUGGGCAAAACCACACUGGUUGAACAAGUAGCCGAACAAGCUAAGCAAGGGAAGUUGUUCGCAACAGAAGUCUACAUAUGUAUCCUGGACUCGAGACCCAGAAAAACCUCAACAAGGAAUUGCUAAAAUUCAACAAAAAAUUGCAGAGAUGUUACACUUGGAGUUUACGGGGAAGGAUGAAUCCACAAGAGCAGUUGAACUAAAGCACAGACUGAAGAAGGAGAAGAUCCUAAUUAUAUUAGAUGAUAUUUGGAAGGAGAUUGAUCUGGAGGAAGUUGGAAUUCCAUGUAAAGAUGAUCAGACAGAAUGCAAAGUAGUGUUGACGUCUAGAGAUCUACACAUAUUAAG